UCGGAUAAUGGUGGUGAAUACACAUUCGACCCUUUCUUGAAAGUUUGCAAAGAAUAAAGGAUUGUAAGACAUUUCAGUGUCAAGGGAACUCCACAACAAAAUGGAGUUGCAGAAAGAUUGAAUCGAACCUUGCUUGAAAAGGUUAGAUGCAUGUUGUCUCAGUCAGGUUUGAGAAAGUCGUUUUGGGCAGAGGCAGUUACUUAUGCAUGUCACAUCAUCAACCGGUUACCCUUAGCUGCUAUUCAGGGUAACACACCAAUGGAGGUAUGAACUGGAAAACCUUCUUCUGAUUAUGAUCAUAUUCGUAUUUUUGGUUCACCUGUUUAUUUUCAUGUAACUGAAAAUAAACUUGAUCCUAGAGCCAAAAAGGUUAUCUUUCUUGGUUUUAGUAGUGGUGUCAAAGGUUACAGGUUGUGGUGCCCAAAGAUGAAGAAACUUGUAAUCAGCAGAGAUGUGACAUUUGAUGAAGAAAGUAUGUACAAAGGCUCUGAGAAGAAUGUGAAAGAUGUCCAAUAAGUGGAGCUUGAGAAAGUUGCCUCUGGUACUUCAAAUCCUAUUUCCGCUGAUGUCGAAUCCACUACAAGUGAAGAAGUUGGAGACCAUGAGGAUGUUGAAGAAGUUGAACUUAAAGAUUCUAUUCAAGUUGAAGAGGAAGUUUCACCUCAAGAGUUUAUUGCCAAGAACAGAGGAAAAAGACAAAUUACCAAGCCAGCUCGGUAUCGUGACUAUGUUUCUUUUACUCUUCCUAUUAUCAUUGAUGAGAUUCCAUCCAAUUUUGAGGAAGCUAUUGAGAGUGAAGAAAAUGAGAGGUGAUGCAAUGCCAUAGGUGAUGAGAUGAAUUCUCUCUUGAAGAACAAGACUUGGGAGUUAGCUAAAUUGCCUAAGGGCAAGAAAACUAUCGGUUGUAAAUGGGUGUAUGCCAAGAAGGAAGAUGCUGAUGAGAAAAGCAAUGUGAGAUUCAAAGCAAGAUUAGUUGUUAAAGGGUAUGCACAAACGGAGGGCAUUGACUACAAUGAAAUCUUUUCUCCAGUUGUGAAGCACCCCUCAAUUCGCAUUAUGUUAGCUCUUAUUGCACAGUAUGAUCUUGAGCUUGUGCAACUUGAUGUGAAAACGGCUUUCUUACGUGGCGAUUUGAAUGAAGAGAUUUAUAUGUGUCAACUGGAUGGGUAUAUAGUGAAAGGGAAGGAGAAUUUGUUUUGCAAAUUGAAGAAAUCACUUUAUGGCUUGAAACAAUCUCCAAGGCAAUGGUAUUUGAGGUUUGAUAAAUUUAUGAGAGGCUAAAAUUAUUCUAGAAGUCAAUAUGAUCAUUGUGUGUACUUCAAGAAGUUGCAAGAUGGGUCUUUCAUUUAUUUGUAGAUAUAUGUUGAUGAUAUGUUGAUUGCCUCAAAGAAUGUUGAAGAGAUUGAAAAAUUGAAGAAGCAAAUGAAGAAUGAGUUUGAGAUGAAGGAUCUUGGUGAAGCGAAGAAGAUCCUUGGCAUGGAGAUCACUAGAGAUAGAGCGAAGGGUUUGGUCAGUUUGAAUCAAAGACAAUACCUUGAGAAGUUGAUUCGGAAGUUUGGAGUUCAUUAUUCAACCAAACCGGUUAGUACCCCAUUGGCUCCUCAUUUUAAAUUGAGUUCUCUACAAUGUCCUAAAACUGAUAAAGAGAAGCUGCAAAUGAAAAAUAUACCAUAUGCAAAUUUGGUUGGUAGUUUGAUGUAUGCAAUGGUAUACUCUAGACCGGAUAUUGCUCAUGCAGUUGGCAUGGUGAGUCGAUAUAUGCAUAAUCCAGGUAAAGAGCAUUGGCAAGCAGCUAAAUGGAUAUUGAGGUAUCUCCAUGGUACUCAAGAUGUUGGUUUAUGCUUUGAGAGAGAUAACUCUGGUAUUGGUCAUUUUGCAAUUGGUUAUGUUGAUUUAGAUUAUGCAGGUGAUCUGGAUGGAAGAAAGUCUACUACAGGCUAUGUGUUUACUAUGGCUAAAGGGCCAGUUUGUUGGAGGUCCAUUUUGCAAUCGUCUGUUGCCUUGUCUACUACAGAGGUUGAAUAUAUGGCAAUUGCUGAAGCUAUAAAGGAGGCCAUUUAGAUACAUGGGCUGAUUAGAGAUUUGGGGGUUGAUCAAAAGUAGGUGAAGGCACAUUGUGAUAGUCAGAAUGCCAUUUAUUUGGCUAAGUAUCAGGUUCAUCAUGCGAGGACCAAGCACAUAGAUGUGUGUUAUCACUUUGUGCGUGAAGUCAUUGGUGAAGGAAAGAUUAUUCUCCAGAAGAUUCCAACUAAAGACAACUCUGCUGAUAUGUUGACUAAGGUUAUUGGUGUAGCCAAGUUUGUUCAUUCCUUGAACUUGGCUCACAUUUUGCCUAUAUAAAGAAGGCGUUGAGCAGUAGGAGUUUUGGAGUAUUUGGCUCGGCAUGAGUUGUUCUCUUGCUAGUGUUUGGGAGUAAUUUUUGUGUUGAUUGUGUUGGUUAGCUUAUCAUGGCGUUUUCAGAACUUGGCCAAGGUGGAGAUUGUUGAAUAAGUGGCCAAGUGGACAACAAAACAAAAUGCUUUCGGUUAUUAAACAAAGCAAAAGAAAAAAAGGACAACAUGAUUAUGUUUCCUUGUUUUGUGGCUUGUUUGUGGCUUUUUCAAAGCCAUAAUUAUUGGUUUCGUGCAGAAGAAAAAAGGAGAAGAAGAGGGCUCAUUUUUUUGAAGUGAUAAGUGAGAGCUGCCGAAAGCAAGGAGAUUUGCAGAGAGCCCAAAAAGAAAGAGAAACUGCUGCUUCAUUUGGUUAGUAAUCAUCCACCAAAGUAGUUAUCGUUGUAAUAGCUUUGAGCUAUAUGUAUAGAGAAGAAAUUAUUCAUUAUAUUUCUUUCUCUAUUUGUUUAUGUGGUGUGUGAGAGCUAUUGGGUGUAUUGGGUUAUUUAGGUUGUGAGAUUGCCAACACUUUGUAAACUCCCAAUUGGUUAUAGUGGAUUAUUGGGUGAGCUCCUACUGCUCCGAGGACGUACUCCAGUUACACUGACUGUUGAGGAACCUCGUUAAAAUCUUGGUGUCUUUUAUAUUUUUGUUCUUGCAUUUCAUUUUAUAAAUUUCUUAUGGGUUAGCUUGAGUUGGUUCCAUUUGGUUUGGUGCUAUCCUAGCACAACAAAGGGAAGGUUGUAGACAUUUCUCCGAUGUGAGUUCUUUAGCUACUUUUAUAAUGAAGAAACUCACCUUCUCGAAGAAGCAGCAGGUGCCACUGCUCAUGAUUCCCAAGGAUGUGAACCUAGAGUAUCUUGUUAAGUUGGUGAAGGAAUGGAAGCUGAAGCCAGUGAUUGACUCGAUGCAUCCUCUGAGCAAGGCUGAAGAUGCUUGGCUUAAGAGUAUCGAUGGACAUGCUACUGGGAAUAUCAUUUUGGAGCUUUAAGUGGACAAAAUAUAUUCAGACACUGCAAUUUUUUUGGGACUAAAGUAAAGUUCAUGUACUUCUAUACAACAAUGUAUUAAUACCCCAUGAGUUGAGACCAAGCUUUAAGCUUUAGCUGAAGCAUUUAGUUGAACACAAGCUUGAAUGCAUGCGCUUUGCUGCGGGUUUUAAGAAUACCUUUUAAGACAAUACUAUUAAUAUAUAAAUUUUAUAAAUCAAUAUUUACAUGUCUGGUGUUUGAGAAGGUAAAUGAGCAACACAUUACAAUGAUCAAAGGAUAAAAUGCUCAUUAUUCGAAAUAUUUAGAUAAACUAUGAACAUGUUGCAGAAUCUAGAUUUUCCUACUUCACUGUUUCCAGCUCAUCCUCACCUUCAUUAUGUUGAGGUUUACGGUUUUAGCUAGUUCCUGCAAAUUUUGACAAAAAAAGGAGUCGUUAGUGCCAACAUAUAAGAAAACAAAAAGGGGACAUAUACGUAAAAUUGAGAUAGAGUUCAUUUGUGAUCCUGAAGGUGCAAAUGAAAUUUUUGUUUCCCUCUAUUUUCAUUUGUUCUAUCAAAUGCAAUAAGACUAAAAUGAGUGCAUUCAAACCAACCCAUUUUUCGAACUUUAGUCAUAUAUCAAAAAAAUCUCAGUGAUACUAAUUAGACAGAGUCGGGAAGUUCAAAUAAAUCACUUAUAGCAACAAAAAUAGUAAAAAACAAAUGUGUACGUAGAAAUUAAAAUAGUAAAGAGGGUAUAUAAUCGUUACGACGAUGAUAUAAUAAUAUGCUGUGAUUAAUUUGAUGAAGAAGCAGUAGAACAUAUAAGUAAACAAAUGGGGGACACACAACCAAAGGUAAGAUGGAGUUUUUUUUUAUAUAUAAUAAUGAAGGAGCAUAUAUAAUCCGUUUUUCAUCUGCUCUAUCAAAUACAAUGUGCAACAAAAUGAGUGCAUUUAAAUUAGAAAGAGUUGGGUUGUCACGCCCCAAUCCCGACAUACGUUCGAGAUUGACACGUGACGUCAUCAAAUAACCACAUAUCUAACAUACCCGUCCCCCGGGAUAUGUAUCAAGCACAUGCCAUGCCUCGAAUUGCAUAGAAUUUUUCGUAUACUUUAUGGCUGCAUUUCUCGUUAGACUGCCUACGUACCCUCAUUUGGGAUCAAGCCAUUCGUAGUUCGCCAUUCAUUACACCUCGACGUUUAUCACAAUACGUUCAAAUCGAAAAGCAUAGCAUUCCUCAAUCAAUUAUUAGAACUUAACAAGCAUGAAUUACUAGAUUCAUGGUUACAUAACAAAUCCACAUGACAUUCAAGGUUUCCAUUCCAUCCAUCAUAUAAAUCACUAUGUUUUCAACGUGAUAUCUCCAUCCACAGCAUGUAACUUAUCCAAUAAUCAACGAAGCCCAAUAUUAUUCUUAAGCCACAUUGAUCACUAAAUAAUCAUAAUAAUAACAAUUAUAUCCAACGUCAUUCCACAAUUCCCGUCAAUUAAUCCCUUCAUAAAUCAAGGAUGCAUGAUCUUAGCAUUUAACUACUUUAAUCAAUCAAUUAGAUAACAUACCAUUUCACCAAUUCAAUUAGAGAACUCUAUAUAAUUCCCUACUUGGGUUAUGAGUAAUAAUAUGGUAAUUCUAAUUUAUAUUCACAAGGUCUAUGGAUAAUUCCCAUUCGCUCGAAUCUAGGGUUCUAGACUAACCUUUUGGAAUGUGCAAGAGUAAGGAUUCCGGACCACUCAACGGAAUCCAACCACAUCGGGUUCCGGACCACUCAAUGGAACCAAAAUAUCAAUCGGUUUCUCGUAAUCUAUCCAGACCUGUUGCAUGUAAAAUCAGUGCCUACAUCAUGGAAAUGGUGCACUGGGCAAUUCAAAACUUGGAUAAGUUGUGAAGCUCAGGUGAGCAACAAUAAUACAAAGUGUGAUAAUAGUGAUAAAACCAACCAUAAAUCAUAGUUUAUAAACUUUGAAUAUGAAUCAUUCAUAAGAAAUUAAUACCAAACCUUCACAAACUCCGAAAGAGUCACCCAAACAUCCAACGGUUCGUCUGAAACAAUCACAACAUCUCACAACCAUAUUCUCAUAUAACACCAUGAAAAGUAGGGUUAGAGCGACAUAGUUUGGCCGAAACCUAUACCUUUAAAGCUAUCUCAAUCCAAACUCAAUGAAACCCAAGGUGAAUACGAUUCCGAAACUUCACUCAACGGAAUCGCGGAGUAGAAGGGAUUCCGGACCAUCUCUCACGGAAUCCAAGUGGAUACGAUUCUGGAACAUCACUCAACGGAAUCAUGGAAGGCCAACAACCAUAAUGUACAACGGCUCAAAGAAAUGAGACAAGCACAAGCUACUAAAUUUACAAAAGCUUAACCAAGGGAAAUAAGACACAUAUGCUAAAUUUAAAACGAAUCAAUGAAGAGGGAAACAAUAUCGAAGCAACAAAUCCCCAAUCACAAUGGGUUCACAGUCCAUCACUAGUCCUCACAAGUCAUCACAUCAAGCCAACCAUACAAAGCAAACCAUGUUUCUAAUAUGCACGUCAAAUCUCACAUCAUAAACUAUAACGAUGGCACUUUAUAGGAAACAUAAUCAUAUAACCGUCUCAUACCCUCUUAGGAUAAUAAUUAUGAAACUAGAGUAAUCACCUAUAACACAUAUAUUAAAGUCACUCACCUUUUUUAUACUAGUAACCAUACAUAUUAUUUCUCAUCCAUGAAAUCAACAUUUUAACCUUCUAUUCCUAUGCUUGUAACCUUCAUUCUCCAUCCUUUAAUAAACCAACCCAAAGUUAAUGGUUUUUCAACUUAAAACACCACCUCUUCACUCAUGCCACUACCCCUUUUGACAUGUAUAUGCGGCAAUAUAUAUAUAUAUAUAAAGAGAAACUGGAUCGUUUACUAAUAACUUGAAUAUAACUACUAGUAAACAAUCUAAACUCUUAAACCCCAACCAAACACACUCAAAUAAGCACAAGAUUAAUAGGGAUGUCAUUUCAACUAUAAUUCCCUUCGAGGUCUAGAUGCUUGGUAACGAAAGAAGUAUUUCAUAUAUCUAAUGUCACACAUCGGAAAAUUCGACUUUUUCUAAAAAUUCUCAAAUUUUACAAGAAUGAAGGUCUCAACAAGUAGUAAACUUUAUACAUGUGGCCAAAUCCAAUUUGGCCAGGAAGGCCCUCAAAUUGGCUCGCACCCGUCAAAACCCUAAGGUGGGUGUUCUUUAAUUCGGCUUCCUUGGUGUUCCAACGCUCCAACCACCAGUUGGGUCUUGUUUCGGGGUCCAAGGGAAGUUGAUUAAGGGUGGUGGUAAGUGGUGCAAGUCACCGUAACGAUGGAAUCACUGUCGAACUCACCCGUGAACCCGGUGAAGUUCUUCAUGAAAUUGGGCCUAAAAACUCUCAAAUAUGGAUGGAGAUGGUAAAGGGAAGGUUGAGGAAGAGGUUGUAGGCGAUGGAUGGUGAUGAAUCGACAGAAAGAAUUGCAAAGACCGCCGGAAAUGGAGUUGGGUUGGUGCACGGGUGCAAAGGAAGGUUAGGCUUCCUUUUUCCUUUUUUUUCUCACCACUCCCGUGGCUUUCUUUUCUCCUUUUUUUUUUUUUUUCAGCCACUCCCAUGGCUUUUUCUUCUCUUUUCAAUUUUUUUUUUUUUAGCAACAACUUUAAACAUCUGUAACUAUACCGUUAUAAUCCGGACUCGAAAAUGACUUUCGCCUAUACGUUCGUGAUCUCGAUAUCUAUUCAACAAUAUAAAUUGUGACCUCGAAAGGUCUACGAAUUUUAGAUAAUUACUUUCUAAACUUCAAACUUCGUAACUAAUUUAAUUAAAAUCUAAAUCCAAAUAAAUUAAUAUAAUUUCUCAAAAAUAACAUAAAAUCUCAAUAAUACAAUUACGUAGAUUAUAACAGUGAAAUCCAGGAACGAGAUUUCACAUGGGUUAGGCAUAAUUGGAUAAAGAAAAGGUCUUUAUAGCAACAAAAAUGAAGAACUACUUUAUAAUUGGACAAAGAAAGAUGAAGAUAAGAAGAAACAAAGAAAAGGCCUAAAAAAUUUGGCAAAGACAUUUUCAGCAAGUGAAAGAAAAACAGAGGCAUUUCCAAACAGAAAGUCAAUAUCAAUAUGCAGUGAAAAGUAAAUAAUGCCUGAGCAAGGGAAAAAACAAAAAAGAAAAAAUCAUAAACCUGAGUAGCCACGUAGAAUUCAUACGAAUGUAAUAUUUUCCUUUCAAAUGAAAACCUAUAGGAAAAUAAGAAAACCAAAUGAAAGGGCAUGGCAGAAAAAUUGAGGGGGAAAAUAGAUUUAAAAAAGUAAUUAAAAAAACAAAGAGGACGAAUGAUGUUGUCCAAUGUACUUAAUUUCUCUCAAGUAUAAAGACAGUUGUAUAUACUUCUUGACCAUAUGAGAGAACAUCAAAUGCGAAUGAACUAAUAGAGGCAUUAAUCAUGACUUGGGCAUUCAUGGUUAUCGUUCUAAACUUGAUGGCAUACUGUAAAGUAACAGUUUAUUUUCAUUGGAUAAUUUGAUUUCCCAAAUUCGAAAAAAAAAAAUUACAGAAUACUAAACAUUAUUACACAUCGUCACAACAUCCCGUCAGUCAAGAAUCAAAUCCAAAAGUAGAAUUGGGUAAACAAAUGAGAGAUUAGAAAAAUACCUCAAAAAUGGUGGCCUUGAUAGCUGAAGAGGCGACAAUAAUCAACACAAAUGAAAACCCAAAAGAAAAUAGUCAGCCCAACUAAGAGGAAAAUUGUUCAACAACAAAAAAAAAAAGAGAAUCCAAAAGAAAUUGCAGAAAAAAAAUUCUUAGGAUAAAGAAACCCACUUGGCCAUUCAGUAGAAAAACAUGAAGCAUUGAUUCAAAGAUGCACCCGUUAGGGUCUACGGUGUCUUAGAAGAUGGUGAAGUGAAGAACCAAAUUGUCUUAGAGCAUGCUUUUCAAUUGUUUUAAAAAUGGAUUGGAUUCCUAUAUUUAGCAAUUGGCACUUUAAGAUAAGACAGUUGUAUUUAAAAAUAAAUGAUCCAAUACACACAUUACUGUGUGAAGAGGGCUGGGACUUUUGCUAAACAUGCAUAUUGGUAAAAAAUACAACAAAAUACUCGUACAUAAUAUUUCUUCAUUGCUUCAUUGUAGGUGAGAAUAUUGUGAGAUCAAUAGAUAACAUAAUUAAAGGAACCCAAUUCAACACUUAAACCUAGCUUAUCACUGCAUUGAAAUGACAAAGAAAAUGCAUAUUAUAUCCAUGCUUUCAGUCAUUCAUUAGAUAGAUGUGCUUGAAUGCCAAUGAUAGAGUUCAUUACUCUGCACAUACAAAUUGUUCAUAAAAAAAUUAAAGCAUCUAAUUAAAUGAAGAUAUAUCUAUAUCUAAAGAGGAAGGCUUAUCAUGAGCUUCAUGAAUAUGUAAAAGAAAGGUAAGUAUAUGAAUUCUCAAAAUAAAAUUGAAAUUGAAAUUCUUAUUUCUAAAAGAAAUUGAAGACAAAUUAAGAUUAGAUUAUGAAUUGAAAAUAUAUUAAGAGGAAAUUCAUGCAGCAAAUGGUUUUGAUCAUCUCGUUCCUUUUUUUAGCUCGCCUAUUGUCAUGGUCAUCUUAAUAGUUGGUGCAAAGAUGUAGGUCCUGCAAUAAGGAACGAAAAAGACACAUAUUAACCCUUACAAUGGCUAGAGGAAGCAACAACUGCAAGUCAAUACUUCCUUGAAACCAUUACUAUGUUGCUCGUCCUCAUAGAAGCUGAAGACAUCCUGAUCAUGUGUAGAUGCUACAAAAAUAUACAUGAAAGUUGUCAUUCACAUGAUCCAAAUGUUAGUCCUACAUAGACAUAAUGCAAAAGACAAAACAAAAGGAAACAAAUAUUGUAGCGGCAUAAGUUGAAUAAUUGCAGCAAAGUAAACAAAUACAAAAUUUAAAUCCAAAUAAGAAAAUAAAUAAAUUGACUAAACUAUGAAAGAAAAUUUAUUCACCGAAUGAGAAUCAAACUAAUGAAAUUGAAUUGAACAAAACCCUAACUCAAAUUUAUUGAAUUAGAAACAAACUAAUGAGAUUUAACUGAACAAAACCCUAACUCGAUUGAAGCCCCUGUUAAAAACCCAUCAUUGAUAUUAAAAUUAUCUUUGGGUAAAUUGGGUAUGAGUGAGGGUAUUGACCUUCGCCAGGCAUGUCAUCGUGUUCGAAAUUGGAAGAGUUUGAGAUGUGAUUUUGGUGGAAAAUGGGGAGUGUUGCAGAGAGAACAAAGCAAGUCCAGGAUUUUGAAGAUUCCGAAUGCAAGAAAGAGAAGAGAAAUUUACCUUUAGGGAAGAGUGGUGACCGCUGCUGUUGAAACUGAAGAGAUUUUGGCUAAGUGAAAAUCCAAACAACUAAAAAACCUGACCCAGUUGAAUCGAAUAAAUCCCAACAAACUCAAAAAAAAAUAAAAAAUCAGACAACUAACGGAAUCCAACGGCAGGUACCUCAUGAGAAAGAAAAGCCUAAGAUAUCAGUAACUUGUUGAAUUUUCCAUAGCUGCGCGUACACCUUGAAGACCUUAUUUAAAAUUUUGAAAUCAGAGAAUAAUUUGGAAAUUUGGGUUUAUGAUGAAGAAAUGGGGAAUAAUUUGAAGGACAUGUUAUAGCAAUAUGUUUACAUGACAAUAAAAGAACUUAUUGAUUGAAAAAGAAAAUCUAAUUGCUUGCAUUAAAAGACUUCCACAGACAGUUGAAUAACAGAAUACAAAUUCAUAUAUGUUACAGUAAACUCCAUUUAAAUAAGAAUAAUUAGGUUUAGGAUAAAUACCCAAACAGUUAAGCCUUCGCUUCUACUUGUUUUCUUCCUUGCUGCAAAAAUGCAAGUCUGUCGUUAUGCUCCUCUAGAUAUGGCGUCAAAAAAGGAUUUUUCCUGUGUACCGUCAACAUCCAUAUAUGGAUAAUGCUGCUUGGUUAAAAUUUUUAUUUUUUAUUUUUUGUCUGAUUUGAAUUUUUGGGUUUUAUCUCCCAAACUGAAAAGCUUAUAGUUUUAGAUAUGUCAGUAAUAAUCCACAAAAAAAAAAAAAAAUAUAUAUAUAUAUAUAUAUAUAUAUAUAUCACUCGUAUGAUAAUCAUUUUCUAAUCCCCACAAAUCAACAACUCAAUUUCUUCUUCCAAUCCCAUUUCUUCUAUCAUACAAUUGCCAUUAAUAAUUCCAUAUGUGAAAUCGUAAUCUAUGUGAGUUGGAAAAAGCAUAAAUUCAUAAAGCUAAAAGCUUUCGAUAUUCCACGACUUUCUUCUUCUUCUUCUUCCUUCCGAGUAUCUUCUGAUUCAAGGAUGGCAGUGCUGCAGCACUCAUCGAUCAAGCCUAUUUCAGUAACCCCAAGUGGGCAUAAUGAAAACUGAACCAAAAGUCUAAAUUGCUUACCUAAGUGAAGAGGUGUUUGGAUUAAUAUUUAAACCUUGGACUUUCAGGAAGGAAAGCUCAAGAGAAUUCAAUAAAGAAGGUUUUGCCCGAAGCCCAGAAUAAAGCCCAAUUCAUCCAUUUCAAGAUAUUAUGGCAACUCCCCAUCAAUGCAAAGGCCAGUUGCUUACAAGAAGUGACAACCGAUGGAAGAUCACCAACUCUCGGCCCAAAAGUACUUUUUGGAUGACAAACACGUAAAAAAACUGGUGACUCACUACCCUUUAGUCGCUUUCGGGCAAGAACAGAAACAACACAGCUGGGCUAAUUCGUCUAUAAAAUGAAGAAGAGGGCCCAGAGACAAGAACACUCAACCAAUCAAACAAACAAAUAUACAACUUGUCUCUCAGCCAAGCAAAUACCCAGAGAGUCGUGCUUUGUCCAGACUCUACACCCUUUUAGCCUUAGACUUCCUUAGAAAUACAUCUUUUGUCUAUGUAAAAGCUCUGCUACCUUUUCCCUAAAUGUUGUAGUAUUGAUCUUUCAUGUGUAAAUUUCUUUCUAGUCAUCCCCUUUAGUACUCAAUCCUUUUUGUAAACUGCCAAGGGAAAAGACCGCAAGACAUUUUAACCUUGCCCGACAAAGUGAAAUCUUGCCCGACUCUCUUUGUGUUUGCCUUUGCAUUAAUAGAUCUGGUAUCAUAAUGUAUCCCUCAGUAGAUAUGCAAGUCAUUUUCGGUCUCUUAAUGAUCUGAAGUUCCAUUAACUUUCAGAUCUGGUUCACUUAGUACUUUUACUAUCAUGAAUGUAAAUGAAACUGAUGUUUUGAUUAGAUCUAGACCUCCACCCUUUGAAGCAUACAAGAUAAACAAAAGUCCUUAAUCUCAAGGCAUAAAAAAGAACUUAAUGUGGACUUAACCCAUCCAUGACAAUCAUUUGAUAAUGAGAAGUUAGAGUAACUUGGGGCGCAAGUAAUCAGCUUAAAUACACUCAUUCUACAUCUGCCAUAUAGAGAUGGCAGUGGUACGCCUCAGCGCUUAGUUUUGAUUGUGAGCCUCACGGCCUACACCUGAGGCCCGACAAAGACACCUUUCAGAACUAACUCUAUCAUCUUCUUGUAGCUUGACGAGUAAGCGAGAGCUCGACAACCAACCAAAGUACCAAUUCCUCAGGAAGUGUGUGCUCGAGCCAGGGACCUUUCCCAGUGAAAUUCCUACCUCGAACAUAGUUUUGGCACGCCCGGUGGGAUUCAAAGAUAUUGUAUGCCAAGAUGACGAAGGAAAUAACAAACCUUCAGGUGGAAAAAAGAACAAAAAAACCAUUAGGAUCUAGUAUGGCAAAUAUCCCCGAAAACUUGCAAGGAUCCAUCUUGACGGAAAGCCCGACCCCUCUGAGAAAUCAGGAGAAAAGGUCACAAAUGAAGAUUUACAGGCUAAUAUAAUGGUUGUGAUAAGGAGCAUAGAGAGGAACUCUCUACAAACAAGAGAGGAAGUAAGCAGACUCUAUUCCUUAACAGGAUAUCUACAAAGGAGGCUGGAUCUGGAGUACCCGACCCCGGAAAAUGAUCGUGCUAAAGAAACCAUGAGGGAAGUCAGCCCGAUAAAGGGACCAGUUAUUCCUUUGUUUCCUUUACUUGAGGAAAAAAGGGAUAAACGAAAGAAUAAGGAAGAAUCUGAAGCCAGUCAACCAAUAUUAGAAGAAAUACUGGAAGCAGAGUUGCCUGACCCCCUAUCAUCACUAAAUAAUAGAGGGCAGAGUGAGCAAGAGAGAAUGAAGUAUGGAAUGCCCUAGUGGAUCGGGGAAUCUAGUGGGAAAUGAAAGCUUACCAAAGCAGAUAAGCCUCCACCUUAUAGGCCACCACCAAUGGCCAGUAAAGGAUGAGAGUUCAAGGGGAAGAAGCCCAAGCCAAGAAAGGAGAUUAACUCGGGGCAAUGAUUGUAGACCGAAAUGGAAACCACGUCCUUAUACUCCACCUAAUAAUACGAGCAACCAACAACUCAGAGAUGAGUUGGCUGAGUUAAGAAGAAUGCCCAACCACAAGCUCGCCCGCUAUUUAGAAUCGUUUAUCAUAAGCCCUACCCGGAGUUUAUCGAUAAACAUAAUCCCUUUCCUCUCAACUUCAAGAUGCCUGCAUUUCCAACAUUCAGCAGAGAAGAUAACAAUUUGUCAUCCAGGGAUCACAUCUCCAAGUUCUCCAACCACUGUGUAACAUUUGAAAACAAUCUCAACUAUAAGUUGAGGUUGUUUGGAAACUCCUUGGUACGCUUAGCAUCUCAAUGGUAUUCUUUGUUGCCCCCAAAUUCUAUCACUGACUAGGGGCAGAUGGAAAUGGCGUUCCAUUUGCAGUGUUACAGGAUGGAACCAGAGAUGACCAUUAACGAUCUAGUUGAGGUAAAACAAUAUAAGCAUGAAUCCACUGAAGACUUCAUUAUGAGGUUUAGAAGGACAAGGAUGAGAUGCCAAUUUCCUAUCAACCAUGUCCAGCUGAUAGUUAUCGCUCAGAAUGCCUUAAGACUACCCUUAAGGAAAAAGUUUUAUGAUGUACAGUUUAAUGAGCUACAAGAGUUCGUGAUUGCAGCCAUUCAGUAUUAGAAACUGUUGAUUGAAGAGCAGCAACUAAAGUACUCCUCUAAAACACCACCUUUUUACAAAAGUAAAGCCGCCAUUCACCAAGUGGAGUUUGAGGGAGAGUCGGAAGAAGAUGAUGGUCGAGGGAGAGAAGCAAUGGACAUGUGUGCAGCAUAGAUGACCACUCCCUUUACCCCCUUGAUAGUUAAAGGAUUGGUUCAACCGGUCAAGGACCAGAAGGUAGUAAUGAAUGAUGGUGGUUUCGUCCUCAUGAAACCCUUAAAACACCAAAGCUAUUCUUUUGACUUGACCAAAGCCACAUAAAUUUAUGAAGAAUUGGUGCAGGCAAGAGUGAUUAUGCUCGACAACACUAAAAAGCUGCCUAAGCCCGAGGAAUUAAGAGGGAAAAAGUAUUGCAAGCUACACUACACCUUCAAUCACUCCAUUACUAACUGUGUCCAAUUUAGAGAUUGGAUACAGGAUCUCAUCAUUAAACGGAAAUUGUUAUUGGAGAAACCUCAAGCCAACAUGAUGAUUGACACGAAUCCCUUCCCAAAGCUCCGAUAAACAUAGUCAACCUAAUAUGGACCAAGAAAGAAAGAAGAAAAGCCACUUGGGAAGCAGAAGCAGAAUGAAGGAUCCACAGAGGAAACUCUCAAAGUACCCGAAAAAUCCAAAGUAGCCAUAAAAGAAAGACUUUUACUAUUAAAAAGUUCUGAAAGUGGAAUUCAAAUAAAGGAAGGCUUCAUUCCAUUUCUUAAAGGGGUUACAGGGAUCUUAGUCUAAUAACUUUACAUCUUCAGUAAGAGCAACUACUUUAGAGAAGUAAGUUUGCAUGAUGGUAAAAAUCUGCUUUGGUUCUCCUAAAUACAUGUUGUUGUUCACAAGUUGGAAGUUGGAAUCCUCAACCUCCUAGGAAAUCUUUUCCAUCUCUUCUACGUUUUGAAAAAGGUGGUUGGUAAGUGUUACUUUCUCAGCUUUAAGAGAAGCCAAAUGCUCCUCCAAACGCUGGAUUUUGUAGUCAACAACUGCAAUCCUUCCUUUCAUCAUUGUCCCUUCCUCCACUAACUGACGAAGCAUGGUUGUGCUUUUUACAUGCUUUUCUUGAAAACACUUCACUCGAUUUGUUGCCCGCUCCGCCUUCUAAUGUCGAUCCCUUAAUGCCUGCAAAUUCUCAAAGAAACUUAGAAAAGAUUUGUACUGAACCUGGGACAAUAACUGAGCUUGGAAUAGCUCAAUGAGGGUCUUAUCUGCGUCAUUGAGGGUUUUAAGACUAAAGGAAGCUGUAAAAUCUUUUUUUGUCCAAUCCUUGAAGAUAUGACUGCAAACUAACAGGAAGGAGACUCUGAAGAUGGUGAAGGGGACUGCAAUUUGGUUUUGAUUUGCCCGAAUUUCUUUACCAAGUCAGGCAAGGAUGAUGCUGGUGAUGCAAAAGGUUCACCUCUCGUACCUUCAACCAUAACAAAAGGGGCAACAUCAACUGAAGAAAAAUGAGAUAUCGUAAAAGCAGAAGCAAGAGCAUAAGCAGGUGCAAGAAUGAGAGUAGUCGCUGUUGUGGUAUUGGCUCGUUUUUCAGGCCUAGGAAUGAAGGUUCAUGUACCCCCAGAGGUCGAAAAAAGAACGUGGAAGAUCUCUUUUACGUAUCAGGCGCAGUUGAGAGUUGCCCGAACCUUCUCCAGAACCCUGUUGCAGCCAAGACAAAUAUGUUAAAAAGAAGAACUCACAAGACGAAUGGAGACAAGGCAAAUUUACCUAAGUUGAGUCUAGAGCCUUGGAAUUAGGGGUUACUUCAAUUGAUUGCUGAAAGAGAUUGUCAUGGCCGACUAAGGAAGGAGAAGCGGUGCUCAAUCUUUCAACAAAAACCUACAAAUGACAAGAGCAAGAGUAAAGUCAGUGAUAAGUUUUGAAGAAAACAGAAAGUCUGAAUAAUAAUAUACCUAAGGGAGAACCUGAGGUUCGAAUGCAAGCACUUCAAAUACAUCAGCAGAAGUUGCCUGCGAGACUUGUGGGUUAGCCACCUCUAAAACCGUGGGAAUUUCAGCGACUAUGGGCUCCCCGAAAUUAGAGGCUAGUGAUUGAUGGAAUUCUUAUGCUUGAGAAGGCUAGAAAAGAUAAAAGUUAUUAAGUACUAAGAAGAAGGUUGCUUGGUAUAAAGGUAUUAGAAGGAGGUACUUACCGAAUUGCUGUCGUCCUCCACAUAAUGUGUCACCUUGUCACCUUCCCAGUGGAACGAUCAAAAUGAGAAAUUGGAGUCACCUCCAAGGGAAUAGAUUUUGCUCGAGAAGAAGGAGUUUGCUUCGACUGGGGUAAGAAAGAAGAAGUUUCGGUCGGUGAUAUCUUUUCUGCCCAAAUCUCCUAUUACAAGCGGUGGGGCACAGAGAGUUAUUAAGGGCAAAUACUUAGAAAAAAAAAAAGUAACACUUAAAGAGCGGCAGAUCGUACCUCCAGCUCUUUAAAAGAUAACUCUCAAAAUGCAUCAGUCUAUUGAUACAUCUGAGCUCUUAAUGGAUCCCUCUUUGAAACAAUAGUAGGUUUCUUGGAUGCUUAAAGUCCUAAGAGGCAAGAAGAAUUGAAUUGGUAAACCCUCAAACGCAAGUUACAGGUGAAAGAAUGAGGCAAGAAGCAUUUACUGAAGGUUUUCUGUUUUCGCUUGUCCACCACAAGAACCGCGAUGGUAGAAGGGUUUGAGGCAGAGACAGCUUUUAAAGACUUAAAAGUUUGAGCUCUUGUACUCUUCCUAGUUAAGGUUUCCAACUUAGGUUUAGGCUACUUUUCAGGCUCAGAAUCAUAAGUUUCCACCACAAUUGUUUGUGCCCACUUAGGUGCUUGGAUAUUGACUUCAAGCUCUUCUUCAGCUUCCAAUUCUCCCAAUAACUCGGAGAUAUCCCCACAUUCUCCAGCCUUUUGCCUUUUAGCCUCAGCUACAGCCCUCUGAAUGAUCAGUGCAUCGGCGGAUUCUUCCUCUGACCUAAUGUCCGCCGCUUCAGUAGUCCCUUAGGCUGCGAAUGUUAAAAAGAAGUAAAGAAUAAGCAGAUUCACAAAAUUUUCUUAGAAUGCAGAUUGAAAAUACAGAAAAGUACCUAUCAGAAGAAGCUGGUUCUUUUGAUAGACCAUUUCCUUCUAAUUCUCAAGCUUGCCCAAGCUAGGGUAAUAUUUGAGAGAAAGUUGGUUAAAAAGACGGUCGUAAGCCUCCCGUAAGUCCCCUCCAUACUUUUUGAUCCAUUUAGCCUCCCACCAAAUGGAGAAAGUCGAGGUACAUUCAAAAUUAAAGGCCAAAGGCUUAUGGGCAACUUUGCUCAUAACUUCGAGGCUACGUCGGGCAGCUCGGAAGAUAUCUUCAUGAGGGGAGUGAAGGUGAUAAGAAGUACCACAAUGGAUAAAAUUAAAAAAAAUGGUAUUGAAAUGGUCUGCCUGAAACCUAGCUGCCUGUUGCAGAAGUUUGGAUGAUAAAUUUCCAACCUGCGUUCAUGGCGAUCACUACGGACUCCUUAGGCUAUGUCCCUUAAUUGAAUACAACUAAUAAAUCUCUCAUUGCAAGAAGGGUUGGCAUCUUCCCCGAAAGCAUCUUGAAAGGCUUGAUCAGAGAACCAUGGAUACUUCCUAAAGACGGAUGCCCCUCACUCCAAGUAUGCCCGAGUUCUACAGACCCUAAAGAAAUAGAAGCAGGCAAAUAUGGAAUGAUCAGUGGAAGGAGCUUCGGCUAGGAUUCGGGCAGGGGCCACUCCUUCUGGGAACUCCAAGUUAGCUGCCCAAAAUUCUGGGAAGUACCAUUGCAACCAUAAUUAAACAAUCCGGAUUGGUCCAUUAAGGUUGGUCUCGGAUGGUUCAUCCCGAGUCAUCUACAAAAGGAGAUGGUAAAUAUAGGACAGAACGAACGGGCCCGUGGCAACAUCGUCAAAAUUAUGAAGAGCUUAUACUAAAGGGAUCCAUUCAACCUUUACUCCUUUGGAUUUGUUGAGGAAGGCAUGCUUGUUAAACUAGUAUAAAAUGAAGUACAUGUGCUCAUGAGCUAAGCUUGCAUGACAAGAACCAGCACCAAAGUUCUUUUUCACAAAAAGGAUGAAACCUUUGAAAGAAGUCUUAUAGCUUUUGAAAGUUGCAGAGUUAUAUUCCAAUUGGAUUGGAAAGGCUGAAGAACCAGAACUCUCAGUAGUCGGACGUGAAGGAGGAGCCUAGCCAUGAGUAACAUCCACGAUUCUAUCCGAAGGCUUAGCCCGAAGACUUGUACGAUAUCUAGAAUCGUUGGGGACAUAGGGCCCAUCCUAAAAUCGAAGGUAUUUGUGCCCAAAACAAUGGUGAGUAACUCAGGUUUGGCAACUAGUCUUCGAAAGCAUUAUCAACUCAUAGAUGUCAUUGUUUAUCCACUUCCGUUUAAAAAUUGGCUCAAGAUCAUUUAUCCACUAAACCCAUGCCGGGUCGUUCAUCAGAGGAAAGCCACAACGAUAUUGCGACCACUUAAAUAAAGAAAUGCCUGACUCAACCGUGAAUGGGUUAAGGGCGAACCAAUUGUCCCUAGGUAUGUUAGUCUCUACUACACUUGGAACCCGAGAGGUCCAUGCAAAACCCAAGGAAUGCACCCUAUUUUCUUCAAAAAGAAGUUCAGUACUUAGGCCUGCCCGAGAACGAUGAAGGUCGUUAAGUAAGCGACGCAUAAUGACGAUACUUUCGCCAGAUUCAUAGGAAGGUUGAAUUUGAAUGGUUUCUGAGGCCAUUAGACAGAUUUAGAAGGUGAAUAUGGAAAAGAUGAUGAAAUAGGAAAAUCUGGGAAAAUUUAAGGGCCUGAGUAUCUAGAAAAUACGAAGACUUGGAAAGAUUGAGAUAUUUAACCAAAAGGUUUGAAAGAAGAGAUUUAUAUGAGGCAGCGGUUAAUUAAUGAUUAAAAUUCAUGGGUUAGUGCAAAAGAUCCAGUGUAUAAACGGUUGCGUUAAAGAAGGCACAGGUUCCGAGUAAAGACGUGCAAAGGUGGUUACUGAAGAAGCAGCUGUUCAAUCAUUAUUUACGCAUCGAUCUGCAUGCUUAAAAUUGAUUGAAGAAGGCACUGUUUGGGUUAAUAUUUAAACCUUGGGCUUUCAGGAAGGAAAGCCCAAGAGAAUUCAAUAAAUAAGGUUUUGCCCGAAGAUAUUAUGGCAGCUCCCCAUCAAUGCAAAUGCCAGUUGCUUACAAAAAGUGACAACCGAUGGAAGAUCACCAAUUCUCGGCCCAAAAGUACUUUUUGGAUGGCAAACAUGUAAAAGGACUAGUGACUCACUACCCUUCAGUUGCUUUCGAGCAAGAACAGAAAUGACACAGUUGGGCUAAUUCGUCUAUAAAAUGAGGAAGAGGGCCCAGAGACAAGGACAAUCAAACAAACAAACAAACAAACAUAAAACUUGUCUCUCAGCUAAGCAAAUACCCUGAAAGUCAUGCUUUGUCCAAACUCUGCACCUUUUUAGCCUUAAACUUCUUUAGAAAGACAUUUAUGUCUAUGUAAAAGCUCUGCUACCUUUUCCCUAAAUGUUGCAGUAUCUAUCUUUCAUGUGUAAACUCAUUUCCAGUCAUCCCCUUUAGUACUCAAUCCUUUUUGUAAACUACUAAAGGAAGAGACCGCAAGACAUUUUAACCUUGCCCGACAAGGUGAAAUCUUGCCCGACUCUCUUUGUUUUUGCCUUUCCAUUUAUAGAUAUGGUAUUAUAAUGUAUCCCUCAGUAGAUAUGCAAGUCAUUUUUGGUUUCUUAACGAUCCGAAGUUCUAUUAACUCUCAGAUCUAGUUCACUUAGUACUUUUACUAUCGUGAAAGUAAAUGAAACUGAUGUUUUGAUUAGAUCUAGACCUCCACCCUUUGAAGCAUACAAGAUAAACUUUUAUGCCUUAAUCUCAAGGCAUAAAAAAGAACUUAAUGUGGACUUAACUCAUCCACAACAAUCCUUUGAUAAUGAAAAGUUAGAGUAACUUGGGGUGCAAGUAAUCAGAUUAAAUACACUCAUGCUACAUCUGCCAUAUAGAGAUAGCAAUGGCACACCUCAGCACUUACUUAGUUUUGAUUGUGAGCCUCACGGCCUACACCUAAGGCCCGACAAAGGCACAUUUCAGAACUAAUUAUGUCCUCUUCUUGUAGCCCGACGAGCAAGCAAGAGCCCGACAGCAAACCAAAGUGCCAACUCCUCGGGGAGCUGCGUGCUCGAGCCAGGGACCCUUCCCAGUGAAAUUUCUGCCCGAACAAGAGGAUUUUGGAAAAUGGCGCGAGGCCGCUGCGGCGUUUGGACCUGGCCUGAAAUUAGUUAAUUACCCAGAUGAAAAAAGAAAUAUAAAGUGAAUUAGAAGAUUUAUCACAGAGCUUACCUUCCCACCUUUGGGUUGCUUAAGGCGUAAUAAAACCCAGAAAUUAAAUUAUAAAAAAAAAGCUUCUUUGGGUCAAUUGAAAAGAAAGGAUCAGUACUUUUUUGGUUUUGAUGGUGAUACCGAAUGAUGGGCUAAGAGAAGCAGCGAUGGCAGGUUGAGGGGAGUCGAUGGCACGGUAGGUUGCUUGUAAGUGGGCUUGUCGAGCUCAGGUUCGGGUUUCGGAUGUAGAGGCAAGGGACGACCGGGUUUUAACCCAGAGUAGGGGGCGUGGUGGGAGAAGUAGGGUUUGUCUCUCUUCCGACUCAUGGUAUUAGAUGAGGUGAAGAAGGAUGAAGGUUUGCCAGAUGAGGUGAGGAGGGAAGGGGAAGAAGGAAGGAAGCAAUCGAGGAUCUCACGCAUCACAAAAUCAUUACUCAUUUGACAGCAAAUCAAAAAGGGUAAAGUUGAAAUAAAAGAAAAAUGGGCAAGGACAAAAUCGAAAAUCCACUGUAGAAUUAACAAUAAUUUGAGUCUAAAAGGAUAAAAUGGAAUUAAGUUAAAUUUUACUCUUUUAGUAUAUACUAGAAAAUAAGCUCGCGUGUUGCGGCGGGAACCACUCUUUCAGGCAUAACUGUAUGAACAAGAUACAUUUAACCUGAAUAAAUUCAACAGAAUCAUGAAAGAACAGAGGGACACAUGAGUGAAUAAGGUUGAUAAGAUAAGCAGCUUCACUUUUUUAUACAUUCAACUAAGCUAACAUGUAAAGACAUUGCAUAAUUAGUAAGAAGAAACUAAACGCUCUUGAUCACAAAGACAUGGUUGCCAAAAAAGUUCUGUUUCCAUAAGGAACAGCAACUAACUAUAUGUAUAGGACCCGGAAUAUGUAUCACAUCAUUCUCUAGUGCUUAUCAGGAGUAUUUUCUAUUAGCAUGUUUACAAAUUCUCUAGUAUGUCAAAAAGUAAAUAAAUUCUCUAUUAUAUAUGUUUUCUGUAAUCGUACUUGGUGGUGAAACAAACAAUGUUUACUGACGCAUUCAGACUAAGGACAUAUAAUAAUCCGGUAAUGGAAUUAGAUCUAUGCAAUCAAUUGAACAUGUCAAGUAAAAUCAUAUUCAGUUGAAUCCAAACUAUAGCAUGCUGAAUAAAGACAGAAAAUGAUACAACAGUAAAAACUUCUGAGAAUAGUCAUAAAAGAAUUUAUGUUUGAAAACUUCUAAUAGGAAGAGAAAAGUUUAAUGUACUCACAACAUCCUUCAUUGUGGUACAGCAUCCUUACAUGGACGAUAAACCAUAUUUGACACAGCCAUUAUCACAAUCUUUGGAGAACUUUUCAGUUUUAGGAGUGCUCAGAUUGUACCCAUUCCAAUCUGGAAUUAAAUAAGAACUCAAUCAAAAACUUUAAUCCUACAAUUCAAUGCUGAAAAACUAAAGUAGCCAGAAACGAAAAGAUCUAAGUGACAACUUGUACGAACGUUACAAAAAUGCAGAACGCGAAAUGCAUUAAAACUUCUAGAAACUCGAAGGAAAUCAUUCUACUCUCCUUAUAUUCUUCCCCUUUCUCUAACCAAAUAAAAGUUCCCAAAAAUAUGCACAAAAAAUUCUAAAAAAAAAAAACAAUACAAAAUUAAUGCAAGCAAAGGAGAAGAAAUUGUUGCAAAGGGGAAAUUAGAUAAUUAUGCCACCAUCAAACAUUGCACGGAAGGCAUCCAAAUAAUCAAGCAGGAAAGUUAUGUGAGCAUAGAACCGUUUACCUGCAAUUGGUCAGUACACAAUAAAAAAUUUAAAGAGAUCCCUUAUGUUAACAAUACAAUCACCUAUGCUAAUUGAAUAUUCUACAAUGUCAGCUAAUAUAUCAUACUUAGGAAAAGGUUAAAUAAAGAUAAAUGACUUAAACCUUCGAUUAAGAAAAUGACAUUGGACAGCAUAAGAUACAUACUGCUUCCCAGAUAGACCUGCAUGAAGAUUUCUCCACCAUCACAGGCAAUUCAUACCAAAUAAAUACUUUAUUGCUUAAGAUGAUAGUAAUUUUAAAUGCAAGAAAGCAACCAUAGAAUAAGCAUAUAGAAUUCGAUUUCUUUCCCCAAAAACUGUACUGAAUCAAGCAGAUGAAAUAGACUUCAGUUUUGUUCAAGCAGAAUUCAAAAGCUAAAACCAGAUAUUAGAAAAGCUUAUUAACAUCUCAACCAACAACCUUUAGCUCCUAUUCAAACAUCAUGGAAUCAGUUUCUACAAUGAAACCAUUACAGGUGAGAAAAUUUUGACUCAAAUAUGCGACAUUACAUUUAACUGAAGAACCUAAAACAAAAGUAUAGCAAAUUAUAUACCUUAAAAUGUCAAGCAACCAAGUUGUUCCUCCAACGACCCAAAAUUCUGAAAUAAAAAAAUAGAGGGUAAAUCUAUUAACAAUUCAGAACCUUUAAAAUUAUAAAAAAAAAAUGGGAUAACAGUAAAGAAAUUGACAAAAAAAUCAAACCUACCAAUCAUUGGUGACCUUCAUAUGAUAAGCAACCUCUCAUACCGCAGCCUCAUAGGCCUAUCCAAAAAAUAUGAACCUAUAAUAUUCAUUCCCCUAGGCACCAAAACCACCAUAGUUGUCUCAUCUCCCAAGCCGCAUAGCUAUUCUUGAAAACCCACUAUACCAUUUUCCUAUCUACCCCCAACUCCACUCUUCAAUUCAUCAUAUCUGUCACCCAGCUCUAAAUCUAUAUUCUAUAGUUCAGUCAAAGGAAUGAUCUUAUUGUAGUGCCUAACUACGUUAAUAGUUCAUAAUCAAACAAAAUUAAGGAUGAAAAGUCUUGGUACUUGUAGGCAAAGGCUCAACCCACCAAUCUCUUCCUAAUCAAAGUACAAUAGCUGCAAAAAGAGGUGGUUCAUGGUAAACCCCUGAGUGAGAAAGAAAAUGUUUAAUCAAAGAGACUUCAAACUCAUAACCACAUAAAUAACAAUCUUAUUAUUAUAAUGGAUGGACGUAAUAACCUUUAUUAUGUUUUUAGACACAAAUCAUAAGACUAUAUAUUUCUAGUUUCAUUUCACCUGUAAUUUAUAACAUGCCCCCUUCUAGUUUAAACUUCAAAGGAUGCUUUUCUUUAAUCAUAGUUCUUGACAAUCAGUGAAGAGUAAUAACACAUACAGACAUUAAAGUUGAAACCUUUUCCAAGCAGAUGCUACACAUACAAAAAUAUAUUAAGCAUAAAGACCUUAAUCAUUAAAAGCUAAGAAUAUGCUUUAUAAAGGCACACCUCAACAGUCUCAAGAAUUUUGUUCCAAGUAUAGUCUAUUUUUCAUUUUCAAAAUGAAACAUCUUCAUGUACCAAAUAAAUGAUAACAUAAAGUAUGAUUUUCAAUUGACAGAAUUUUGUAAUCGAACCCACAUAUAUAUGCACAUAGAAAAAUCAACUAUUUCCCUAGUACUAACAAAAUUAAUAGUGUAUAUAUGUAAUAUAUAUAAAACUACACUUUUGGAUUUGGAGGAGGAAGCAACCAUACCCUGAAUGUGUCCAAGGCUAAUCAAAGACUUGACUUGUUUGUUAGUCAGUUCUUUGCUCAAAUUUCUCUCAUUAUAUGUACUUGAACCUGGACCCAUGCACUUGUACUCUUCGCAUGCCACAUUGCUGCAAUUUCAAAUUAUAUUAUUAACUCUCAAAACUAAUUACAUGAAACUGUUUAAUCAUGUUUUAAUUGACAUAAUCUGCUUACUUGUUACAUUCAAGGUGGUUAUCAUCGCUCCAGCAGCAUACACCAUCUAGGGUCCACCUCUCCAAGUCCUGCCUAAAUAUAUGCCACUGCCUACCCCAUUAAUUAUAUGUUACAUUGUUAGUCACCAAGCAUCAAAAGUUCAUAACCAUGACUUGUAGACAAACAAAAAGAUUAAAUACACAUAUCUUAGUUAAUCCACCCAAACUAUGUUUUGAGAGGGGGAAGGGGAAUAAUCAUGCGGAACUUACAGUUUAUACGGUGAGACUCGCAUAAUCCACUCGAUCAUUGUCAUUACUAUACAUUCUUCAUAAAUUAUAUGAAAAUUAUGGGGAAAACAAAUAACAUGCAUACAUCUAUAUACGUAUGGCUUAACACCUCAGUGUAAAUAGAUUAAAUAUAAACAUUUAGAAAAUAUUGGAAUUUCUUGAAAAUGACACUAAAAUAGGAAUCUCAACCCAAAUAUCAUCACAGAAGCAAAACUUCCCCCGUUUGAACUGUGAAACAAAGAUCACAAAAGAACAUGGAAAAGACCUGAGCUUGUCUUUCCAUGGGCAUCACCACGACCCUCUAAUGAACUCAAAUAAGUCACAUCAUGCAACAUGUAUUUACUCCAUAGCCCAUACAACAAAAUUCCACAAAGAAUUUGUUCCCAAGUGGGCAUACACAAAUCUACCAAUUUUUUUUUUUUUUAAUCAAACUCAAUGUUUAUGCUGGUAUGAGUGGGGAACUGCUGAUAUGGGGUGAACCUGGUGUAGGUUCAAAACAAAAAACAAUCGUGUUUGAAAAAUGGGUGUAAACUAUUAACUUCUGACCUAUUAUCUUUUUCCAUUACUAUGUGCAGUUAAACAUCUGCAAGAAUGUUUUUCGUUGGUGGAAGCUGUUUUAGAAGAGAAUGGAAGUUCUUCCAAAGUCGGAUUCUAGUUUUUAAUCUUGUAAUGAUUUCCAUCACUGGGCAAAACUGAUUUUUCUAAUACGUGAUGGACUUGUUAUUUCUCUCCUGAGUUAAGAACAACAAUUGCAGGACCAAUAAGGACUCUGUGAACUGCAAGGAUUAAGAGUGCAGGAAAAACAUUAAUCCAGAUAAACAAAAGAAAAUACGUAUCAAAGAGCACCAAAAAGGCAAAAACUUUAAAGUUUGUCAAAUAAAUUUCAAUUCAAGGGUUUAAACCCAUCAAUCUAAGUGGAAACAUACAAAGUACAAAAAAUAGAAAAAUAAGUAGAGAUGGAGUUUAGAACAUUGCAAUUGAGGCUCCUCUCAUUAAUUUUUUUUUUUUUUAACAAGAACACAUACACAGCCCCGUAAGAAACAAUUCAUGAAGCUAUUCAACGUCACAUGAAACAACCUAUGGUAUAACAACAUGUUAAGACUGAGCUAUAGCAUGCUAAAUACCCUUGUCAUUACCAACUCUGAUUCUCUUUGAGAGGGAAAAAUAACAGAGAAAAAUAUAUUAUCAGUCAUCUUUUACGGGCAAGAAGACAAAAAAUAAUUACUACUAAUAACUCAAUACAUCACCACUGAUAACUCAAUACAGAGAGGGAAGAACUUACAAUUAGGUUUUCUCAAAAGAAAAGCGCAGAAAGUAACGAAGAGACACAAAAAAUAGAAACUGAAUACGUAAUUUAUAAACAAAGAAAUCAAGCAGUGAGUGUACACAAACACACAGAUAUACACAUAAACACACACACAGGCACAAAUACAACAAAGUUAAAACAGAGCUCAAUUAAAAAAUGACUUUUUUUUUUUUUCUUCAGAAAAUCAUAGAUUGUAAAUCAAUCUAUUCUAUUUACUAAUUUUGUUCCAAUUCAAAUCACAGAAAGGAAAUGAAAAGUUUAAAACAGGAAUGUCAAAUACCUUGACCUAAAUACAAUGCUUUAGCAAGCUGACCACCAGUAAUCUGCACACAACACCAAUCCGAGAAAUACGAACUUCGGGAUUGAGUGAAAAACAUCUGGUCAAUAAAUUUAAUAAGUUUAGGGAUUAGUAUUCUGAAAGAGGGAUUGAAAUAUUAAAAAACUAAUAAAAGGGGUAAAAUUCUAUACAUCAAAUGACAGUCAACCCUAAACCGUGGUUUUGAAGAUCAAUAUAUUCGAUGUUUUCAUCAUGAAAAACGCAUUGAAUUGUUGAUCAUGUUUAGGAUGACAAACACUUUACAGCAAUUUUAAAAGCAUGCUUGUUCAAAGACAUAAGCUAUAAUCAAACCAAACAGAAAAAAUUAAAUCUAUUUCUAACAACAGGAACCAUAAUUUCCUACAAAAAAUAACAUAUCUCAACAGAUUUGUUAGCAAACUAUUCACAGUGCAGCAUAUGUGAAUGAACAAAAACCAGAUGCAUAAUGUAUUUUAGAGGGAUAUAAAAAUUGAGCAUUUGAUUCACAGGGUCAACACAACAACAAAUAAUAGGGUAAUGAACAAAAAGGGUCAAAAUGCAUACAGUUUGAUUUAUGCAGAGAAGCUAUAACACUGAAAGACCAACACAAUAAGAAGAAAAAGAGAAAUGAAGAGGAAGAGGAAGUAGUAUUAUGAGACAGUGAAGAAAGCAGCACAAAAUAUCUGUUUUUCUGUCCCAAUUAAUAAUUUAAAAAGAAAUCUUGCACUCCCAACUACAAGUUGAAGAACCGAACCAGAACCAGAACCAAACAGAAAACAAAGCAAGAAAAAAAGCAUGUUUCUAAGCAGGUUCAAACCAGAAACAGUGAAAUAAGGGAAAAUUUGGUUUAAAAGGGACACUUAGCUUUGAAAGGAAUUCAAGCUGCCAGCUGGGAGAAAUCCUCAUCAAUGCUUGCAGAGAUAGCUUCCAGCUGGAACCAAAUAUUUGAAACCAACCCUAGGUUUAGGCGUCCCUUCCUGCCUCACCGUUUCUCUAAAGCAGAGCUCACCAAGAAAAAACAAAACCCAAAUUUCGGGCAGCCCUACCUAUUGCUUUGCUCAUCCUACCCCCCUCUCUCAUCCAAUUUUUCCUUCCAGGAGUCCUCAUCUUUCUUCCCUCUGGCAUCGCACGACCCCUCUCUCUUCUCUCUCACAUCACAUGACACCUCCCCUCUCUUCUCACUGGCAUCGUUGCAAGCUAGGCCUACCCGUAUCGGCCAUCCAUCCGAAAAACCCAACCACAAACAAAACCCACCAACCUAGUGACAGCCCAAACUUGCAAAAGCCCAUACAACUAAACCUGGAAAAAAAAAAAAAAAAAAAAAAAAAAAAAACCAGGCAAAACCCUUAGAGCAAUGGCAUGUCUGUAAAUAGAGUGCAAUUCAGAUCCAAAAACUAUUCAUUUGUACAGUGAAAUUGAAAAGCCUUCUUUAGACUAAAGUAAUAUAAUUUCCAAACAAAGAUCAGGCCUUCCAAUACCUACAACAAGUAUACAACUAAUCGCGGUUUGUCUGUCAUCUCAACGCAAACAGUGCAGACAGAAAGGAACUGGAACCCAAAUGAAAAACCUUGAAACAUUUCGGUCUCCCAAGUUAAAAUCUUAUUCGGCCACAAUAUAAAGUCUCGUUGCACUUGCAAGAAGCAAGAUCAAAGCCUUUUCUUUUGAUUAUUUCAAUCUUACAAACAACUCUGCAAGUCAAAUUUUUUAAUUUCCUGCCCCCAUCCUAAUCUUGUUCAAAUCUUCGAACGUAAGAAACCAACUUAAAAGCCUAAUUCCCUCCAUCAAUUCCAAUCCUAAACAUGAAAAUACAAACUUAAAAAUUAUCCAUACGCCCUAAAAAGAACCAAAUUUCAGAAUGUAAUCGUAUCAGUUUAUAGUAUUUCAUUAAAGCACAACAAUCAACUCCACUCAUCCAACCCUGGUUCCACUGUUGCGAGUGCAUUUUCGAUCACUGCCCUUGAGAACUCCCGUUGAUUUCUUUUCUUAUGUAUGUACUGUCCUACUGUUUAUGAUUCAUUGUUAUUACUCCGCGCAAAAUUGUUAAUUUUUUCAAAGUACUCAAAGUAUUAUCAUUAACUUACCAAAAUUUGGAAGUAACUGUUGUGGCCUAUUUAACUGAAGGGGAAUAGGGGGUGAAUAGGGGGUGAGGCAAGAGAGAGUAUGGAGAGAGUGUAAUAAUUUAUUAUGUGAAUGUUAUUACCUCUACGCAUUAUCUUUAUUUAUAGUAGAGAAUAAGGAGAGGAUUAACUUGUCCUCCAAGUAAAUACAAUCAUAUAGGAAGAGAAUAACUAGUAACCAAAUCUAUCUAGGAUUUCUCAAUCCAAGAAUAUCUUUAACAGUUACGAUAUUAUUUGUAAAACACUGCAAUUCAAAACAUGGCAUGGCCAAAACUAAGGCUCCACAAUUAUCUUUCCGGUAGCAUGGCCAUCGCUGAUCCUAUCCCAAGCGUCCUCCGCCUUGGCCAAGGGAUACUUUGAGUCAAUUAUAGUCUUCAGCUUCCCUUCUUUCACCAACUUAAUAAGAUACUCAAGGUUAUCAGCCGUGGGAAAUAAGAACAGUGGCACCAGUUGCUUCUUAGAAAAGGUAAGUUUCUUCAGUGCAACGCUAAACAGAGAGCUGGGGGUGGGAGUAACAUCUAUUACCUUACCGUUCGCACUCAAAUUAGGCUCAAAAGUUGACCAAGGAAUGCAUGUUGCACAGUGGAUCACAACAUCAUAUUUUCGACCAGAUGGACUCCUAAGAGCUGCACCUUCUGGGGUCUUGUAGUCAAUAACCUCAUCAGCCCCUAGGCUUUUGACCAGUUCAAUGUUGCGGGCACCACAAGUGGCUGUAAUAUGAGUAUUUCCAAGCUUUGCCAACUGAACCGCGUAGAGACCUACACCACCUGAAGCAGCUGUGAUCAGGAUGUUUGCUUGCUGACCACUUCCAUCAAGCUUGAUCCCUGCAGUUUGUGUAAGAGCCUGGUGAGCUGUGAGACCAGCAACGGGUAAUCCUACAGCGUUGGCUGCUGAAACUUCCGAUGGCCUUGCAACAGUUAAACUCUCCAUUGUCACGGCAAAUUCAGCUAGUCCACCUCCAGUCUUUGAUUCAUUGUCGAAGAACAGAAUGAGACAAAAAGGGACAUGGUAUGUAUCAAUGAAUGAUGCAUCAGAUAUCUAGGUGACACAUUCUGUCACUGGGUUUGCAUAUUAAGCACACCAAAAGUGGUUUUUACAUGCAAUAGUUCAGUCUCAUGCCGACUGGAAUGACACUAGGGAAAGAGGCACACAAAGUCGAUGAAGGGGUUAACGAGGGGUUUACAAAUACAACAAUUCAGAUUUGGAACAAAUGGAUUCAACUUUUCAAAUUAGUAGAAUACUUAUUCAGAUAUCAUUGAUGAAAAUAAUAGUUCUAAAUUAAGUUAAAUCCAUCUAUAUGCAUGUUUCCUAGAUGUAUGUGGAGCCUAAAAGAUGCUAUUUCCAAAACAUGAUAUGGAAGCUUAAUUCCCUUUUUCUGAAUUAUGUUAUCCUUUCAGUUAAAUUUUAAUUCGCCGAAAACGAAGACUAAAUUUGAAGAAUUUCAAGUGAAACAGAGAAAAUGAGCUAGUAUACAAGGGAACUUACAAGAGUGUUAACCUUUCCAACAACUUUGUCACCAGGUUUGAAUUUUUUUACUCCAGGUCCUACCUUUACAACCUUUCCUGCCACAUCAAUACCUGUUCCGAGUUCCACCAAUGAAUAUCUUCAGUUAACAAAACGACUUCUCACAAAAUGUGGUCCUGUGAAAACUUCUACAUAAAACAUGUUAAGAAAUGCAUCCCACCCUUUCCCCUUGAAGAACUCGAAAAACUAUGCUAUAAUAUCAGUGUUUACGUAAGAAUCUCUCCCCGGAAAACACACAAAUCCAGAAGUUUAUUAGAUGAAAUGAACAAGAAACAGCACAUUCAAAUGCAAAGUAUUAGCGUGUUUAAGCAUUUAUCUAACAUUCGUACUACUUUUCAAGAAGAAGAUCAAAUAAUGCAUGGAAUGAAGCAUAAUUACGUAAAGAGUUAUAAACACAAAAUGGAUCCCCUAAGUAGCAGCGUCUCAAGACAGCCAAACCAAAUUACCAGGUAUGUGCGGAAACCUGCGAGGCAACAAAGGCCAGAGCAUGCCUUUCUGAGCUUUCCAAUCAAUUGCGUUUAGACUAGUUGCCUCCAAUUUCAGCAGCACCUCAUCUUUUUUCGGAUUUGGAAUUGGAACUUCAACAUGCUGCAAUAAGGCCAAUGUCAUGACAAGAAUGUGUUCUGCAAAGUUCUUCAAAGCAAAAGCGGCAAAAUGCAAUGUAUCCACAUAAUACACCAACAACUUUGUUUAACAAAACCUAGUAAUGGAGUAAAUCCCUGUUACUAUUUCUUUCAUCAUGUGAUUCAGAUAAAAACAAUAAAAGUAAAAGAUAAAAGAUAAAACCUCUGCCUUUAUCCUUUCCUUCCCAACAUUGCAAUGACUCAAUCAAGUACUCGUAUUCCAAGUGGGAUUGCAGUUAUUAAACUGAAAAUAUGACUUCACCCGUGAAACAUAGAUUUUUCUUCUAAAACCCGACAUAAUUGUUUUACUUGAUUAAAGCCCGGCAAUUAGGAUCCCCAUAAGCAUAUUCCUUAAUUAAGCUUGAAUACAAAUAUUUUACAUGUUUCCAAUGGCUAUAUUAUCCCUAAUAACAAUUGGAUUGAGACAUUUAUUUUCCUAUUCUAUAUUAUCCCUAAAUGGGUACAUUAAUGAUAUAUAAAUAGACAAACAUUAUGAAACUCAUUGAAGGCGCAAAACAAGGAGUAAAUCUUUGAUAUUGACAUGAUUGGAGAAUACUUGCAAUUUUGUAAAAUGAUUGCAGUAAUGGGUCAACUAUUUCUCUAGCUUGCAACUCAUAUUAAAUUUUGGGUUUUAUUUAGAGGUUAAGAAGUGCACGGGUAUAUUGAACUCCCGAAAAAAAAAAUAACAAACAAGUGAGUUUGCGUUUAUGAAAUAAGAGUUACAAGUCUAUAAACAACCUUUAAACCAGAAGUUCCGCCCCCAUAGUUGUCGUACUGAACCGCAUGCAUGGUCUCAUUGGCCAUAGUCUCUCAGUUGUAAGUCCAACUAACGUUUCGAAGAGCCGCAGAAACUUGAAGCUCCUCCCUCCCGGAUUCUAUGAAGUGCAGAGCUUAUGCUAGUAGUACAGCAAUGGAAUCGUUAGUCCAUGUCUAAUGUGGAAUAAACUAAUACACGUGAUUCAUAAGGAUGUUGACUCAUAGGCCCAUGUCUAUUGUGGAACAAACUAAUACACGUGAUGUUGACUCGUUGGCACAACUAAUUCACGUGAUCAUAAUGAUGUGGGCGGUACAAUAGAUACAUGGUCUCCAUGUUAAAUAGACAAUACGUGGUCCAUAUGUUAAAUAGACAAUACCACAAGUAGAUGGUGCCUAUGUUAAAUAGACAAUACGUAUGCGGUCCAUAUGUUAAAUAUACAAUAAGUGGAUGCAGUGGUGAUGCCAAGAUUUGCCGAGGAGAGGGGUGAAAUUCAAGAGAGUGUAAGAUUCAAUUGAAUGCGGUUGCUUUUAUAUUGGAGAGUGCAAAGUUUUGAGUCAAUAUUCAUAGCAGAAAAUAGUAUCUACACCAAAGCGGUUGUAAGCAGUAAUAUCAAAAUCAAUGUAAUAAGCUUAAAUUGGCUAGGAUUAUGUUUCAAAAAAAAACGCUAGUCAGGCAACGGGCUGGAACCUAGUAAUUAGACACCUAGGCGAGAUCUAGACAAGAGCCCAGUAGGAUUUAAAUGAAUUUCUUUUUGUAAAAUGAUUGCAGUAAUGGGUCAACUAUUUCUCUAGCUUGCAACUCAUAUUAAAUUUUGGAUUUUAUUUAGAGGUUAAGAAGUGCACGGGUAUAUUGAACUCCCGAAAAAAAAAAAAAAAAAGAUAGGUGAGUUUACGUUUAUGAAAUAAGAGUUACAAGUCUAUAAACAACCCAUAAACCAGAAGUUCCGCCGUCAUAGUUGUCGUACAGAACCGCGUGCAUGGUCUCAUUGGCCAUAGUCUCUCAGUUGUAAGUCCAACCAACGUUCAAAAGAGCCGCAGAAACUUAAAGCUCUUCCCUCCCGGAUUUUAUCAAAUACAGAGCUUAUGCUAGUACAGCAAUAGACUCAUUAGCCCAUGUCUAUAGUGGAACAAAUAAUACGCGUGAUUCGUAAUGAUGUUGACUGAUUGACCCUUGUCUAUUGUGGAACAAAUACAUGUGAUUCAUGGGCUAUAGUGGAACAAAUAAUGCGUGAUUCAUAAUGAUGUUGACUGAUUGAUCCUUGUCAAUCAUGGAACAAAUACACAUGAUUCAUAUUGAUGUAGACAGUAAUUUCAGUAUAUGGUCCCCAUGGUAAAUGUACAGUACAUAUGUGGUCCACAUGUUAAAUAGACGAUCAAUAAGUAUAUGGUCCCUAUGUUAAAUAGACAGCAUGUAUGUUGUCCAUAUGUUAAAUAUACAAUAAGUGUAUGCAGUGGCGAAACUAGGAUUUACCGAGAAGAGAGGUGAAAUUCAAAAUAGUGCAAGAUUCAAUCGAAACAGUUGCUUUUAUAUUGGAAGAGUGUAAAGUUUUGAGUCAAUAUUCAUAGCAGAAAAUAAUCUCUCCACCAAAACCGUUGUAAGCUGUAAUAUCAAAGUCAAUAUAAUAAGCUUAAAUUGGCUAGGUUUAUAUUCUAAAAAAAAGACGCUAGUCAAACAGCGGACUGGAACCUAGUAGCUAGGCGCCUAGGAGAAAUCUAGGCAGGAGCCUAGUGGGAUUUAAAUGAAUUUCUUUUAUCAUUAUAAGCCUAUUUGAUUAAACGAUCUAGGGUUUAGAGAGAGAGGGGACCGGCUAUGGUUAGAGAGAAGAGAGAGUGAUUUAAUUGUGAGGUGUGUUUGAUUCAACCCAUUGUGGUUCAUAUGUUAAAUAGACGAUACAAUAAGUCCCCAUGUUAAAUGUACAGUACGUAUGUGGUCCAUAGACUUGGCAUUCGUGUCAUGUUUUUCGUAUUCGUGUCGAUUUCGUGUCAUACCCGAUAUCUUAACGGGUCGUGUCGUGUAACACCCGUUAAAAUAAACGGGUAAAAUGAUCCGAUCUGAAAUCGACCCGAUAAUAUAAACAGGUAAUAUGACCCGACCUGUUACCCAUUAAGGAAAAUAUAUUUUAAACCAAUAAAUAAUCAAAUGAAAAACAUAAUACUAAAUAAGUAUAUACAUACCAUAUUGUCACAUCCAAAACAUAAAAACGCAUUUUUCUUUUAAGUAUAUUUUCACUUACCUAAAGUCUUUAAUAGUUUUUAAUUAAUGUAGAAGUGUAAAAAAAUAUAGAAAAAAAUAUAUAAACGCUCGUAAUGACAAGCUUUACAACUUUCAUGAAGAGCUUAACUUCGAAAUUUGCUACUAUAAUCAUAUAAAUCAUAUAUCAAAAUUUAACUGUUGAUUGUUGUUUACAUUUACGCUUCAUUGUUCUCAUCAAAUUGUUUUUUCAGAUUUUCUUUUUUGAAAACUUGAUCCAUUAGAGGAUGCAUGAAGAUAAACGGUUUGGAUCGUUAAUAUUAUAUUUAGAGUUUUACGAUUAGUAAAAAUAUUGCUUGAUGUUUAUAAAAUUUCUACAAACUAUAUGACAUCGACUCAUAUUUCAGUUAACCGUAAAUAUCGAAAUGUGAUAUCAAAGAUAUGAACCGUUCAUCUUCUUACAUCUGCUAGAUAAUCAUGUUAAAAAGAAAAUUUUUAAAAUAAAAUUCAGUAAGAAGAAUAAAGUGUAAAUGACAAUCGACAGUUAAAUAUAAAUUUAAGGUUUAUAAAUUAUAGUGUCGGAUUUCGAAGCUGACCCGUCAUGAAAGUUGUAAAGUUUGUCACUAUGAGUGAUUUUAUUUUUUAUUUUUUACACUUCUACAAUAAUUAUUAUUAAUUUUAUUAAUUUUGUCCUCAAAUAAAAAAUAUUAUUCGUGAAGGUUUGGAGGAUUUUAAAAAUCUAAACGAUAAUGUAAGUGUAACAAUUAUCUACUCGUGGAGGAAUAAUGAUGAAUUACAAGUGUUUAUAUAUUCUUUCACAUUUUUCAUACUUGUAUGUAUGUCUUCUUAGUUCUUGCAUAUACAAAUACUAUAUUAGUUUAUUUUAAUUUUGGACAACAUCGUGUUAAGUAAAAUUUAUAGCCCUGGUGAAUCAUACGAUGAUGGUAAAAGGGAGACUAAAAUUCCUCUGUGAGUUUUCCUGGCUCCCAAAAAUGUGGGCUACCAUGACGAAGCCAAUUUGUCCCUUUUUUGAAAGAAAAAAAUACACAUGAUUCAUGUUAAUAUAAUAAAAUUAGUAUUUUGUCGAUCUUGUAUUUCCACAAACUAAUUCAUGUUAUCUGUAUUUUUUUGAUCUUGUAUUUCCACAAACUAAUACACUACUACGAAACCAUUUACUACUGUCGCUAUGAUAACUGACAAGAAACGUAUAUUACUAUCAGAUAUUAAGCAAAAUUCAACAGAAAAUGGAUGCAGUGGCGGUUAUAAUAAGUGACAUAAUUGCUAGCGUUAGGAAAUGAAUUUUCCAACAGAAAAUACUCUAAAAUAGACAGAAAUUGUGUCGGAUAUAACCGACAAAGAAUACAUUAAUACUGAAUAAAUCAGAGCAUUCUCUGUCGAAUAAAACCAACAAAAAAUAUAUUAAUAAAAAGAAAUAUAAACCACUUUCUGAAUCAUUUCUUUCCCUUUCAAGUUAGCCUUCCCUGCAUUCAUUGCAUUUUCCAGCUUUGAGAUAUGCAACGUUCCUCUAAGGUACACCAUAUUCUUCAUUUCUUCAAGUUUGUUUCCUAUUUCGCAGCUAACCUGAAUAUAUUUAUAGACAGAAGUUUGACCCCCAACAACAAGAAAAGGAUUGGAAAGACAGAUAAAUAUAUUUGAAAAAGAAAAGAAAAAGACAAAUCGGAAAUCUGGGCAAGUUAUGCAACCGCCUACACUACUCCCCGGGGGUUACAGUUCAGGCAGUGCUCCUGUUCUCCGACACUCUCCUUUCUUCACCACCUUUAUCAUCACAAACCUUGUCUCGCUGAUCAGCUCAUUGUCUUUUCUCGUCACGUUUCUCUCGAUCUUGACAUCUCAAUUUGAGUACAAAAACUUCCAUCAAUCUCUUCUGCUCAGGCUGCAUUUAGGAUUUGCCUUUCUUUUCUUCUCGCUAGUGACGACCAGGCUCUCAUUCAUUGCUACAGUUGUGCUCUUGAUUCAUCUCGAUGAGGAAUUAACAACGUCUCUCCUUUACGUUGUUGCCUUUUUUCCUGUGUUUGUAUUUGGGCUCAUACAACAACUUCCUUUGUAUGCUGGAUUUUCUCAUGCUUUGAUAUUUCUAUUUAAGAAAGUUAAGAAGUUUAUAAUUUCUAUUUAAAACACAAACUGAACGUAAUACAAAUAAUUUAAAACGUACUGGUUUUGAAAUGUUGCUUCUCGAAUUGUUUAUCCAUGGUGAUUGAAGCGAGAAUGAGAAUGAAAUGAAGAGAGGAGAAAAGGGAGAAGGAAGGGAGAAGGCACCGGUGCAAGGAAGAGAUUGAGGGGUUUUAUUUUGGAAAAUUUUCAUUACUGCCGGUUAUAAUCGAUAGAAAAAAAUGGCGGCAAAAAUCCUCCCAAAAUUUUAAAAGGAAAACUAAUGAAAAGGGCUUGAAAACUUUGAGUUUUAAUGAUAAGGACAAAAUAAAGGGUAAAGUGAAUAGUACCAGGUGCUUUUCGUUAAAGUUCCCAAUUUUAAAUCCCCCCCCCCAAAUUUUGUUACGAUUUAAAAAAAUAAAAUAAAUUGAACGGAGAUAUGCAUUCUACGAAACUAGUUUCCAUGAUCUAACCGUCAAACAUGUUUGUAGAUACUACAAGAUCGCAUAUAUAAAAAAUCGCAAAAAAAAAAAAUAAUAAUAAUAAGAUAUUAGGUAAUAGAACAAAAGUUUUUUACGGUUAUAAAUGAAAAAUCACAAUUUAACGGUUAUUUUAGCUCCGGUUUUGAUGAUUUUUUUACAGCUACACUCAUCGACCCUAUAAGAAUUCAAUGAACGAAUUCGAUCUUCAAUUUAAAAUAUUUACACUAGUGGAUACCACAAAAUCUUAUUUUAUACUUAAUGGAAGUACAAUAUUAACUCUAAGUGUUUGUUUAAUCUACCGUUUUGACGUGAUAUGCAUUCUACGAAACUUUUUUCAACGAUCCAACCAUCAAACAUAUUUGUACACACUCCGAGAUAGCAUACGUAAAAAAUCAUAAAAAAUAAACAUUCAAAGAUUACGUAACGGAACAAAAGUUUUCAACGGUUAUAAACAAAAAAUCACAAUUUAACGGUUAUUUUAGUUCUGAUUGUAAUGAUUUUUUACAGCUACACUGCUCGACCCUAUAAGAAUGUCAUAAAUAAAUUUGAUCUUCAAUUUAAAAUAUUUAUACUAGUGGAUACCACAAAAUCUUAAUUUAUACUUAAUGGAAGUAAAACAUUAACUAUUUAAGUGUUUAUUUAAUCUACCAUUUUGACGUGAUAUAUAUUCUACAAAACUUUUUUCAAUGAUCUAACCAUCAAACUUGUUUGUACACACUCCGAGAUCGCAUACGUAAAAAAUAAAAAUAAAACAAACAUUCAGAGAUUAGGUAAUAGAACAAAAAAUUUCGACGAUUAUAAACGAAAAAUCACAAUUUAACUUUUAUUUUAGCUCCGAUUUUGAUGAUUUUUUUACAGAUACACUCCUCGACCCUAUAAGAAUGUAUUGAACGAAUUCGAUUUCAUUUAAAAUAUUUACACUAGUGGAUACCACAAAUCUUAUUUUAAACUUGAUGGGGAAGUAUAAUAUAUUAACUCUAAGUGUUUGUUUAAUCUACCGUUUUGAUGCGAUACGCAUUCUAUGAAACGUUUUUCAAUGAUCCAACCAUCAAAAUUGUUUGUACACACUCCGAGAUCGCAUACGUAAAAAAUCGCAAAAAACAAAGAUUUAGAGAUUAGGUAAUGGAACAAAAGUUUUCGAUGGUUAUAAACAAAAAAUCACAAUUUAACGGUUAUUUUAGCUCUGAUUUUGAUGACUUUCUACUGCUACACUCCUUCACCCCUAUAAGAAUGCAAUGAAUGAAUUCGAUCUUCAAUUUAAAAUAUUUACUCUAGUGGAUAAAUCUUAUUUUAUACCUAAUGGAAGUAUAACAUUAACUCUUAAGUGUUUGUAAAAUCUAUCAAUUUGAUAGGAUAUGCAUUCUACGAAACUAGUUUCAACGAUCCAAUCGUCAAACAUGUUUGUAUAUACUUUGAGAUAGCAUGUGUGAAAAAUCGCAAAAAAAAAAACAAAAACAAAAACAUUCAGAGAUUAGGUAAUGGGACCCUGAGUGAAAAAAAAAAAAAAAACAUUCAGAGAUUAUUCUAGCAGCCGCCCAAAAUUUUGCUUUGUUUGUGUCGGUUAUAUCUGACAAGGCCAUGAGUGAAAAAAAAUAUUUAAACCAUGUGUUUAUUUAUUUUUAAUCAAUAUAACAUUUUAAAAUAAUAAAAUAGUCAAUUUAUGUAGGUUAUAACCACCAGAAUACUAAAAUAAUAACCGCUAGAAACUAAAAUAAUAAAAUAGUCAAUUUAUGUCGGUUAUAACCACCACCAUUAACUUAAAAACUGUCGGAAUAUGUUAAAAAUAUUUAUAAAAAAAAGAAUUCAAAAAUACUAGCGGUUAUAAUAAUUUUAUGGCUAUUGCAUUCGACAGUAAAUAUCCGUCAGGAAUUUAUGUCGAAUAUAACCGACAGGAUUUCAUUGUUAUUCAACACUAACUAAGUGAUGUGUCAGAUAUCUUUUAUCCGACAUAAUGACUUAUUAAACCACCACCAUCAUCCGACACCUAAAGCUAAUAUUGUAGUAGUGAUACACACGUUAUAUGUAGUCAGUAUUUUGUUGAUCUUGUAUUCUUGUUGAAAUUUCAUCUUCUAGAAAAUUAUGUUGGCCUGUCAUAUUUUUGAGACACUUAACCUAACUUUUCGAUAAAGUUGCACAUUUCGAGAAACGAAAACUAUAAUGAACAACUAGCAUUUGCCUACACACUUUGUGUGUAUGAACACGUAUUUUUUUAGAAAAUGAGAAGGAGAGAGAGAGAGAACGUGAGGGGAGUGGGAGGUUUUUUUUUUUGUUUUUUGUUUUAUUUUAAAUAUUGAAGGUAUUUUAACAUUACCUAUAGGUAAGGCUUCAACAAAAAAACAGUAAAAUUUGGACCUGUGAAAUUACAUUAUUGCUCAUCAUUUUUUAUUGUGUGAUAGAAGACUAAGUAGUGUUUUCACCAUCUUUUGGUUGACAAAGAGGUUUUCAUUAAUUAAUAGAGAUAAGAAUGAAAAAAUAAUAGAAAAAAUAAAAACUUUAAGGAAAAAUUAAUAUCUGAUUCCUAGUUUUUUAUUUCAUAUAUUAACUGAGACCUUAUUAGUUUUUAGAUUUUGAUCAAAGUCCCUAGCAUUCAUCUAUUAAUAAAUUACAUGUCAGUUACAUUAUUUUUUUAAAUACAAAUUAGUAAUUGAUUUAGGGUUUUAAUGCUGACAUCCUUAUUAAACUCCUAAUUAAUUUUCAAUUCAAAAAAUUUUCAAAAUAUAAAAAAUAAAAUUAGAAUAAGUUUGUACCCAUUAAUGUUUUAUAAAAAAAAAUUUCAAUUUUUUAAUCUUACAUGUAACCAUUUAUAUAAUUCUUCUAUUUCUCUAAUCUUAAAUGUACUUAUUCUUAGAUAUACCAAUUUGUUAUCUAUAAAAUGUACCUUUAUAUAUAUAUAUAUAUAUAUAUAUAUAUAUAUAUAUAUAUAUAUAAUUCAUUCAAUCUUUUUUUUAAUUCAUUUUUUAAAUUUAUAUGGGUACAUUCUAUUUCGUUGAUUUGAGAAUGAAUUUAUGUCAAGUUUAAUAGAAGAAAUUUAAUAUGUACCCAUGUUUUGGUGCAAUAAUUUUUUUGUUAGUUUUGAUGAACGUACCCAUGUAUGUGUGUGCACACACAGACACACACACACAAUAUAUAUUGGAGAGUAUAAUUUAUCUUUAAUAUUUUUUUUAUCCCAUAAAUUAUAGGUUUUAUUUAAAUCUCAUUAAUAUAAAUAACUACAAAUUUCAUUUUUAAUUUAAAAAUAAAAUAACUACAUUAUUACAUUAAUGUCAGGAACUUCGAUAAAAAAACUGAAAAUCACAAGAGUUUUAGUAAAAAAACAUUGAUAAUUAGGGCCCACAUCCAAAGUCUCCAAAAAUUUAAUGACUGAGGCAAUAUUGGAUUCAAAAUUUAAACUUUGGCUCUUUUAAUUUAAAAACCUAAAUUUUUAAAAUAGAAAUUUUAGCGCGUGAGCAAAUUUCAGUUGAUUCAUGGAGAUAUUUCAUUGAACACUUAGUGAGUUUGUUGUCGUCAGAUGAACCAUAUUACGAAUAUGUUAACAUAUAUUAACAUUUGCUAAAGCUAUAUAAUGAGUGCUAUUGAUAGCAUUCGUGGUUAGAUUUUGCUUCGUGAUCAUAGCAAAGCUUCAACAAGUUCUGAACUCAAUUGCUUUAUUAUAUUCUAUGCGUUUUCUUCAACAAAGUUAGGCUGAAAGAAUCGUUCACAUAACAUAUUUGUCUCCUGAACAAGUCUUUCUUCCUUAAUUUUUCAAUAUUGACAAAACAAAAAAACAAAAAAAAAGCUACGAGAUAAUCAUACUAACUGAACAAGUUGCUCCCAUACAACGGUUAUCAGUGUUGACUCGUCACGCACACAAAGCUUUCGAACAACUAUAACAAAAAAGGCCCACAUUUCUCAAACUGUCUCGGAAGUUCGACUACCAUGGCGGAGAGCUUAUGCACGCGGUUCAAGUACAACCUGCUAUGGAAGUGUUUAAAGAUUGAGAAAAAGUGGUGAUUCGUUAAGUAAAUUUUAUGUUUGUUGCAAACAUUGUUUUAAAAACUUCCAUCUAAGUGCUACUCGGCUAGUCACUACCCCGAUUAAUCCCUAAACGUUUGAAAAUAAAAAUGGCACCUAGACCUACCUAAGCACCUACCUAGAUCGCCUAAGCGCCCUAGCCCACCCAAACCCACCUAGGUCGUGACUCACUUAGAAAAUAAAUAACUUUCGUUUUGCUUUUUAUUUUUUUCAAUAAAUUGUAAGAGACUAGUCGAAUACUUAGAUUAACACAUAUUAUAUGCUUGUUCUCCACGCAUUUUGCUCUCUUGAACUCUACCCUUCUGUCCUAGCUUCUUCACCCUCCCCCGUCUAAUAGGAUCAAAGUACUUCUUUUUGUGUGUCCCGGGUAAAGUUGAUAGGAGCAUAUGCUCCCAAACAACUUUGAGUGGAGUCGUUCGAAAAGAAGUUUCUAUGGCCCCCUUGCUCAUUUAACACUGCAUCCGGGUGCCGAUGGAGAUACAGCGACCCUUGCUCACUUAUCACUGUGCUCGGGCCGCACAGCGCGCCACUUACGGGUGACGCCCUAGCUUUAGCGCUAUUUUGUUCUGGAUUCAUUUUCAUAAGGAUUCGACGUGAUCAUGGAGUGCCGGCUGUCGACUAGGAACGUGGAAUAUAGGAACCUUAACGGGAAAAUCUAUGGAAGUAGUGGAAGUUAUGGUGAGGAGAAGAAUAAAUAUUAUGUGCCUACAAGAAACUAAGUGGGUUGGUAGUAAGGCAAAGGAUCUAGAAAACUCAGGGUUUAAACUUUGGUAUUCGGGCACACAUAGAACGAGAAACGGUGUUGGCAUCAUCGUGGACAAGACCUUGGUACAAGAUGUUGUAGAUGUCAAAGAGGGUAGGAGAUAGAAUCAUGGCAAUCAAGAUUGUAAUAGGACAAGAACUUAUCAAUGUGAUUAGUGCGUACGCACCUCAAGUAGGGUUGGAUACGAGGUCGAAGGGAGAAAUUUUGGGAAGAUCUUGGAGACUUGGUGCAAGGAAUUGCUCAGACGGAGAAGUUAUUUAUAGGAGGAGAUUUAAAUGGACACGUGGGCAGGGAGACAGGCAACUAUGGAGGUUUUCAUGGUGGCCAUGGUUUUGGGGAGAGAAACGAGGAUGGGGAAGCUAUCUUGGAUUUUGCAAUGGCAUUUGAUCUCUUCUUAGCCAACACCUUCUUUAAGAAGAGAGAAGAACAUGUGAUCACCUACAAGAGUGGGUCGUCAAAAACACAAAUAGAUUUUCUUCUAAUGAGGAAAGGGGAUCGUAUAACUUGUAAGGAUUGCAAAGUUAUACCAGGAGAGAGCGUGGCUAAUCAACAUCGCUUGUUGGUGAUGGAUGUACAUAUCAAAAGAGUGAGACAAAAGAACAAGACUUGGAAGUGCCCAAGGACUAGAUGGUGGAAUCUAAAAGAAGAAAAACAAGCCAUUUUCAAAGAGAAAGUAAUCACCCAGUGUGUGUGGGAUAGAGAGGGGGAAGCUAGCCAAAUGUGGGAUUCCAUGGCUAGUUGUAUCCGAAAAGUAGCAAAAGAGGUAUUAGGAGAGUCCAAGGGCUUUGCCCCACACCAAAAAGAAUCUUGGUGGUGGAAUGAGGAGGUACAAACAAAGGUGAAGGCUAAGAAGGAAUGUUGUAAAGCCUUAUACAAGGAUAGGACUGAUGAAAAUGGUGAAAGGUAUAGAAAAGCGAAGCAAGAGGCGAAGAAAGCUGUGAGAGAAGCUAAGUUAGCGGCUUACGACGAUAUGUAUAAACGACUAGAUACCAAAGAAGGAGAGUUGGAUAUCUAUAAACUAGCUAGAGCAAGGGAAAAGAAGACAAGAGACCUAAACCAAGUGAGGUGCAUCAAGGAUGAGGAUGGAAAAGUUCUUGCUACAGAGAAUGCGGUUAAAGACAGAUGGAGAGGUUAUUUUCAUACUCAAUGCACGAUAAUCAAUCGAUUUUUUUAUAAUUUGAUUAACCUCAGAAUCAACCAAACAAAUCUUUUUUCUAACGAUUCAAUAAAUAGACAGCUAUUUUUCGUUAACUAACACUUGUUAACAUAUGGUUCAAUGAUUUUUAAAUGGUGAAUUACAAAGUAGACGAUUUUGAUCAUAGUAGACAUGUCAAUGUUAUACCUAAAUCGCAACCCCAUACCUUAGUCAAGAGAUGCUAACAAAAUUGUUUCGCUCAGCUAUAGAUGUUUAUCAGCCAUUAACAUGCAAAAAAAAAAUCUUAUUAUAUUACAUCAAAAACAACUUUCAAUUAAUUGUGAACGAUUGUCGCUAACAUAGCUUUACUUAAGCUCCCCUAUAAAGAAUUCUUUACAUGCACACGUGAUCCAGAUCCAAGGCACCUUGGAUCAAAUGCAAUGACGUGGGAUCCCUACCUAAAAUUAAAAAAAAGGCAAAAGAAAAUGUCAAAAUCUGAUCCCCAAUUGAAGCAAAAGCUUGUGAUUUUGCACCUCUCAACUUACUCUUUAGGCUCCAUUUUCAUGUGACGUUCACCUUCACGUUCACGUUCACUUCACUCCAACAAAACAAGAGAAAAAAUAAACAAAAAUAUGAAAAUUUUCAACCUCCCUCCUCCAAUCUUCUUCUUCCUCCUCUCACCUUCUCUCUCUCUUCCUCUCUCUCUCUCUCUCUCUCUGAUAUUUUAGUUCACUUCCAAAACUCUCUUUCUGUUUGCUUCCUUGUCUCUUCCCCCACUAAAAUAUCUCUCUUUGGCCUUUAUUUUAUAAAAAUAUCUCAUCCCUCCUCCAUUCAGAUUCUAUGUUAAAUUCCUUUAUGCUCAUAAUUUCCAGCUGAUUAUAUCACUCCAAGAACCUCACAAUUCCAAAAACCAGAAACCCACUUCAAAGAUGUAAUCUUUUCUCUAUUCCGCUUCUGGGUUUUGUUUGUUUGAUCAAUUCUCUUCUGGGUUUUUGUUUACAGUGUAAAUCAACACAAAUUUACUAACUUUGCAUUGAUUUUUUCAGAUACUUUUGAGGAUUGGGAAGCUGUUGCGAGUUCAGCCAUGGCACCUACUGCGAAAUCGGACGGAAAAACAAUCAUAGACUCCGCCAUUUCAUCCAAGAUUCCGGCGACCGCAAACCCUUUAGCCGAAGAACCGUCGCAGAUUGCUUCCAACAUCAAUUACCACGCGAAAUUCAGCCCCCACUUCUCGCCGUUCAAGUUCGAGCCGGAGCAAGCCUACUACGCGACAGCUGACAGCGUCCGCGAUCGCCUGAUCCAGGUACUGUACCGCCGUCUCUCAGCCUCCGGGAUUUCAUUGGCGGACGGUUUUGAUUUUUAUAUUUUUCUUUGUUGGCUUUUUUUAGCAAUGGAACGAGACGUACCUGCAUUUCCACCAGGAGAAUCCCAAGCAGACAUACUACUUGUCCAUGGAGUAUCUUCAAGGACGAGCCUUGACCAAUGCGAUCGGGAAUUUGAAUGUUCAGAGUGCUUAUGCUGAUGCUUUGAACAAGUUGGGGCAUCAGCUGGAGGAAAUAACAGAGCAGGUAAUCUCCGAUACGAUUUUCGUUCGUUUAUUAAUGUAAAGAUUGAGUUUUUGUUCUUCCACUCAAUUAAAUUUUGAGCGUUUACUUUUAGUGUUGUUGAAAUGAGUUGUAUUUUUUACCUCAGAGGUUGUUAAACAUUUAAAAUGGAUUCUUAACUGGUUUUUGUUAUAUGAAUUCGACGUGCAAUCUGUUGAUGGAUGAUUGGUAGAAAUGAAUCUUUGUAGGAAAAAGAUGCAGCACUCGGAAAUGGGGGCUGGGAAGGCUUGCUUCGUGCUUUCUAGACUCCAUGGCAACGCUAAAUUUACCUGCGUGGGGGUAUGGUUUUUGAGGUACAGAUAUGGUCUAUUCAAGCAGCGGAUCGCCAAGGAUGGCCAGGAAGAAACUGCAGAGGAUUGGCUAGAGGUUCUGUAUCACCUUAAGUUCUGUAAAAUUUCAUGUAGUUCAUGAAUUCUUACUGAUACUUUUUUUUAUUGAACUUUAUGCAGAAGUUUAGUCCGUGGGAAGUUGUCAGGCAUGAUGUUGUGUACCCUGUCAGAUUCUUUGGCCAUGUUCAUGUCAAUCCUGAUGGAUCGUAAGUAUCUAAUACUGAUAACAGACUAGAUUCGUAGCUCCAAGAAUGUUUUUUAAUCAAUUAUCGUAAAUUCACAUGUGACAUGAUAGAACCGAGCGCAACGGCGUUCUAGGAUUCAUAUAGCUAACCCACUUAGUGGGAAAAGGCUUUGUUGUUGUUGUAUCGUAAAUUCACAUGCAACUUGGUUGGUUGCUUGAAAUAUAUGUACACUAACUCAGCAAUAAUUUCUUAUGACUAUAUCACAGCCGAAAGUGGGUUGAGGGAGAGGUUUUGCGAGCUCUGGCUUAUGAUGUGCCAAUUCCAGGAUACAAAACCAAGAACACUAUUAGUCUUCGUCUAUGGGAAGCUAAAGCAUCCGCUGAGGACUUUAACCUAUUUCAAUUUAAUGAUGGACAGUAUGAAUCUGCUGCGCAGCUUCAUUCUCGAGCGCAACAGGUUGGUCAUUAAUAUCCUAAUGGCAAGGUAGUCUUGGAACCACUUGCCAUUGUUCAAGUCUUCAAUAGACAUACAAUCAAAAGCCUUUUGAAUUUCUUAUAUGUACAUAUAUGUGUUUAUAUUACUGUGUAUAAUAAUGUGUGUCCACCACAUCGUCAUGUUAAAAUGUUUUCUUGAACCACGUUAUGAAAUUGUGCUUUUACAGAUUUGUGCUGUUUUGUAUCCUGGAGAUGCCACAGAGGAGGGGAAACUUUUAAGGCUGAAGCAACAAUUCUUCCUGUGCAGUGCAUCACUUCAGGUUGGUUUAUUAUCAUUUUAGCCUUCAUUAUUUUGUUGGUGUAAGAAUCACCAUUUUUUUCUUUCUAUUUUCUGUUCCAGAUGACCGUUUAAUAUUUCAAAUUUAAUUAAAGUUGAGAAGGUGAAAAGAAUCUCACACAUUUAGAGAAAAUUUUCAGAUUGACGUUUUCCCUCACAGUGGUGCUUGAUUUCAGAUUUCUUGUGUUUUUUGUUUUUUAAAGAUGAAAAUUACAUAUCUAGUCUUUCUCGUUAAGAGGCAUUUUCAGUUUCUAGUUUGACAUCCCGUCAAGAUAUUGUGAUCAUCACUCUUUAAAUCUUGAAAUUACAGGAUAUUAUUUUUAGAUUCAAGGAGAGGAAACAGGGGACAGACUCAUUGCAAUGGUCAGAAUUUCCAAAAAAGGUUGCUGUCCAAAUGAACGAUACUCAUCCUACACUUGCAAUCCCAGAGCUAAUGCGAUUGCUAUUGGAUGAGGAAGGGCUUGCGUGGGAUGAGGCAUGGGAAGUGACAACAAGGUGCAUUCUAUUUCAUGUUCUUUUAGACUUUCUUGGUUGAAGUUGUUGCCGCACAUUCUUCUUUCUUCCAUGACUGCUCUCCACUUAUUUGUAGUGCUUUUUGCACAAGGAGCUAUAAAGUGCUAACUCAUAAUAAUUGAACCAGGACGGUUGCUUAUACUAAUCACACAGUCCUUCCUGAAGCACUUGAGAAAUGGUCACAAACUGUAAUGUGGAAGCUUCUCCCUCGCCAUAUGGAAAUAAUAGAAGAAAUUGACAAAAGAGUAAUAUUUCUCAUCUUUUCUGCUUUUGUUCUGUUUAUGCUUAAAAUUGUCAUCUCCUAAUGUAAAUUCUUGCAUCCUGGCAGUUCAUUGCUAUGGUACGUGCUACACGAACUGAUCUUGAGAGCAAAAUUCCCAGCUUGUGCGUUUUGGAUAACAAUCCCCAAAAGCCUGUUGUGCGUAUGGCAAAAUUUAUGUGUGGUGUCUGCACAUACGGUAAGACAUCUAUUUUGGGAAAUUUACAAGUAUCUCAUGUAGUUUAUUUUGAGCUGUCUUCAACAUAAACAUAUGGUAACCUGGUUAUUAGAAAGGCAACUUAUUCCCUUUUUCCCUAAGAAAAAGGGUUGGGAGAGCAAGCAAGAGAUUGUAUGCAAUAGUGAAUACAGAGUCUAUGACUCUAAGGUACGGUCCACCAUGUACGUUGGUGAGACUUGAACUCAAGCUUUUUAACGAGGAGAAGCAAGUUCUUCCCAGGAAGACACCCAUUGGCAGUCUGUUACUCUGCAUAAGUGCAUAUUUUGACUAUUCUAUUUUAUUUCAGAGUCCCAUUUUUAGUAAAAUUUAAUGAGGCUUGAAAAUAAAUAUUUUCUGCUUUCCUUUUGUUUUUUUCCUCCCACAAUAUAAGACCCCUUAUUUCCACAUUUGAGCUGUUUGAGUGUUGACGUUGAGAAACUCAUUGCUUUCCGUGUCAUUGUAGGUUAAUGGUGUUGCCCAAUUGCACAGUGAUAUUUUGAAGAAUGAGUUAUUUGUAGACUAUGUCUCUAUAUGGCCAACAAAGUUCCAAAACAAAACCAAUGGGAUUACUCCUCGUCGGUGGCUUCGCUUUUGCAGUCCUGAGCUCAGUAACAUAAUAACCAAAUGGUUAAAAACUGAUGAAUGGGUUACCAACCUGGACCUACUUGUAGGUCUUCGAAAGGUAUGUAUUUAUGUUUUCAAAAAAUAUAUAUAGAAUUGUUUGUCCUUGCCAGAGCGUUCCUGCAGUUGAAUUAUUAAAACUCAAUGUGUUUUCUCCAACAGUUUGCCGAUGAUUCAAAAUUACAAGAAGAAUGGGCGUCUGCCAAGAUGGCUAAUAAGAAGCGUUUGGCACAGUACAUAGAGCAUGUGGCAGGUGUCAAGAUUGACCCAAACAGUCUAUUUGACAUACAAGUGAAGCGUAUCCAUGAAUAUAAGAGACAGUUGCUGAAUAUUCUGGGUGCAGUUUAUCGGUAUAAGAAGUUNNNNNNNNNNNNNNNNNNNNNNNNNNNNNNNNNNNNNNNNNNNNNNNNNNNNNNNNNNNNNNNNNNNNNNNNNNNNNNNNNNNNNNNNNNNNNNNNNNNNNNNNNNNNNNNNNNNNNNNNNNNNNNNNNNNNNNNNNNNNNNNNNNNNNNNNNNNNNNNNNNNNNNNNNNNNNNNNNNNNNNNNNNNNNNNNNNNNNNNNNNNNNNNNNNNNNNNNNNNNNNNNNNNNNNNNNNNNNNNNNNNNNNNNNNNNNNNNNNNNNNNNNNNNNNNNNNNNNNNNNNNNNNNNNNNNNNNNNNNNNNNNNNNNNNNNNNNNNNNNNNNNNNNNNNNNNNNNNNNNNNNNNNNNNNNNNNNNNNNNNNNNNNNNNNNNNNNNNNNNNNNNNNNNNNNNNNNNNNNNNNNNNNNNNNNNNNNNNNNNNNNNNNNNNNNNNNNNNNNNNNNNNNNNNNNNNNNNNNNNNNNNNNNNNNNNNNNNNNNNNNNNNNNNNNNNNNNNNNNNCUUUUAUCAUUAUAAGCCUAUUUGAUUAAACGAUCUAGGGUUUAGAGAGAGAGGGGACCGGCUAUGGUUAGAGAGAAGAGAGAGUGAUUUAAUUGUGAGGUGUGUUUGAUUCAACCCAUUGUGGUUCAUAUGUUAAAUAGACGAUACAAUAAGUCCCCAUGUUAAAUGUACAGUACGUAUGUGGUCCAUAGACUUGGCAUUCGUGUCAUGUUUUUCGUAUUCGUGUCGAUUUCGUGUCAUACCCGAUAUCUUAACGGGUCGUGUCGUGUAACACCCGUUAAAAAUAAACGGGUAAAAUGAUCCGAUCUGAAAUCGACCCGAUAAUAUAAACAGGUAAUAUGACCCGACCUGUUACCCAUUAAGGAAAAUAUAUUUUAAACCAAUAAAUAAUCAAAUGAAAAACAUAAUACUAAAUAAGUAUAUACAUACCAUAUUGUCACAUCCAAAACAUAAAAACGCAUUUUUCUUUUAAGUAUAUUUUCACUUACCUAAAGUCUUUAAUAGUUUUUAAUUAAUGUAGAAGUGUAAAAAAAUAUAGAAAAAAAUAUAUAUAAACGCUCGUAAUGACAAGCUUUACAACUUUCAUGAAGAGCUUAACUUCGAAAUUUGCUACUAUAAUCAUAUAAAUCAUAUAUCAAAAUUUAACUGUUGAUUGUUGUUUACAUUUACGCUUCAUUGUUCUCAUCAAAUUUUGUUUUUUCAGAUUUUCUUUUUUGAAAACUUGAUCCAUUAGAGGAUGCAUGAAGAUAAACGGUUUGGAUCGUUAAUAUUAUAUUUAGAGUUUUACGAUUAGUAAAAAUAUUGCUUGAUGUUUAUAAAAUUUCUACAAACUAUAUGACAUCGACUCAUAUUUCAGUUAACCGUAAAUAUCGAAAUGUGAUAUCAAAGAUAUGAACCGUUCAUCUUCUUACAUCUGCUAGAUAAUCAUGUUAAAAAGAAAAUUUUUAAAAUAAAAUUCAGUAAGAAGAAUAAAGUGUAAAUGACAAUCGACAGUUAAAUAUAAAUUUAAGGUUUAUAAAUUAUAGUGUCGGAUUUCGAAGCUGACCCGUCAUGAAAGUUGUAAAGUUUGUCACUAUGAGUGAUUUUAUUUUUUAUUUUUUACACUUCUACAAUAAUUAUUAUUAAUUUUAUUAAUUUUGUCCUCAAAUAAAAAAUAUUAUUCGUGAAGGUUUGGAGGAUUUUAAAAAUCUAAACGAUAAUGUAAGUGUAACAAUUAUCUACUCGUGGAGGAAUAAUGAUGAAUUACAAGUGUUUAUAUAUUCUUUCACAUUUUUCAUACUUGUAUGUAUGUCUUCUUAGUUCUUGCAUAUACAAAUACUAUAUUAGUUUAUUUUAAUUUUGGACAACAUCGUGUUAAGUAAAAUUUAUAGCCCUGGUGAAUCAUACGAUGAUGGUAAAAGGGAGACUAAAAUUCCUCUGUGAGUUUUCCUGGCUCCCAAAAAUGUGGGCUACCAUGACGAAGCCAAUUUGUCCCUUUUUUUGAAAGAAAAAAAAUACACAUGAUUCAUGUUAAUAUAAUAAAAAUUAGUAUUUUGUCGAUCUUGUAUUUCCACAAACUAAUUCAUGUUAUCUGUAUUUUUUUGAUCUUGUAUUUCCACAAACUAAUACACUACUACGAAACCAUUUACUACUGUCGCUAUGAUAACUGACAAGAAACGUAUAUUACUAUCAGAUAUUAAGCAAAAUUCAACAGAAAAUGGAUGCAGUGGCGGUUAUAAUAAGUGACAUAAUUGCUAGCGUUAGGAAAUGAAUUUUCCAACAGAAAAUACUCUAAAAUAGACAGAAAUUGUGUCGGAUAUAACCGACAAAGAAUACAUUAAUACUGAAUAAAUCAGAGCAUUCUCUGUCGAAUAAAACCAACAAAAAAUAUAUUAAUAAAAAAGAAAUAUAAACCACUUUCUGAAUCAUUUCUUUCCCUUUCAAGUUAGCCUUCCCUGCAUUCAUUGCAUUUUCCAGCUUUGAGAUAUGCAACGUUCCUCUAAGGUACACCAUAUUCUUCAUUUCUUCAAGUUUGUUUCCUAUUUCGCAGCUAACCUGAAUAUAUUUAUAGACAGAAGUUUGACCCCCAACAACAAGAAAAGGAUUGGAAAGACAGAUAAAUAUAUUUGAAAAAGAAAAGAAAAGACAAAUCGGAAAUCUGGGCAAGUUAUGCAACCGCCUACACUACUCCCCGGGGGUUACAGUUCAGGCAGUGCUCCUGUUCUCCGACACUCUCCUUUCUUCACCACCUUUAUCAUCACAAACCUUGUCUCGCUGAUCAGCUCAUUGUCUUUUCUCGUCACGUUUCUCUCGAUCUUGACAUCUCAAUUUGAGUACAAAAACUUCCAUCAAUCUCUUCUGCUCAGGCUGCAUUUAGGAUUUGCCUUUCUUUUCUUCUCGCUAGUGACGACCAGGCUCUCAUUCAUUGCUACAGUUGUGCUCUUGAUUCAUCUCGAUGAGGAAUUAACAACGUCUCUCCUUUACGUUGUUGCCUUUUUUCCUGUGUUUGUAUUUGGGCUCAUACAACAACUUCCUUUGUAUGCUGGAUUUUCUCAUGCUUUGAUAUUUCUAUUUAAGAAAGUUAAGAAGUUUAUAAUUUCUAUUUAAAACACAAACUGAACGUAAUACAAAUAAUUUAAAAACGUACUGGUUUUGAAAUGUUGCUUCUCGAAUUGUUUAUCCAUGGUGAUUGAAGCGAGAAUGAGAAUGAAAUGAAGAGAGGAGAAAAGGGAGAAGGAAGGGAGAAGGCACCGGUGCAAGGAAGAGAUUGAGGGGUUUUAUUUUGGAAAAUUUUCAUUACUGCCGGUUAUAAUCGAUAGAAAAAAAUGGCGGCAAAAAUCCUCCCAAAAUUUUAAAAGGAAAACUAAUGAAAAGGGCUUGAAAACUUUGAGUUUUAAUGAUAAGGACAAAAUAAAGGGUAAAGUGAAUAGUACCAGGUGCUUUUCGUUAAAGUUCCCAAUUUUAAAUCCCCCCCCCCCAAAUUUUGUUACGAUUUAAAAAAAUAAAAUAAAUUGAACGGAGAUAUGCAUUCUACGAAACUAGUUUCCAUGAUCUAACCGUCAAACAUGUUUGUAGAUACUACAAGAUCGCAUAUAUAAAAAAUCGCAAAAAAAAAAUAAUAAUAAUAAGAUAUUAGGUAAUAGAACAAAAGUUUUUUACGGUUAUAAAUGAAAAAUCACAAUUUAACGGUUAUUUUAGCUCCGGUUUUGAUGAUUUUUUUACAGCUACACUCAUCGACCCUAUAAGAAUUCAAUGAACGAAUUCGAUCUUCAAUUUAAAAUAUUUACACUAGUGGAUACCACAAAAUCUUAUUUUAUACUUAAUGGAAGUACAAUAUUAACUCUAAGUGUUUGUUUAAUCUACCGUUUUGACGUGAUAUGCAUUCUACGAAACUUUUUUCAACGAUCCAACCAUCAAACAUAUUUGUACACACUCCGAGAUAGCAUACGUAAAAAAUCAUAAAAAAAUAAACAUUCAAAGAUUACGUAACGGAACAAAAGUUUUCAACGGUUAUAAACAAAAAAUCACAAUUUAACGGUUAUUUUAGUUCUGAUUGUAAUGAUUUUUUACAGCUACACUGCUCGACCCUAUAAGAAUGUCAUAAAUAAAUUUGAUCUUCAAUUUAAAAUAUUUAUACUAGUGGAUACCACAAAAUCUUAAUUUAUACUUAAUGGAAGUAAAACAUUAACUAUUUAAGUGUUUAUUUAAUCUACCAUUUUGACGUGAUAUAUAUUCUACAAAACUUUUUUCAAUGAUCUAACCAUCAAACUUGUUUGUACACACUCCGAGAUCGCAUACGUAAAAAAUAAAAAUAAAACAAACAUUCAGAGAUUAGGUAAUAGAACAAAAAAUUUCGACGAUUAUAAACGAAAAAUCACAAUUUAACUUUUAUUUUAGCUCCGAUUUUUGAUGAUUUUUUUACAGAUACACUCCUCGACCCUAUAAGAAUGUAUUGAACGAAUUCGAUUUCAUUUAAAAUAUUUACACUAGUGGAUACCACAAAUCUUAUUUUAAACUUGAUGGGGAAGUAUAAUAUAUUAACUCUAAGUGUUUGUUUAAUCUACCGUUUUGAUGCGAUACGCAUUCUAUGAAACGUUUUUCAAUGAUCCAACCAUCAAAAUUGUUUGUACACACUCCGAGAUCGCAUACGUAAAAAAUCGCAAAAAACAAAGAUUUAGAGAUUAGGUAAUGGAACAAAAGUUUUCGAUGGUUAUAAACAAAAAAAUCACAAUUUAACGGUUAUUUUAGCUCUGAUUUUGAUGACUUUCUACUGCUACACUCCUUCACCCCUAUAAGAAUGCAAUGAAUGAAUUCGAUCUUCAAUUUAAAAUAUUUACUCUAGUGGAUAAAUCUUAUUUUAUACCUAAUGGAAGUAUAACAUUAACUCUUAAGUGUUUGUAAAAUCUAUCAAUUUGAUAGGAUAUGCAUUCUACGAAACUAGUUUCAACGAUCCAAUCGUCAAACAUGUUUGUAUAUACUUUGAGAUAGCAUGUGUGAAAAAUCGCAAAAAAAAAAAAAAAAAAAAAAAACAAAAACAAAAACAUUCAGAGAUUAGGUAAUGGGACCCUGAGUGAAAAAAAAAAAAAAAAACAUUCAGAGAUUAUUCUAGCAGCCGCCCAAAAUUUUGCUUUGUUUGUGUCGGUUAUAUCUGACAAGGCCAUGAGUGAAAAAAAAAUAUUUUAAACCAUGUGUUUAUUUAUUUUUAAUCAAUAUAACAUUUUAAAAUAAUAAAAUAGUCAAUUUAUGUAGGUUAUAACCACCAGAAUACUAAAAUAAUAACCGCUAGAAACUAAAAUAAUAAAAUAGUCAAUUUAUGUCGGUUAUAACCACCACCAUUAACUUAAAAACUGUCGGAAUAUGUUAAAAAAAUAUUUAUAAAAAAAAGAAUUCAAAAAUACUAGCGGUUAUAAUAAUUUUAUGGCUAUUGCAUUCGACAGUAAAUAUCCGUCAGGAAUUUAUGUCGAAUAUAACCGACAGGAUUUCAUUGUUAUUCAACACUAACUAAGUGAUGUGUCAGAUAUCUUUUAUCCGACAUAAUGACUUAUUAAACCACCACCAUCAUCCGACACCUAAAGCUAAUAUUGUAGUAGUGAUACACACGUUAUAUGUAGUCAGUAUUUUGUUGAUCUUGUAUUCUUGUUGAAAUUUCAUCUUCUAGAAAAUUAUGUUGGCCUGUCAUAUUUUUGAGACACUUAACCUAACUUUUCGAUAAAGUUGCACAUUUCGAGAAACGAAAACUAUAAUGAACAACUAGCAUUUGCCUACACACUUUGUGUGUAUGAACACGUAUUUUUUAGAAAAUGAGAAGGAGAGAGAGAGAGAACGUGAGGGGAGUGGGAGGUUUUUUUUUUGUUUUUUGUUUUAUUUUAAAUAUUGAAGGUAUUUUAACAUUACCUAUAGGUAAGGCUUCAACAAAAAAACAGUAAAAUUUGGACCUGUGAAAUUACAUUAUUGCUCAUCAUUUUUUAUUGUGUGAUAGAAGACUAAGUAGUGUUUUCACCAUCUUUUGGUUGACAAAGAGGUUUUCAUUAAUUAAUAGAGAUAAGAAUGAAAAAAUAAUAGAAAAAAUAAAAACUUUAAGGAAAAAUUAAUAUCUGAUUCCUAGUUUUUUAUUUCAUAUAUUAACUGAGACCUUAUUAGUUUUUAGAUUUUGAUCAAAGUCCCUAGCAUUCAUCUAUUAAUAAAUUACAUGUCAGUUACAUUAUUUUUUUUAAAUACAAAUUAGUAAUUGAUUUAGGGUUUUAAUGCUGACAUCCUUAUUAAACUCCUAAUUAAUUUUCAAUUCAAAAAAUUUUCAAAAUAUAAAAAAUAAAAUUAGAAUAAGUUUGUACCCAUUAAUGUUUUAUAAAAAAAAAUUUCAAUUUUUUUAAUCUUACAUGUAACCAUUUAUAUAAUUCUUCUAUUUCUCUAAUCUUAAAUGUACUUAUUCUUAGAUAUACCAAUUUGUUAUCUAUAAAAUGUACCUUUAUAUAUAUAUAUAUAUAUAUAUAUAUAUAUAUAUAUAUAUAUAAUUCAUUCAAUCUUUUUUUUAAUUCAUUUUUUAAAUUUAUAUGGGUACAUUCUAUUUCGUUGAUUUGAGAAUGAAUUUAUGUCAAGUUUUAAUAGAAGAAAUUUAAUAUGUACCCAUGUUUUGGUGCAAUAAUUUUUUUGUUAGUUUUGAUGAACGUACCCAUGUAUGUGUGUGCACACACAGACACACACACACAAUAUAUAUUGGAGAGUAUAAUUUAUCUUUAAUAUUUUUUUUAUCCCAUAAAUUAUAGGUUUUAUUUAAAUCUCAUUAAUAUAAAUAACUACAAAUUUCAUUUUUAAUUUAAAAAUAAAAAUAACUACAUUAUUACAUUAAUGUCAGGAACUUCGAUAAAAAAACUGAAAAUCACAAGAGUUUUAGUAAAAAAACAUUGAUAAUUAGGGCCCACAUCCAAAGUCUCCAAAAAUUUAAUGACUGAGGCAAUAUUGGAUUCAAAAUUUAAACUUUGGCUCUUUUAAUUUAAAAACCUAAAUUUUUAAAAUAGAAAUUUUAGCGCGUGAGCAAAUUUCAGUUGAUUCAUGGAGAUAUUUCAUUGAACACUUAGUGAGUUUGUUGUCGUCAGAUGAACCAUAUUACGAAUAUGUUAACAUAUAUUAACAUUUGCUAAAGCUAUAUAAUGAGUGCUAUUGAUAGCAUUCGUGGUUAGAUUUUGCUUCGUGAUCAUAGCAAAGCUUCAACAAGUUCUGAACUCAAUUGCUUUAUUAUAUUCUAUGCGUUUUCUUCAACAAAGUUAGGCUGAAAGAAUCGUUCACAUAACAUAUUUGUCUCCUGAACAAGUCUUUCUUCCUUAAUUUUUCAAUAUUGACAAAACAAAAAAACAAAAAAAAAGCUACGAGAUAAUCAUACUAACUGAACAAGUUGCUCCCAUACAACGGUUAUCAGUGUUGACUCGUCACGCACACAAAGCUUUCGAACAACUAUAACAAAAAAGGCCCACAUUUCUCAAACUGUCUCGGAAGUUCGACUACCAUGGCGGAGAGCUUAUGCACGCGGUUCAAGUACAACCUGCUAUGGAAGUGUUUAAAGAUUGAGAAAAAGUGGUGAUUCGUUAAGUAAAUUUUAUGUUUGUUGCAAACAUUGUUUUAAAAACUUCCAUCUAAGUGCUACUCGGCUAGUCACUACCCCGAUUAAUCCCUAAACGUUUGAAAAUAAAAAUGGCACCUAGACCUACCUAAGCACCUACCUAGAUCGCCUAAGCGCCCUAGCCCACCCAAACCCACCUAGGUCGUGACUCACUUAGAAAAUAAAUAACUUUCGUUUUGCUUUUUAUUUUUUUCAAUAAAUUGUAAGAGACUAGUCGAAUACUUAGAUUAACACAUAUUAUAUGCUUGUUCUCCACGCAUUUUGCUCUCUUGAACUCUACCCUUCUGUCCUAGCUUCUUCACCCUCCCCCGUCUAAUAGGAUCAAAGUACUUCUUUUGUGUGUCCCGGGUAAAGUUGAUAGGAGCAUAUGCUCCCAAACAACUUUGAGUGGAGUCGUUCGAAAAGAAGUUUCUAUGGCCCCCUUGCUCAUUUAACACUGCAUCCGGGUGCCGAUGGAGAUACAGCGACCCUUGCUCACUUAUCACUGUGCUCGGGCCGCACAGCGCGCCACUUACGGGUGACGCCCUAGCUUUAGCGCUAUUUUGUUCUGGAUUCAUUUUCAUAAGGAUUCGACGUGAUCAUGGAGUGCCGGCUGUCGACUAGGAACGUGGAAUAUAGGAACCUUAACGGGAAAAUCUAUGGAAGUAGUGGAAGUUAUGGUGAGGAGAAGAAUAAAUAUUAUGUGCCUACAAGAAACUAAGUGGGUUGGUAGUAAGGCAAAGGAUCUAGAAAACUCAGGGUUUAAACUUUGGUAUUCGGGCACACAUAGAACGAGAAACGGUGUUGGCAUCAUCGUGGACAAGACCUUGGUACAAGAUGUUGUAGAUGUCAAGAGGGUAGGAGAUAGAAUCAUGGCAAUCAAGAUUGUAAUAGGACAAGAACUUAUCAAUGUGAUUAGUGCGUACGCACCUCAAGUAGGGUUGGAUACGAGGUCGAAGGAGAAAUUUUGGGAAGAUCUUGGAGACUUGGUGCAAGGAAUUGCUCAGACGGAGAAGUUAUUUAUAGGAGGAGAUUUAAAUGGACACGUGGGCAGGGAGACAGGCAACUAUGGAGGUUUUCAUGGUGGCCAUGGUUUUGGGGAGAGAAACGAGGAUGGGGAAGCUAUCUUGGAUUUUGCAAUGGCAUUUGAUCUCUUCUUAGCCAACACCUUCUUUAAGAAGAGAGAAGAACAUGUGAUCACCUACAAGAGUGGGUCGUCAAAAACACAAAUAGAUUUUCUUCUAAUGAGGAAAGGGGAUCGUAUAACUUGUAAGGAUUGCAAAGUUAUACCAGGAGAGAGCGUGGCUAAUCAACAUCGCUUGUUGGUGAUGGAUGUACAUAUCAAAAGAGUGAGACAAAAGAACAAGACUUGGAAGUGCCCAAGGACUAGAUGGUGGAAUCUAAAAGAAGAAAAAACAAGCCAUUUUCAAAGAGAAAGUAAUCACCCAGUGUGUGUGUGGGAUAGAGAGGGGGAAGCUAGCCAAAUGUGGGAUUCCAUGGCUAGUUGUAUCCGAAAAGUAGCAAAAGAGGUAUUAGGAGAGUCCAAGGGCUUUGCCCCACACCAAAAAGAAUCUUGGUGGUGGAAUGAGGAGGUACAAACAAAGGUGAAGGCUAAGAAGGAAUGUUGUAAAGCCUUAUACAAGGAUAGGACUGAUGAAAAUGGUGAAAGGUAUAGAAAAGCGAAGCAAGAGGCGAAGAAAGCUGUGAGAGAAGCUAAGUUAGCGGCUUACGACGAUAUGUAUAAACGACUAGAUACCAAAGAAGGAGAGUUGGAUAUCUAUAAACUAGCUAGAGCAAGGGAAAAGAAGACAAGAGACCUAAACCAAGUGAGGUGCAUCAAGGAUGAGGAUGGAAAAGUUCUUGCUACAGAGAAUGCGGUUAAAGACAGAUGGAGAGGUUAUUUUCAUAAUCUUUUCAAUGAAGGACAUGAAAGGAGUGCUUCUUUAGGGGAGUUGAGUAACUCAGAAGAGUGUAGAAACUACUCUUUUUAUCGUCGAAUCCGGAAGGAAGAAGUGGUUGUAGCUUUGAAGAAGAUGAAGCAAAGAAAAGCAAUAGGCCCAGACGAGAUACCAAUCGAAGUGUGGAAAGUUUUGGGAGAGACAUGUAUAACAUGGCUCACUGACCUUUUCAAUAGGAUUUUGAAAACGAAGAAGAUGCCAAAUGAGUGGCGAACGAGCACUUUAGUGCCUAUCUACAAGAAUAAGGGCGACGUACAAAAUUGCAUGAACUAUAGGGGUAUUAAGCUAAUGAGUCAUACAAUGAAGCUCUGGGAGAGAGUCAUUGAGCAUAGAUUGAGGCAAGAGACACGGGUUUCGGACAACCAAUUCGGGUUCAUGCCAGGGCGCUCAACCAUGGAGGCAAUCUAUCUCUUACGAAGAUUGAUGGAAAGAUAUAGAGAUGGGAAAAAGGAUUUACACAUGGUCUUUAUAGAUUUGGAGAAAGCGUACGAUAGGGUCCCAAGAGACAUUCUUUGGAGGAUUUUAGAGAAGAAAGGAGUACGAGUAGCAUAUAUCCAAGCUAUAAAGGAUAUGUAUGAAGGAGCAAAGACUGCCGUAAGAACUCAUGAAGGACAAACUGAAAGCUUUCCCAUAACUGUAGGAUUACAUCAAGGCUCAUCCUUAAGUCCUUACCUUUUUGCGUUGGUAAUGGAUGAGUUAACAGGACAUAUUCAAGAUGAUAUUCCUUGGUGUAUGCUUUUCGCAGACGAUAUAAUGUUGAUAGAUGAAACUCAGGAAGGGGUAAAUACAAAGCUUAACCUUUGGAAAGAAGUGUUGGAAUCUAAAGGUCUUCGCCUAAGCCGAUCAAAGACAGAAUAUAUGGAGUGCAAGUUCAGUGCAAAUGGAGGCCAAAACGAGUUAGGGGUGAGGAUCGGUGAUCAAGAAAUACCAAAGAGCGAUCGUUUUCGUUACCUAGGAUCUAUCUUGCAAAAGAACGGAGAAUUAGAUGGAGAUCUCAACCAUAGAAUACAAGCUGGAUGGAUGAAGUGGAAGAGUGCAUCCGGCGUGUUGUGUGACCGCCGUAUGCCACUGAAGCUCAAGGGAAAAUUUUAUAGGACGGCAAUAAGGCCGGCGAUGCUGUAUGGCACAGAAUGUUGGGCGGUGAAGCAUCAACACGUACACAAAAUGGGUGUAGCGGAGAUGAGGAUGCUUCGUUGGAUAUGUGGGCACACGAGAAAGGAUAAGAUUAGGAAUGAGGAUAUCCGGGGUAAAGUAGGAGUAGCCGAAAUUGAAGGAAAGAUGAGAGAAAAUCGGUUACGGUGGUUUGGACAUGUGCAAAGAAGGCCUACUGACGCUCCGAUUAGAAGAUGCGACUAUGGGACAGAGGUUCAGGGCCGAAGGGGUAGAGGAAGACCUAGGAAAACUUUGGAAGAGACUCUAAGAAAAGACUUAGAGUACUUGGAUCUAACGAAGGACAUGACACAGGACCGAGCACAAUGGCGUUCUAAGAUUCAUGUAGCCGAUCCCACUCAGUGACUUGGAUUUUCCAAGUCUCCAACCGAGAAGUUUUCCUCACUCAGGAAAUUAAGGGAACACUACCUCAACCUACAUGCUCCACUCACAAAGCUUCCAACAAAAAGAAAAUUCAAAGAACUUAGCGAAGAAGGCUUUGGUGUAUUUAACACAAUACGUUGAAAUGAAGGAAAGCUUAUUUAUUGAUAUCCCCGAUAAGCUACAAAUAUGUACAUAUACAUGAGUCAAAAUAAACAAACAAGAGAGAGCCUUCACAAAGGUUGCUUAGGAGAAGUCGCAGCAGUCGGUAGAGCCCCAGAAAGAGAAGGCACCGGAGGGGGAUCAUUCGGAGCCUCAGUACUGGACAGAACCCUGGAAGGAGGAGGCAUCAGAGGUUGAUCAUUUGGAGCUUCAUUACGCGGUACAGCCCCAGAAGACGAAGGCAAUAAAUGCCUUUGGAACAAACCCACAAAUCUCUGAUGAUCAAGUAAAACCUGACCAUCAGAUUCCUUCAUCUGGUCCAGCUUCCUCUUCAUGUUUGUAGCAUAGUCAUGUGCGAGACGGUGCAACUGUUUAUUCUCAUGCUUGAGCCUUCUAAUCUCCUGUUUGAGACUCAUCACUUCAGCCGUCAAUGAUUCAACUUGGCGGGUUCGAGCAAAUAGGCGUUGGGCCAUAUUAGACACAGAACCUGCACACUGAACACUGAGAGCCAGAGAAUCCUUAACAGCUAACUCAUCAGAUCGUUUGGAAAGUAGUCUGUUAUCUUUGGGAGUGAGAAGGUUCCUGGCCACCACCGCAGCGGUCAUAUCAUUCUUCAUAACGGAAUCCCCAACGGUAAGAGGACCAGUAGGGGAGACGAAGGAUGGGCGCCAUAUGUUGUCUGGAGAAGGCGGGGCUGCCUCUUCAACAAGGUUCAAGUCAAAACGACGGUCGGAGGGGCCAGACAUUUUCAAAGGUGUUGAAGAGAGAAGAGGUCGAACAAAUCAAGAUCUUAGAAGUGUAAGAAUGGAGCUUCUACUAGUGGAGAUUCAAGUGUGCUUUGGAACUUAAUGCCAGCCCCUAUAAAAAUCUGCACUCGACGGAGCUUCAGAAAUCGAAGAGGCGCCUGCUCAGAAAUCGAAGAGGCGUUUGCUUUCUCAAAAGCUGGGCUGCUCAGAGACCACGAGGGUCGAUCUCAGAAAUCGAAGAGGCGUCUGCUUUCUCAAAAGUUGGGCUGCUCAAAGACCACGAAGGCCGAUCUCAGAAAUCGAAGAGGCGCUUGCUUUCUCAAAAGUUGGGCUGCUCAGAGACCACGAGGGCCGAUCUCAGAAAUCGAAGAGGCACCUACUUUUCCAGCCUUGGCAGCACCUGUCACACGCACACUCAGCUUUGCGGAAAUUAUGGGCAUUCUGUCGAAGACUUCUGGUGAAGUAGAAAGCACAUGAGUCUUACUGUUCAAUCACCCACUUCCCACACGCAAUAGUAGCUCAUGUGUAUCACAGAUAACUUUGCCAAAGUUCUCUGCCAAAGUUGAGCACGUGAAGCUUGCAGCUUCCACUACAUCGCUCUGACCAAGACGGGUAAAAGAAUAGCAAAGAAACAGCACUAACAAAGUUUAGACACAUAAAUUUUGAAGGUCUAGCUACCCCAUAUUAUUACCCACAAGGGUAAAGGAACAGUAUCACUGCUGGAUAAUUGGAAAGUCCCUGUGUGUCAACCUCUGUGCUUCGUGGCAAGGUAGACUAGCAAACAUGCCCAACCUUUACUCACAUUCGAGAAAACACUCCCAACAAGAUUGCUUGCUCCAAAAUCGAAGAGGCACCGUCCUCCGAAUCUCGAGAGCCAGACUCCCAACAUGACUACUUUCUCAAAAAUCGAAGAGAGGGUAAAGGAACAGUACCAUUGCUGGAUAAUUGGAAAGUCCCUGUGUGUCAACCUCUGUGCUUCGUGGCAAGGUAGACUAGCAAACAUGCCCAACCUUUACUCACAUUCGAGAAAACACUCCCAACAAGAUUGCUUGCUCCAAAAUCGAAGAGGCACCGCCCUCCGAAUCUCGAGAGCCAGACUCCCAACAUGAUUACUUUCUCAAAAAUCGAAGAGACACCGCUCUCCGAAUCUCGAGAGCCAGACCCCCAGCAUGAUUGCUUUCUCAAAAAUCGAAGAGACAUCGUUCUCCGAAUCUCGAGAGCCAGAUCCCUGAUAGGAUUGCUUGUUCGAAAACCGAAGGGGCAACACUUUCCCAACUACAAGAGCCGGAUCUCCUUGGAUAAAGCUGUCUGUAAUCUUCACACGCAACAUCAGCUUUCCACAUACCACAGACCACUUUUUCAAAGUGCUCUGACAGGGUAAAGGAAUAGCAUUACUACUUGUUGUUAAGGAGACUCCUAUAUAUGUUAACCUCCAUCCCCAACGGACAGACAGACCUGCAAAAAUGCUCAACCCUUCCUCAUAUAUGAGAGGGCACUCUCAACGAAGCCUUUCGAAAUAUUCAGCUUUCUUUCCCCCCGAUAAUACCUCUGCAAACAAGUUAUACUAGAGCAAGAAUAUCUCAUAUCAUUAGGGUUAAAAGCAAGAGUAUCCCAUAUCAUGCUUUUUCCCUGUCUUUUCCUUUGGCCUUGUUCUUACCUGCAAGACAAGGAGAAAGAGAGCAAUCAGUCAGCACUUGGAAUCAAGCUUCCAGCCAGGAACUGACUGCCUGGAACUUACUUACCUGGCAUUGCUCUCGAGUACUCAUCUUCAACAUCUUAUGCUUCCAGGGAAGAUACCGCAUCUGCCUGAGGAACAGAUAGGGCAAGUGAGAAGGAUACAAGGAAGCAUGUGGAGACAAGCGUAACAGCACACGUGCCGAUACAUCCAUUACUCUGUCAAAGCAAAAGUAUCCCAUAUCAGUAGGGUCGAACGUACUCUAGAUUUGAUGGACUUGUUUUGACCCUCAAAUUCUUCAGUCGGCCUUAUACUCUGGAGGAAACCAGAAAACCCUCCAGCUCAGUUCAAGAAUAAGCCUGUGGAAAGUUACUUCUUCAAAAGCAAAAGUAUCCCAUAUCAUCUCUUCUCAUUUUUCUUCUCUUUAUCCUUCAUGCUGCCUGCAAGAUAGGGAGAAUGUGAACAAUCAUCCGGAGCUCUGAUUGCUUACCUUGUCUGUCACCUCUUUCAGCAAAUCCCCUAGCUCGGCAACUUGAGGGACUCCUACUACAUGGUUUGUAUCGCGCUUGACCAAGCCUGAAACUACAAGUAAGCUUCAAGUGAAAUUGAUACAUUACCUUGUGCAUCUCCACCAGUUAAAGAUACCACCCCUGGAUGGAGGAAGAGUACUUCCAGAGAAGAUGCCACAUCUACCUAUGAGACAGAUAAGGCAAGUCAAGACGAUACCACAUUCCGAUACUUAGAAGUUUCGUGAUUACGAGAUCAUUCUCCCACAAUAUUUCCUAAUGUCAUUUGUACUAAAUCAUUCACUUGUACUCACUAAAGGAAAGCUUGAACCUAUGUACUUGUGUAAACCCUUCACAAUUAAUGAGAACUCCUCUAUUCCGUGGACGUAGCCAAUCUGGGUGAACCACGUACAUCUUGUGUUUGCUUUCCUAUCUAUAUCCAUUUAUAUACUUAUCCACACUAAUGAUCGGAGCAAUCUAGCGAAGAUCACAAAAAGCGACCGUUUUCGCUACCUAGGAUAUAUCGUGCAAGAGAACGGAGAAUUAGAGAGAGAUCUCAACCAUAGAAUAGAAGUUGGAUAGAUGAAGUGUAAGAGUGCAUCCGGCGGGUUGUGUGACCGUCGUAGGCCACUGAAGCUCAAGGGAAAAUUUUAUAGGACGACAAUAAGGCCAGCGAUGUUGUAUGGCACAGAAUGUUGGGCGGUGAAGCAUCAACACGUACACAAAAUGGGUGUGGCGGAGACGAGGAUGCUUCGUGGGGAUGUGGGCACACAAGAAAUGAUAAGAUUGGAAAUGAGGAUAUUCGAGGUAAAGUAGGAGUGGCCGAAAUUGAAGGAAAGAUGAGAGAAAAUCGGUUCCGGUGAUUUGGACAUGUGCAAAGAAGGCCUACUGACGCUCCGGUUUGAAGAUGUGACUACGGGACAGAGGUUCAGGGCCAAAGGGGUAGAGGAAGACCUAGGAAAACUUUGGAAGAGACUCUAAGAAAAGACUUAGAGUACUUGGUUCUAACGGAGGACAUGACACAAAACCGAGCGCAAUGGCGUUCUAGGAUUCAUAUAGCCGACCCCACUUAGUGGGAAAAGGCUUUGUUGUUGUUGUUGUAUAAGCGUAGACACUUAUUUAUACGAUAUAUAAUAAAUUUACUUAAAUUUAUUUAGUCCGCCUAGGCCUUUGCCUAGCCGUCUAGCAUCUGACCCCAGGCCACCGCCUGGCCUAGCGUGUUUUAGAACUUUAGUUGCAAUACAUUGAGGUUCCGAUCCCCGCCCUGAAGAAGAAUGAGGUUUUGCUGAAAUUGGAAGCAGAUAGUCUUCAACCAGUUGAUUGGAAAAUCAGAAAGGCGAGCAGCGGCCUCUUUUCCCCGGCAAAUUCCCUCAAAUACCUGGGAAUUCUGUUUCUCAUGUGAUUUGUGAUGUUUUUAUAAUUUUUUAUCUUCAACAUUCGUAAAUAAAACUUAUGCCAGAACACUAAAUAUAAUCUCUCACCCAUUUCGUAAGUGCUCCACCAUUUCGUAAGUGCUCUCAAUAUUUUAUAUUGUUUUUUUUAUAAAGAUAAUAAGACAAAAAUGAAUAGUAAUAUAAAAUGUUGACGUGCUUUAACCGUGACCACACAAACAGGAGGGCAUGGAAACAAAGAGGGCAGACAAUCCUUGUCCAAAUGAAAACCUUGAAACAUUUUGGUCUCCCAGGCAUUUGAGGCAAGACAGAGUGUAAUGAUUUUGGUCUCCCAGUAUGGAGAGAGUAAUGAUUUAUUAUGUGAAUGUUACUCUUUAUUUAUAGUCAAGAAUAAGGAGAGGAUUAACUUGUCCUUCAAGUAAAUACAAUCCUAUAGGAAAAGUAUAACUAGCAACCAAAUCUAUCUCGGAUUUCUCAACCCAAGAAUAUCUAUAACUUACGAUAUUAUUUGUAAAACACUGCAAUUCAAAACAUGGCAUGGCCAAAACUAAGGCUCCACAAUUAUCUUUCCGGUAGCAUGGCCAUCGCUGAUCCUAUCCCAAGCGUCCUCCGCCUUGGUCAGGGGAUACUUUGAGUCAAUUAUAGUCUUCAGCUUCCCUUCUUUCACCAACUUAAUAAGAUACUCAAGGUUAUCAGCCAUGGGAAAUAAGAACAGUGGCACCAGUUGCUUCUUAGAAAAGGUAAGUUUCUUCAGUGCAACGCUAAACAGAGAGCUGGGGGUGGGAGUAACAUCUAUUACCUUACCGUUCGCACUCAAAUUAGGCUCAAAAGUUGACCAAGGAAUGCAUGUUGCACAGUGGAUCACAACAUCAUAUUUUCGACCAGAUGGACUCCUAAGAGCUGCACCUUCUGGGGUCUUGUAGUCAAUAACCUCAUCAGCCCCUAGGCUUUUGACCAGUUCAAUGUUGCGGGCACCACAAGUGGCUGUAAUAUGAGUAUUUCCGAGCUUUGCCAACUGAACCGCAUAGAGACCUACACCACCUGAAGCAGCUGUGAUCAGGAUGUUUGCUUGCUGACCACUUCCAUCAAGCUUGAUCCCUGCAGUUUGUGUAAGAGCCUGGUGAGCUGUGAGACCAGCAACGGGUAAUCCUACAGCGGUGGCUGCUGAAACUUCCGGUGGCCUUGCAACAGUUAAACUCUCCAUUGUCACGGCAAAUUCAGCUAGUCCACCUCCAGUCUUUGAUUCAUUGUCGAAGAACAGAAUGAGACAAAAGGGGACAUGGUAUGUAUCAAUGAAUGAUGCAUCAGAUAUCUAGGUGACACAUUCUGUCACUGGGUUUGCAUAUUAAGCACACCAAAAGUGGUUUUUACAUGCAAUAGUUCAGUCUCAUGCCGACUGGAAUGACACUAGGGAAAGAGGCACACAAAGUCGAUGAAGGGUUAACGAGGGUUUACAAAUACAACAAUUCAGAUUGGAACAAAUGGAUUCAACUUUUCAAAUUAGUAGAUACUUAUUCAGAUAUCAUUGAUGAAAAUAAUAGUUCUAAAUUAAGUUAAAUCCAUCUAUAUGCAUGUUUCCUAGAUGUAUGUGAAGCCUAAAAGAUGCUAUUUCCAAAACAUGAUAUGGGAGCUUAAUUCCCUUUUUCUGAAUUAUGUUAUCCUUUCAGUUAAAUUUUACUUCGCCGAAAACGAAGACUAAAUUUGAAGAAUUUCAAGUGAAACAGAGAAAAUGAGCUAGUAUAUAAGGGAACUUACAAGAGUGUUAACCUUCCCGACAACUUUGUCACCAGGUUUGAAUUUUUUUACUCCAGGUCCUACCUUUACAACCUCUCCUGCCACAUCAAUACCUGUUCCGAGUUCCACCAAUGAAUAUCUUCAGUUAAUAAAACGACUUCUCACAAAAUGCGGUCCUGUGAAAACUUCUACAUAAAACAUGUUAAGAAAUGCAUCCCACCCUUUCCCUUUGAAGAACUCGAAAAACUAUGCUAUAAUAUCGAUGUUUACGUAAGAAUCUCUCCCCGGAAAACACACAAAUUCCACUCCAGAAGUUUAUUAGAUGAAAUGAACAAGAAACAGGUGUUUAAGCAUUUAUCGAACAUUCGUACUACUUUUCAAGAAGAAGAUCAAAUAAUACAUGGAAUGAAGCAUAAUUACGUAAAGAGUUAUAAACACAAAAUGGAUCCCCUAAGUAGCAGCGUCUCAAGGCAGCCAAACCAAAUUACCAGGUAUGUACGGAAACCUGCGAGGCAACAAAGGCCAGAGCAUGCCUUUCUGAGCUUUCCAAUCAAUUGCGUUUAGACUAGUUGCCUCCAAUUUCAGCAACACCUCAUCUUUUUUCGGAUUUGGAAUCGGAACUUCAACAUGCUGCAAUAAAGGCCAAUGUCAUGACAAGAAUGUGUUCUGCAAAGUUCUUCAAAGCAACAAAGUAUCCACAUAAUAGACCAACAACUUUGUUUAACAUUUCAUAAGCAUAUACAAAUGGUAAUUUUCUCGAUAACAAAACCUAGUAACUGAGUAAAUCCCUGUUACUAUUUCUUUCAUCAUGUGAUUCAGAUAAAAACAAUAAAAGUAAAAGAUAAAACCUCUUCCUUUAUCCUUUCCUUCCCAACAUCGCAAUGACUCAAUCAAGUACUCGUAUUCCAAGUGGGAUUGCAGUUAUUAAACUGAAAAUAUGACUUCACCCCUAGAACAUAGAUUUUUUAUGUAAAACCCGACAUAAUUGUUUUACUUGAUUAAACCCCAAUAAUUAGGAUCCCCAUAAGCAUAUUCCUUAAUUAAGCUUGAAUACAAAUAUUUUACAUGUUUCCAAUGGCUAUAUUAUCCCUAAUAACAAUUGGAUUUAGACAUUUCUUUUCCUAUUCUAUAUUAUCCCUAAAUGGGUACAUUAAUGAUAUAUAAAUAGACAAACAUUAUGAAACUCAUUGAAGGCGCAAAACAAGGAGUAAAUCUUUGAUAUUGACAUGAUUGGAGAAUACUUGCAAUUUUGUAAAAUGAUUGCAACUCAUAUUAAAUUUUGGAUUUUAUUUAGAGGUUAAGAAGUGCACGGGUAUUGAACUCCCGGAAGAAAAAAAGAAAAAAUACAGGUGAGUUUACGUUUAUGAAAUAAGAGUUACAAGUCUAUAAACAACCUUUAAACCAGAAGUUCCGCCGCCAUAGUUGUCGUACUGAACAGCGUGCAUGGUCUCAUUGGCCAUAGUCUCUCAGUUGUAAGUCCAACCAACGUUCCGAAGAGCCGCAGAAACUUGAAGCUCCUCCCUCCCGGAUUCUAUCAAAUACAGAGCUUAUGCUAGUACAGCAAUAGACUCAUUAGCCCAUGUCUAUAGUGGAACAAAUAUACGCGUGAUUGAUUGAUGUUCACUGAUUGACCCUUGUCUAUUGUGGAACAAAGACACGGGAUUCAUGGGCUAUAGUGGAACAAAUAAUACGCGUUAUUCAUAAUGAUGUUGACUGAUUGACCCUUGUCUGUCGUGGAACAAAUACACGUGAUUCAUAUUGAUGUAGACAGUACAAUCAGUAUAUGGUUUACAGUACGUAUGUGGUCCACAUGUUAAAUAGACGAUCAAUAAUUACAUGGUCCCUAUGUUAAAUAGACAACACGUAAGUGGUCCAUAUGUUAAAUAUACAAUAAGUGUAUGCAGUAGCAGAACCGGGAAGAGAUGGGAAAUUCAAAAUAAUGCAAGAUUCAAUCGAAGUGGUUGCUUUUAUAUUGGAGAGUGUAAAGUUUUGAGUCAAUAUUCAUAGUAGAAAAUAGUCUCUCCACUAAAACGGUUGUAAACGGUAAUAUCAAAACCAAUGUAAUAAGCUUAAAUUGGCUAGGUUUAUAUUCUAAAAAUAGACGCUAGUCAAACAGCGGACUGGAACUUAGUAGCUAGGCGCCUAAGACAGAUCUAGGCAUGAGCCUAGUGGGAUUUAAACGAAUUUCUUUUAUCAUAAAAUAAGCAUUAAGUUGUAGGCCUAUUUGAUUGAACGAUCUAGGGUUUAGAAAGAGAGAAGGAGCCGACUAUAUUAGGAGAAGAGAGAGUGAUUUAAUCGUGAGGUGUGUUUGAUUCACACAAUUGUGCCUUUAUUUAUAGUAGUAGGAUAGGUAAAAACAUUUUCCUUUAGGAUUACAAUAUUUAAUAGGUAAUCAACCCCUGAUAUAAAUAUAAGAUACAUUCCCAGAUUCCCUAAGAUUUACACAAUCACAUUCCUAUUCUAAAUAUGACUGCAACACUUUCCCUUGUAGCUAACGGGGGGAAUACGUCUCCUCGUAAUCACUCCCAAGGCGCUGAGAGAAGCCUUGCACUACGAGGUGUGCUUUGUAUCGUACUAUUUCAUUCUUCUCAUUACGCUUCCUCACGAAAACCCACUUAUAGCCAACGGGUUUCACGAGUUGUGGUGUAGGAACGAUAGGUCCAAAUACCUUACGUUUCGCGAGCGAAUCGAGUUCAACCUGGAUUACUUGUUUCCAGUUUGACCAAUCAGUUCUACGUCGGCAUUCAUCCAUCGACGGAACGUGGUUCAAUGUCAUCACUAAGCAUGAUGUUAGUAGCUACUGAAUACGCGAAUGCAUCGUCGACGAUCAUUUCAUUCCUAUUCCAAACCUUAUCUAAUAUUGCGUAAUGGACCGAAAUCUCGUGAUUCUCAAGAGGCCGGCAUGUUUCGUCUGAAGCAUCGCCGUAAUCUAGAAUAACCUCAUGCGUUGGAUCAGAUGAGUGAGCGAUGGUCGGAUUCAAACUAGGGUCACUAGUUGGUGCCAUUUUCCUCUUCCAAGGUUGUGAAUCCUUUGAACCAAGGGGUCUGCCACGCUUCAGGAUAGAAGCAAAUGAUUGGCUAGCUGCCAAUGUACCGUACCGCGUGGAAGGUGCGGCCUCCCUACCUUCGGGGACGGUCCGGCCUUCCCAGGCAGGUUGUUGACGUACACAGGGUACAUCUAUCCUUGCAGGUAUGUUUGCAGCGAGUAUAUGUGAUAUUGUCACCUUUGCUAGAUCAUUAAAAGCAUCCAGCAUACUUUGAGCAAUGCUCUGAAAAUCUAUAAUUCGUCGCACCUCAAUUUCAGAUUGGGCAGUGCGGGGAUCUAAAUGAGACAUAGUGGGAGCAUACCACGACAAUUUGUGGCGUUCUACGAGAACGUUAGCAUGCUUAUCUCCCCCUAAUGACCGGAAGACUGUCUCAUCAAAGUGACAAUUUGCAAAACAUGUGGUAAAGAGAUCUCUUGUCAAUGGUUCAAUGUCAUCACUAAUCAUAACCGACAUAGAUUCCCAUUUUUCUCUGAGGACCCAUUUUGGUACGUAGUGACGGUGCUAUUGGCACAUAAAUGGCGCACCCAAACACCUAUAAAUGCAAGACGUCAGGCUCGUAUCCAGUGACCAACUGUAACAGUGAAUAUGGUUGAGUAGCGGUGGGCCUUAGGCGGAUCAACAUAGCUACGUGCAAUAUUGCAUAGCCCCAGGCAGAUACUAGCAGUUUGGUUCUCAUAACCAAAAUCUGAGAUAUCAAUUAAAUGCGCUUUAUGAAAGCUUAUGCCAGGCCGUUUUGGAUGUGAACAUACGGUACAGGAUGUUCCACAUCAAUCCCUAAUGACAUGCAAUAAUCGUCAAACAUCUGUGACAUAAACUCUCUAAUGUUAUCCAGUCGAAUCAACUUAAUCGGAUAAUCAGGGUGGUGAGCCCUUAGCUUAAUGAUUUGAGCUAGGAGUUUAGCAAACGCGGUGUUGCGUGUGGACAACAAGCAAACAUGUGACCAUCUUGUCGAUGCAUCAACCAACACCAUAAAUUAUCUAAAUGGUCCACAUGUUGGUUGGAUAUGUCCACAAAUGUCCCCUUGAAUCCUCUAAAGAAACUUAGGGAGGUCGUGAAUAAUCCUUUUGUAUAUAAGGGUUAAGUAUUUAACUUCCCUAAAGAGCACGCUUUGCAUGGCGGGAGUCCAGCAUAUGGAUGUAACUUAUGCCCCGUGUGCAGAUUUGAGGAUACGGCACAUCAUAUCACAUCCAGGAUGUCCCAAACGGUCAUGUCAAAGCAACAAAGUGUCCUAGAACUCAGGCAUAAGGCCGGCCACACUGUGGGCUUCUAUGCUGGGAAUGGUUAUGAUGUACAAUCCACUCGGCAGACGUUUCAACUUCUCGUAAAUAUGCUUCUGGCCAUAUUCGUAUGAAGUGAUACAUAGAAAUUCAGAACCAUUAUCUUCUGUGGUUUCAAGAUGAUAUUGAUUAUCUCGAAUAUCUCUAAAACUCAGCAACGUUCUUCCGGAACGUGGAGAAUAAAGUGCCUUGUUAAUGUUCAAGAUUGUACCAUUAGAUAACAUGAUACGUGCCUUUCCGUAUCCUGCAAUCAGGUUGGAUGAGCUUGAGAGAGUUGUAAAAUGAGCUUUCUUGGGUAUUAAGUUAGUAAAAUAAUGUCGUUCACGCAAGAUGGUGUGUGUGGUUGCACUAUCUGCCAGACAACUAACUUCCCCACUAGACAUACAUAGAAAUAAAUUGAUUAAAUUGGUCACAUGCAUAAAUAUAAGUCCAUUCAUUCAAUUAACCAAUUCGAGAAAAUAAUAUCCAUUCCAAUAACAAUCCCUAAUUCAAAACAAACCAAAACCAAACAAAUUAUUCCAAAUACUUAGAAAAAUUGUUCAAAAUUAAACCAUAAAUCUAGAAAAAUAGGGGGGGUAUGGCCAGCCACUCCUAUUGGGUUCGGCCUUUAGGGGUAAACACCCUAAAAACAUGUCUAAUUUAUUCAUCCAUAAGCGUUGACGCCUCCUGAAAAUCCGAAAUGUCCAUUGAUGUAGUUGCAUCUUCCGGAUGAUCCACAUGUGCAAAGUUAGACUCAUAACUGGAAUGAUACUUGGCAAUAGCCUCAGGGGAAGCUUGACAUAAUAGUGACCAAUGAUCAUUUGAUCCACAAUGAUAGCACAUGUCCAGUUCAGCAGAAGCAGGCUGAACGGGAGCUUUGCCCUUAUUCUUGAAGUUUAUGGCCUUAGGGGAGAGUGGUUGACGCUGCUGGGUUACAUUUCUUCCCUUAGAUGUGGCACUUUGUUGACCUUGGGCUUGUGGUUGGGUUUGCCACCCAUUGCCACAGCUACGAUGAUUCUUUCGUCAUUUAUGGCUACUAGAAUAGGUCGCAUGCGCUUCAGCUUAGGCGUUCGAGCCAAUUGAUCGAGCUUGAUGAUUCUUCAUCAAAAGCUUGGUCUGCUUUUCAGCGAUAAGUAAAACAGAGAUCAAAUCCAAAAACUUGGUGAAUUUAUGUGCCCUAUAUUUUUGCUGCAGGACAAUAUUGGUGGCAUGGAAGGUGGAAUAAGUAUUCUCCAGAAGAUCUGAUUCGGUUAGUUCCACUUUGCAGAAUUUCAACAGUGAACGGAUUCUACAAACUUCAGAGUUGUAUUCAUUCACAUACUUAAAGUCCUGGAAGUGAAGAUGUUGCUAGUCGUGUCUUACUUCAGUAUGUCUUUCUGGCGAUCAAAACGGUCGGCCAGAGCAAGCCAAAGGGUGCGUUGGUCCUCCUCAGCGAGAUACUCAGUCUGCAGUGCAUCAUGGAUGUGCCUUCGAAUGAAGAUCAUUGUAGAAGCCUUCUAAGCUUUGUCAACAGGUUUGUCGGUGGUAGGUGCCUCGAUGGUGGCUCUGAUGCCCUUUGCAGUCAGAUGGAACUUCAUGUCUUGAACCCACUUCAGAUAGUUUCUUCCAGAAAAUUCUAGAGCAGAGAAAUCGAGCUUGUUUAAGUUCCACAUGUCCCUAAAACAGAAGGAAAAACGUGAGUAGUCAUAUGGUAAGCUAUAAACAUAUAUCGUAAAACAUACAGGUUCUAUAGGCAUGUACUGGUUUAAUUGAUGCAUGAAAACUACAGGUUUCAUGUGGUAUGUUUUGAAUAAAAACUGCGGGUUUCAAAGGUACUAAAUUUGAAAUUACAAGUUCAAUUUAGUUUUAUGAACAAUUAGUUCAUAAUGAGAUGUUCCUGCAAGAAACACAGAAUGCAAUAUACUAAUUUGAAUAUAGUGGAUUUGAGGUUCUUCGAGAACUCAAGUGUGAGAGCGUCGUUACUACGAAAGUAUGUGAUGGUUCAAAGUAAAAAAAUAAAUUAUUGAAUCGUUAAUGUCCAAAAGUGAUCUUUAGGUCAAUAAUUUUGGAUUCAUUAUUAUAUUAAUGGACUGCAUGACUCAAUCAAGUACUCGUAAUCCAAGUGGGAUUGCAGUUAUUAAAUUGAAAAUAUGACUUCACCCCUGGAACAUAUAUUUUUCAUCUAAAACCCGACAUAAUUGUUUUACUUGAUUAAAACCCAGUGAUUAGGAUCCCCAUAAGCAUAUUCCUUAAUGAGCUUGAAUUCAAAUAUUUUACAUGUUUCCAAUGGCUAAAUUAUCCCUAACAAUAUAUCAAGUUUUUUUUUUUUAACAAACAAUAUUUUUUACACUAAAGGAGGGGUGAACUUAGCCUCAUAAUGAGCUAGCAAUAAUGAGGUCUAAAUUUGCCUUUGGCGAAAAUUGAAGGUAAGACCUCUCUCUUUAACAAUUGUUCUUGCUUCUUAUUUUUUGUUUGAAAUUGAUUUAUUAUAUGCCACUAGGUAAAUUUGUGCUUGUAAAUAUAGAUAAAUUAGUGUAAAUAUAGGUAAAUUAGUGUAUUUCUUAUGUGAUGUCAUAAAAUAAUGUAUCUAUUCUUUUCUCACCCUUUAGUUGUAAUACUUCGUUGUAUGAAAAUAAUGUGCUUAUAUUGUGUCGGUAGGUAAUUAUUGCACAUGAAAAUGCAGGUAAAUAACUUAUAUAUACCAUAUAAGUAAAUUAGUGAAUCAACAAAUUCUAAAUGGGUACAUUAAUGAUAUAUAAAUAGACAAAACAUUAUGAAACUCAUUGAAGGCGCAAAACAAGGAGUAAAUCAUCCAUAUUGACAUGAUUGGAGAAUACUUGCAAUUUUGUAAAAUAAUUGCAGUAAUCGGUCAACUAUUUCUCUAGCUUGCAACUCAUAUUAAAUUUUGGGUUUUAUUUAGAGGUUAAGAAGUGCACGGGUAUAUUGAACUCCCGAAAAAAAAAAAAAAAAAAAAAAAACAAACAAACAGGUGAGUUUACGUUUAUGAAAUAAGAGUUACAAGUCUAUAAACAACCUUUAAACCAGAAGUUCCGCCGCCAUAGUUGUCGUACUGAACCUCGUGCAUGGUCUCAUUGGCCAUAGUCUCUCAGUUGUAAGUCCAACCAACAUUCCGAAGAGCCGCAGAAACUUGAAGCUCCUCCCUCCCGGAUUCUAAGAAAUACAGAGCUUAUGCUAGUACAGCAAUAGACCCAUUAGCCCAUAUCUAUUGGGGAACAAACUGAUACGAGUGAUUCAUAAUGAUGUUGACUGAUUAACCCUUGUCUAUUGUGGAACAAAUACACGUGAUUCAUAUUGAUUUAGACACUACACUGAGUAUAUGGUCCCCCCGCUAAAUGUACAGUACGUAUGUGGUCCAUAUGUCAAAAAGACGAUACAAUAAGUCCCCAUGUUAAAUGUACAGUACGUAUGUGGUCCAUAUUAGAUCUGACAUUUGUGUCCUGUUUUUCGUAUUCGUGUCAGUUUCAUGUCAUACCUGAUAUCUUAACGGAUCGUGUCGUGUAAUACCCGUUAAAAUAAACGGGUAAAAUAAUCCGACCCGAAAUCAACCCGAUAAUAUAAACAGGUAAUAUGACCCGACCUGUUACCUAUUAAGGAAAAUAUAUUUUAAACCAAUAAAUAAUCAAAUGAAAAACAUAAUACUCAAUAAGUAUAUACAUAUCUUAUUGUCACAUCCAAAACAUAAAAACGUAUUUUUCUUUUAAGUAUAUUUUCACUUACCUAAAGUCUUUAAUAGUUUUUUAAUUAAUGUAGAAGGGUAAAAAAAUAUAAAAAAUAUAUAUAAACGCUCAUAAUGACAAGCUUUACAACUUUCAUGAAUAGCUUAACUUUGAAAUUCGCCAUUAUAAUCAUAUAAAUCAUAGAUCAAAAUUUAACUGUUGAUUGUUGUUUACAUUUACGCUUCAUUGUUCUCAUCAAAAUUUUUUUUUCUUCAGAUUUUCUUUUUUGAAAACUUGAUCUAUUAGAGGAUGCAGAAAGAUAAACUGUUUGGAUCGUUGAUAUUAUAUUUAGAGUUUCACGGUUAGUGAAAAUAUUGCUUGAUGUUUAUAAAGUUUCUACAAACUAUAUGACAUCGACUCAUAUUUCAGUUAACCGUAAAUAUCAAAACGUGAUAUCAAAGAUCUGAAUCGUUCAUCUUCUUACAUCUGCCAGAUGAUCAUGUUUUCAAAAGAAGAUAAUUUUUAAAAUAAAAUUCAGUAAGAAGAAUAAAGUGUAAAUGACAAUCGACGGUUAAAUAUAAAUUGAAGGUUUAUAAAUUAUAGUGUUGGAUUUCGAAGCUGACCCCUUCAUGAAAGCUGUAAAGUUUGUCACUAUGAGUGAUUUUGUAUUUUUUUUAUACAUUUUUUACACUUCUACAAUAAUUAUUAUUAAUUUUAUUAAUUUUGUCCUCAAAUAAAAAAUAUUAUUCAUGAAGGUUUGGAAGAUUUUAAAAAUCUAAACGAUAAUGUAAGUGUAACCAUUAUCUACUCGUGGAGGAAUAAUGAUGACUUGCGAGUGUUUAUAUAUUUUUUCAUAUUUUUCAUACUUGUAUGUAUGUCUUCUUAGUUUUUGCCUAUACAAAUAAUAUAUUAGUUUAUUUUAAUUUUGGACAACAACAUGUUAAUUAAAAUUUAUCUUAGUAAUGAUAAUAAGGAACUCUCAUAAUAAAAAUAAAUAAUGACAAAAACUUUUUUUUUUAAACUUAUAUAAAAUAAUAAUACAAAACUUUAUAUUUAAUAUAGAAUAUAUUGUAUAUAUUAAUAUAGCUAUUGUAUUUUAUAAUAAAUCUUUUAGUAAUUAAACUUUAAAAUUAUCAAAAUAAAUUUUUUCCUAACGGGUCGAAACGGGUUACCCGCAUGUAUACCCGUUCAAAAUCCGUUAUUAACGGGUUCUUAACAGGUCACCCGAUAAGUUAUCGUGUUGACCCGAAAUCCGUUAUUUUUCGUGUCGUGUCACUGUUCCAUGUGAGAAAUUACCGGGUCUAGUCCAUAUGUUAAAUAGACAAUAGAAUAAGUCCCUAUGUUAAUUAGACUACACGUAUGUGGUCCAUAUGUUAAAUAUACCAUAAGCAGGGUUCUAAAAAACAUUAGGUGCUAGUCGGGCGGCGAGCUAGUGCCUAGCGCUUAGGCGGCCUAGGCGGAUUUAGGUAAAUUUCUUGUAUAUCUUGUAAAUAAGUGCAUAUUGACACUUACAAAAAAUUAUACUUGUAUGAAAUUCAUGGAUAAGAUAAUAAAAAAAUGAUAAAAUGCAAAAAGAGUAUCCAACAAGUUCAAAAUUUUAAAACACAUUAAGCAUAUAUGUCAUAUAACCAUAAUGAGGAGUAUUGUAGGAUGACACAUGUACGACAAGCUGACAAUUUAAAACCACAUAUUCAGCGGAUUUAAGUAAAUUUAUUAUAUAUCAUAUAAAUAAGUGUUUGUUCAUAUCUAAAAUAUACAUAAUUUCAUUUAAAAUUAUAAGAUAAUCAAAUUUAAACAUUAAAUAAUAUGUUCUUUUUUAAGCGAGAGCUUUAACAUUUUAAGUACAUAAUAAAAAUACAUAUGGUAUGAUCUUAAAAAAAUAAAAUAAAACAUUACAACAAAAAAAUAAAAAAAAGAAUGAAAAGUAAUAACGGGUUAAGAGUGGAAAAAGAAAAGGGCAUAAAAAGUAGUAAAAAAAUGGUGAGAACCAUUCAAAGAAAACGUGCAGUCUGUAAUGGAUGCUUUUCCUAGAUAAAAGAUGGUGGGGACCAUCUUGAUUGAAUCAUGCAAACUGAAUAAUGAUCCAUGUUUACAACCAGACAAAAACAGAAACAAUAUUAAAAACAAAAUAAAUAUGUUAUAGUCGUAAUAAAUAAAUUAGCCUUAUGCAGAAACCAAGAUAAAAAACAAAUAAACAAAUUAAACAGCACAGGAAACAAGGAGAAAAAAUAGAUAAACUAAUUAACUAGCACAGGAACCAAGGAGAAAGAAAAUAAAGUAAAGCAUCAUCUUCAUCUUCUUCGCGUUGAGUUGCACGACGGCUCUGCAACAAUUUUUUCAGAUUCUGGCGUGCUCUACGUAGGCCCUCCUAGCCUUCGCCCAACACCGUCCUGACCAGCAUAACUCCGCCUAGUCCCACCUAAUCCCGCUUAAGCGUCCGUCAAAUAUAUUUCCGAUUUUGUGUCCGAUUAGACCAUCUCCAACCCUUGGGCUAAAAGCCAAAUUUUUUAGCCCGGAAAAUUUAGCUUUUAGCCCAGAAACAUCUUUUCUGCUCCAACCCUUCUACUCUAAAAUUUUAGCCCGGAAUUAUUAAAGAAUGAAAUUAGCCUAAAUUUUUUUCUUAAAUCAAUUUUUAAAAAAAAAAUAAAUAUGUAGAUUAUUGUAAAUUAAUUUUAUGAACAUUUUAAUCUAAAAAAAUUUAAAUUCCGAUAAACAUUUCGCAUUUAGCCCGGGGGGAAUUUGGGGGGGAAUUUGGCCCAACUUUAGCAUUCCCCUUUUAGCCCAAUAUUUUAGCUUGGGUUGGGGGGUGUUUGGGGGGAAUUUUGGGCUAAAUAUUUGGCAUUUAGCCCAGGGUUGGAGUAGGUCUUAGAAGCUAAUCGCAGCAGCAACCGAACGCCCAGCGCCUAGGCGACCGCCUAGACCGACUUUUAGAACACUGACCAUAAUUGUAUGCAGUGGCGAAGCCAGGAUUUGCCGAGAAGAGAGGUGAAAUUUAAAAGAGUGCAAGAUUCAAUUGAAGCGGUUACUUUUAUAUUAGAGAGUGCAAAGUUUUGAGUCCAUAUUUAUAGCAGAAAAUAGUGUCUCCACCAAAGCGGUUGUAAGCAGUAAUAUCAAAGCCAAUGUAAUAAGCUUAAAUUGGCUAGGUUUAUAUUCUAAAAAAAAUACGCUAGUCAAGCAGCUAACUGGAACCUAGUAGCUAGGCGCCUAGGAGAGAUCUAGGUAGGAGCCUAGUGGGAUUUAAAUGAAUUUCUUUUAUCGUAAAAUAAGCAUUAUGUUGUAAGCCUAUUUGAUUGAACGAUCUAGGGUUUAGAGAGAGAGAAGGGGCCGACUAUGGUUAGAGAGAAGAGAGUGAUUUAAUUGUGAGGUGUGUUUGAUUCACCCUAUUGUGUCUUUAUUUAUAGUAGUAGGAUAGGUAAAAACCUUUCCCUUUAGGAUCACAACAUUUAAUAGGUAAUCAACUCCUAAUAGGAAUAGAAGAUACAUUCCCAGAUUCCCUAGGAUUUAUACAAUCACAUUCCUAUUCUAAAUAUGACUGCAACACUCCCCCUUGAGUGUGUAAAUACUCAACAAACCAUCGCAUCAGAUCUUCAGCAGAUAAGGUAGAAUAGUUGAUGAAGUCAUCGGCACAACGGAUGAUUGCGAGUCUCAAAUUUAAGUGAAGUAUGCAUUUGUAGUAAAACUCACAAAAAUAUCGUUAUGGUAAAACCCAAGUCAUGGGGAAAACCCAUGGACUAAGGAGAAAAGUGAGAAGUAUGUAUAAUGUCUUUAAACAAACGUCAAAUUGGACGAAGGUAGUGAACUCAAUGGAGUAUGAUCAUCCCAAGAUGAGUGUCUCAUUAAAACCUCGUUAGGUAGCAAAAACCCAGUGGAAAAUGCUCUUAAUCGUAGGAAAAAGAGUACAUUAAGAUCAUGUGAGUAUGUUUCUAGAUAUUCCCCCUGAGUUAGACAUAACUUCUAAAUAAGAGAACUACAAGCGACUCAACUCAGAUAAUUUAAGCAUUUUGAUUCCUUGGACGAGCUUCUGAAAAGUAGACUUGGGCAAUAACUUGGUGAAGAGAUCAGCCAGGUUGUCCUGGGAACGGAUUUGCUUGACCUCAAUGUUCUGAUGCUACUACUGUUGGUGUGAGUAAAAGAACUUCGGGUUAUGUGCUUGGUUUUGUCUCCCUUGAUGUAUCCCUUCUUCAACUGCUUGAUACAUGUCGCAUUGUCUUCAAAUAUCGUCGUAAGAAGGUCAACGACUGAUGUAAGACCACUAAUGCUUCAAAUAUGUCCUAUAAGAUAUAGCGGUGUCUCUAAAGGUAAAGACAUAUCCUGUUUGAGAACGUGCCAUGUGUGGGUCAAACAGAUAUCCAGCAUCUGCGUAACCAACAAGGCGAGAAUCAAUCCGAGAACCAUAAGGGGCGGUAACACUCGAAGAUUCGUAGGUAUAGAACAAGCCCAAAUCCGUUGUACUUUUGAGGUAGCGAAAAAUGUCUUUAACAUCAUUCCAGUAACUGCAUGUGGGCGCAUUGCUGUAUCUUGCCAAAAUGUUCACAGCAAAUGAGAUGUCGGGUCUAAUGCACUGAGCCAAGUACAAUAAAGCCCCAAUUGCACUUAGGUAAGGAACUUUGGGUUCCAAAAUCUCUUCCUCAUCCCCUUUUGGAUGGAAGGAAUCUCGUUUAGCAUCUAGAGUCCGAACGACCAUGAGUGUACUCGAAGGUUUCGCUUUAUCCUCAUUAAAAGGAUGUAACACCUUUUGGGUGUAGUUCAAUUAAUGUACUAGGAUUCCAUGCAAACAAUGCUCGAUCUCCAGGCCAAGACAGUAUCGAGUUUUACCAAGAUCCUUCAUCUCAAAUUCCGAUUUCAAAUGCGCAUCAAUUUCCUCAUGCUUUACGGGACUCCCAAUGAGGUUCAUGUUAUCGACAUAAACUGCAACGAUUGCAAAUAAGGAAUGUGACCUCUUUAUGAACACGCAUGGGCAUAAUUCGUUGUUCACAUAACCCUGAUUUGUUAAAUAUUCACUCAGACGGUUAUACCACAUUCGCCCGGAUUGUUUCAAUUCGUAGAGUGACCUCCUCAACCUAAUAGAGAAAGUGUUCCAUGGUCUAGAACUAUUUGAACUAGUCAAUGGAAGUCCUUCUGGAACUUUCAUGUAAAUUUAUGUAUCUAGAUCCCCAUAGAGAUAAGCGGUUACCACGUCCAUAAGCUGCAUAUUCAGUUUUUUGAAAACUAUCAAACUGAUUAGGUAAUAGAAUAUUAUAAUGUCCAUUGCGGGGGAAUUCGUCUCCUUGUAAUCAAUCCCACGGCGCUGAGAAAAACAUUGUGCUACGAGGCGUGCUUUGUAUCACACUAUUUCAUUAUUCUCAUUAUGCUUCCUCACAAAAACCCACUUGUAGCCAACGGGCUUCAAGCGUGGUGGUGUAGGAACGAUAGGUCCAAAUACCUUACGUUUCAUGAACGAAUCGAGUUCAACCUAGAUUGCUUGUUUCCAGUUUGACCAAUCAGUUCUACGUCGGCAUUCAUCCAUCAAAGAAACGUGGUUCAAUGUCAUCGGUAAGCAUGAUAUCAGUAGCUACUGAAUACGCGAAUGCAUCAUCGACAAUCAUCUUAUUCAUAUUCCAAACCUUAUCCAAUAUUACGUAAUGGACCAAAAUCUUGUGAUUCUCGAGAGGCUGGCAUGUUUCAUCUAAAGCAUCACCAUAAUCUAGAAUAACCUAAUGCGUUGGAACAGAUGAGUGAGUGAUGGUCGGAUUCAACCUCUAGGGGUAAACACCUUAAAAAAAACAUGUCUAAUUUAUUCAUCCAUAAGCGUUGACGCCUCCUGAAAAUUUGAUAUCUCCAUUGAUGUAGUUGCAUCUUCCGGAUGAUCCACAUGUGCAAAGUUAGAUUAAUGACAGGAAUGAUACUUGGCAAUAGCCUCAGGGGAAGCUCGACAUAAGCAUGACCAAUGAUCCCUUGAUCCACAACGAUAACACAUGUCCAGUUCAGUAAAAGCAGACUGAACGGGAGCUUUGCCCUUAUUCUUGAAGUUUAAGGCUUUAGGGGAGAGUGGUGGACGCUGAUGGGUCACAUUUUUUUCCCUUAGGUGUGACACUCUAUUGACAUUGGGCUCGUGGUUGGGCUUGCUGCUCGUUGCCACGGCUACGACGAUUCUUUCAUCGUUUAUGGCUCCUAAAAUAGGUCGCAUGCGCUUCAGCCUAGGCGUUCGAGCCAGUGGGGUCAAGCUUGAUGAUUCUUCAUCAAAAGCUGGUUCUGCUUUCAGCAAGAAGGAAUACAGAGAUGAAAUCCGAAAACUUGGUGAAUUUAUGUGCCUUAUAUUGUUGCUGCAGGACAAUAUUGGUGGCAUGGAAAGUGGAAUAAGUCUUCUCCAGGAGAUCAGAUUCGUGAAAACUACAGAAGGAAAAACGUGAGUAGUCAUAUGGUAAGCCAUAAACAUAUAUCGUAAAACAUACAGGUUCUGUAGGCAUGUAUUGGUUUAAUUGAUGCAUGAAAACUACAGGUUUCAUGUGGUAUGUUUUGAAUGAAAACUUCGGAUUUCAAAGGCACUAAAUUUGAAACUACAAGUUCAAUUUAGUUUUAUGAACAAUUAGUUCAUAAUGAGAGGUUCCUGCAAGAAACACAUAAUGCAAUAUACUAAUUUGAAUAUAGUGGAUUUGAGGUUCUUCGGGAACUCAAGUAUGAGAGCUUCGUUACUACGAAAGUAUGUGAUGGUUCAAAGUAUAAAAAUAAAUUAUUAAAUCGUUAAUGCCCAAAAGUGAUCUUCAGGUUAAUAAUUUUGGAUUCAUUAUUAGAUUAAUGGACUGCAUGACUCAAUCAAGUACUCGUAAUCCAAGUGGGAUUGCAGUUAUUAAAUUGAAAAUAUGACUUCACCCCUGGAACAUAGAUUUUUCAUCUAAAACCCGACAUAAUUGUUUUACUUGAUUAAAACCCAGUGAUUAGGAUCCCCAUAAGCAUAUUCCCUAAUUAAGCUUGAAUUCAAAUAUUUUACAUGUUUUCAAUGGCUAAAUUAUCCCUAAUAACAAUUGGAUUUAGACAUUUCUUUUCCUAUUCUAUAUCAUUUUUUUUAACAAACAAUAUUUUCUACACUAAAGGAGGGGUGAACUUAGCCUCAUAAUGAGCUAGCAAUAAUGAGGUCCAAAUUUGCCUUUGGCGAAAAUUGAAGCUAAGACCUCUCUCUUUCACAAUUGUUCUUUUUUCUUAUUUUUUUUUGUUUGAAAUUGAUUUAUUAUAUGCAACAAGGUAAAUUUGUGCUUGUAAAUAUAGAUAAAUUAGUGUAAAUAUAGGUAAAUUAGUGUAUUUAUUAUGUGAUGUCAUAAAAUAAUGUAUCUAUUAUUUUCUCACCCUUUGGUUGUAAUAUUUCGUUGUAUGAGAAGAAUGUACUUAUAUCUUGUUGGUAGGUAAAUUAUUACACAUGAAAAUGCAUGUAAAUAACUUAUAUAUACUGUAAACAUGGAAAUUCUUGAAACAAACGAAACAAGAACACAUGUACAAAAUAAUAUUUUGUAUUAAUGAUUUUUGAGGUUACAAUCUCUCUCAAAUUUAAUCCUCUGAUUCGAUCUCCAUGAGGUGUUGAUUUGUGGAUGUGCGAUUGAUCCAAGGGCCAUUGAGGCUUGAACUUGGAUGAACGGUUGGAAAUUUCUUCAAGGGGCUUUAGGCCUAAUCUUGAGGGUUGAUGGAUGAACGGAUCUUCAAGGCUUUUGAGCUUGAUCUUGAAGAACUGUUGAUGAACGGAUCUUCAAGGGCUUUUGGGCUUGAUCUUGAAGAACGGUUGGAUGUGUGGAUUUAUUGAUGUUGUUGAUCCAAAAGGUCGUUGGGGCUUGAUCUUAGGAUGAAUGGAUUUAGUCACACGCUACGUGUAAAAUUUAUGUGACACUUGAGCAUUGAAAUUGUAAUUGUUGGUCAACAUUUAUUUCACCGAAAUUUCAAUGUCUACAAAUGCCCCCACUUCAAGGCGCGUCGUAUACAUGUGCUUGUCACGUGUAGGAGAUGCAUUUUAAAGUCCCUUAAUGUAAAUGUCGAUCCAAUGGCCAUCGAUGCUUGAUCUUGAAUUGGGCUGGAGAUUUCUUCAAGGGUCGUUGAGGCUUGUUCUUGAACUUUGUUUGAAAUUUCUUCAAAGGCCGUCGAGGCUUGAUCUUGAAUUAAAUUGGACCACAAGGAGCUUCAUGUGGUAGAUGAUCUUUGGCUUUGGUAGUGGAUGAAUCGGUACGUAUUUUCUUGCGCUUGUUGACUUUCCACAACUUUGAUCUUGAACUGGGUUGGAGGAUUUUCUGGUUUCCUCCAAUUAUUGACUUUCCACUGGCUUAUUCUUGAACUGGGUUGAGGGGUUUCUUCUGCUAGACUUACCCCAAAAUGUCUGGAUUUACUCCUUUUAUCUGGAGCUGAAUUUGGUUCAAGGAUGGUGGACACUUAAUCUUGAAUCGGACGUGAUUUCUUCAAGUUGGUGACUUAAUCUUUAAGGAUUUGAUUCAAGGGUGGUGAAUCGGCACGUGCAGCUCACAACGCCUAGCGAGUAGACUCAAGAAUUUGAGGGUCAAAACAAGUCCGCCAAAUCUAGAGUACUUGCAACCCUGACGAUAUGAGAUAUUUUUUGCUUUUGAAGAAGUAGCAGGUGAAUCGGCACAUGUUUGCUGUGCUUGUCUCCACAUGCUUCAAUGUAGCAUUUUCACUUACCUUAUCUGUUCUUCAGGCAGAUUUGGUAUCUUCUGCUAGACUUGUCUAUUUCCCCGGCGGAGCAAUGCUAGGUAAGCAAUCAGGAAAGGGUUCCAGGUAGUCGGUUCCUGACUAGGAGUUUGACUUCAAGUUCCGACUGAUUGCUCUCUUUCUUCUUGUCCUGUAGGUAAGAACAAGGACAAAGAAAAUGACAGGGAGAAAGCAUGAUAUGAGAUACUCUUGUUUUCGAAGAAGUGGUGGCGAUUUGACAGCAUUGCAUAGUGAGGCUUUGUUCUUCGGGGAUGGUGCCAGCGAAAGGCUAUUGAAGCUUUUCGAGCUCUUUGAUUAGGGCAACGAUGCCAAGCUUAGCUUUGAUUUAGACUCAUCCAUCUGGGUUAUGCGGUUCUGCAGGGAAGGGCGUCGUGCUAUAGUGAUCUGUUCUGGCUCAUCAUUGAUCCUUCUGCUUCAAUCUCUUGCAGUAUUUGCCCCCGAUGCAGGAGUGGAAUGCAAUCUUUGCAUUUAAAUGGCCUUUCAGAGCACUACUUCUUAGCGGCGAUGAGCACUCAAGAGCACUGCCAGGUAAGCAACCAGGCAAAGGUUCCGGGCAAUCAAUUCCAGAUCAGAAGUUUGAUUUCAAGUUCCGACUGAUUGCUUUCUUUCUCCUUGUCUUGCAGGUAAGAGCAAAGGUAAAGGAAAAGACGAGGAAAAAGCAUGAUAUGAGAUACUCUUGCUUUCUAACCUGAUGAUAUGAGAUACUUUUGUUUUGAUGUCAUUUGUUUGCAAGGGUAUUCCUGGAGAGGAAGAAAACUGAGUAUUUCAAGAGGCUAUACUAGGAGUGUACUCUCGGAGGUGAGGAAGAGUUGGGCAUUUUUUGUAGGUCUGCCUUGCUAUGGAGGACGAAGGUCGACAUAUAUAGGAAUUUUCCAACAGCCAGUAGUGGCACUAUUUCUUUACUCUUGUCGGCAACUGUUAGGUAAUUGAAACAGUAAGAUUCACGCGUUUUCGACUUUGUCAGAAAUCUUUGACAAAGUUGUCCGUGCUUUCUGCAAAGUUGAAAGGGUGGCGACAAACUUUGAUCCGGAAAAUCCAAUUUUUUUUUUAAUUCACAUAGCAGUGCCUCUUCGAUCUGUGAACCGGUGGCCUUGUUGCCUUUUUUAUUUCUGAACAAAAGGCCCGACUUUUGAAAUUCAGGGAGAGGUGCCUUUUUGGUUUCUGAACGGUCACGUUGCCUCUUCGAUUUCUGAACAGGCCUUGUUGCCUCUUCUUUUUUAUAGAGGCAUGAAUUCUGUUCAAAACACACUUAGAGAGUUGUCGCAUGUAGGAAUUUUUUUUUUUUAAUAUUUCUGAGAAUUCGAUUUACCCGACCUCUUCUUCCUUUAUCAUUUUUUUUACAAAUGGCUUGCCUAUCUGAUCGUCUUCUUGAUUUGAAUGUUGGGGAAGAUGUUGAUAUGUCUUCUCCAUACAACAUAUGGCACCCAUCCUUCUUAUCCCUCACCGGUUCUCUUACGGUUAGGGACUCUGUGAUGAAGAAUGACAUCACUGCUAUGGUGGUUGCUAGAAAUCUUCUCACCCCCAAGGAUAGCAGGAUCAUUUCCAAACGGUCUGAUGAGAUGGUUGUUCAGGACUCUCUGGCUUUCAGUGUUCAGUGUGCGGGCUCCGUAUCAAAUAUGGGCCAACGCCUUCUUGCUCGAACUCGUCAAGUCGAGUCACUAAUGGCUGAGGUGGCGAGUCUUAAGCAAGAGAUUAGAGGGCUUUAGCGUGAAAACAGAGUUGCACAUACUUGCCAAUAGUUACUCGACGAGCAUGAAGAGAAAGCUUGACCAGCUGCAGGAAUUCGAAAGUCGGAUUCAGAGUGACCAUCAUAUGGUUGUGGCUUUACUCCAGAGACACAUAUUGCAUUUGUCCUCUGGCGUUUUACCGAGUGUUGAGGCUCCAAACAAUCAACCUCCGGCGUCUCUUCUUCCCUGAGUUUCGCCGAGUGAUGAGGUGCCACCUGAGCAACCUUCUUGAAAUCAAUAAAUGAGGCUUUUUUCACUCAAUGGAUUUUUUUUAUUUUUUCUUUUCUUUUCUUUCGCAUGGUGCUGAUCCACCAUUCAAUUUUUUAUAUAUUUCUUUCUUUUCUUUCCUUCACGCGGUAAGGCACCAUUCCAAAACUUUUUUUCUUUCUUUCAUAUGGUGCAAUUCGCACCAUCCCACCUCCCUACUUUCUUUUGCUUUUUUUUUGUUUUUUUGUAUUUUUUAUCCUUCUUUUCAAAGUGGGCUGAUGGUGAUGAUCCUUUACAAUUUUUUAUUAGUAUUUUUUUUAUUUUUUUUCACAUGGUGCUGUGCACCAUCCAAACUUUUAUACUUUUUUUUUGUCGGCCAUAUAUAUAUAUAUUUUUUCUUUCUUUUAACGUGGUGGCACCACUUUGCUCCACCAUCCCAUUUUUUAUUAUUUUUUGGGUAAAUUACAUAGUAGCCCCUUAGGUUUGAGAUCUAUUACAAUCUCAUACAACAUCUUUAAAACAUUUCACUUUCAUGCCUCAAGUACUAUUUUAUUUCAAAAUAAUACCUCUGUUACAUUUUACAUCCAUUGAUCCGUUAAAUGCUGACGUGGCUGUCAAAUAUGUGCCACAUGGCUGCCAAAUGUAUGCCACGUGGCAAAAAUAAUAAUUUUUUAUUUUUUAUUUUUGAAAAAUCUUAAUCUUCUUAUAAAAAAUAUAAAAAAUAAUAAAAUAAUAAAAAAUAAAUAAAAAAAACCAAAACUUAGAAAACACAGAACCACCCCCGCAACCUCUCCCUACCCCUCUUUUCCCUCCCAACCACCUCCCUCUCCUCCACUCUCUUCACCUCCCCUCCCAUCCAAAAACCCACCCCACUCCCUUUCUCCCUUCUCUCAUAUGUAACCUCACCCACAACAUUCCAACAUAUUCAAAUCAUGAAAUUAAACAACAAUUUUCUCAAUUCAUACACAGAAAUCCAAGAGUUUAACCUUAAGGGACAGCAACCACCAUUCCUUGAAGCUCUGGAGUGAGGACGACCUGCCAUCCCAGCCUUGAGAACCCUAGCCCUAGAGUUCCUCUUCAGCACGUACUCCUUGUCGUAGGACCGCAGAGGGAGGUGGCUCGACGAAGGGAGCUUGUCGCCGGGGGCAAGGUUCGUGAGAGCUUGUCGUUGCCGGAGCUUAUCGUCGCAGGGGGGGAGGGUAGUCACGCAAGCUUGUAGCCGCAGCCGGGGGGGCGGAGGGGGCUUCAGGAAGAGCCUCUGCGAGGUGGGGUGAGGUGGGUCGUCUGGAGAGGGGGUGUUUAAGUUUAUGGGUUUUUGUGUAUGGGUAUGGAGGGAAGGGAAGAGGGGUUCAGCUUUUGCUUUUGUUUUUUUUAAGAAGAUUCAAAAUUUUCAAACAAAAAUUAUUAUUUUUGCCACGUGGCAUACAUUUGGAAGCCACGUGACACACAUUUGGCAGCCACGUCAGCACUUAACGGAUCAAUGGAUGAAAAAUGUAACAGAUGUAUUAUUUUGAAAUAAAAUAGUACUUAAGGUAUGAAAGUGAAAUGUUUUAAAGAUGUUGUAUGGAGUUGUAAUAGACCUCAAACCUGAGGGGCUACCAUGUAAUUUACCCUUUUUUUUGUAUAAAUUUUGAUGAUGGGCUGGGGAAUUUGCAAGGAAGGACGAAGACGGAAGGAGAGCUAGAGUCAAGAUUAGUGGUAGUGCAAAGCGUCGAGCUUCACGACCAGCUAGUCAUUUGACGGUGGUCGUUGAAGUUCUUCGCCGACUUUGAUCAUGGCGACCAAAGUGACGAGCUUGAGGUAGUGCAAAGCGUCGAGCUUCAUGACCGGCUAGUCGUUUGACGGUGGUUACUGAAGUUCUUCGUCGAUUUUGUUCAUGGUGGCCAGAGUGAAGAUGACUCACAGGUUUAGAUGCAGGAGCAUGGAGAGCACAGACGAAAGUGCGUUGAGGGCCGAAGAAGAAUGCGAGGAGACUGAGGAAGAAGCCCUUCCUCUUGUUCUGCCAUGGAAGAUGAACCUCUUCGAAAUCUGAAGCUCUACUACUACCACAACUGAGCACAACCAACAGACUCCGCCACGUCAAUUCCCUGGGCUCCCCCAAAGACACCUUUGCUUCAUGCUAAUCGUUGGAUAAGUGACAGCCGCAACUCUACCUCUCUACCCAGCGAGAGCCCCACCACAAGGUCACACGCCACCGAGAAUCUCUGCCCAACUAGCCGCUGCCAUGCUGCUGUCUGUGUCUUUCUUCUCUCAGCAACUAAUGUAUUGCCAGCCAUCUCGUUGUUUCCUCUGUGAGCCUCAUCAACGCCUACCGAGCCCUUGCCGAUGAUGCACGUCAUUCCUUUGAUCGCUUCAACGUAUUCAGCAACUCGACUGAGUCGCACAAGCCCAAACAACUCAACCUCUCAUCGAACUUGUUGACUUGGACUAUAGUUUCAGUCAUCGCACAAAUCUAGUCUGAAAGAGGCCGAGCUCAAGGUGUGGAGGGUCUGGAGCUUGACGCAGUGGACGUGGGAGGGCGGUGUGGAGAAGUUGAGAUAAUAUGAUCUCAGACACACUGAUAGAGAAGACUUGGAAAAACUUUGAUUUAUUGUACAACCGAAGGGCAGACGAGCCCCGUUGACUUGACUUCAAGUCUCCUCCGUCUGUGAGUCUUCAAGCUGAGAGUUUCGACCUAAACCACUAAGACCGCUUCCAUUAUAAUUGCCUUCGUAAAAAAAAUACAAAGUUCAUGGCCACCAACCAAGCAUCUUCACUCUGUGAGGCUGAUAUGUACACCCCAUGUGCAAUCUGUCACAUAUGUGUUACUUCUGCAUCAACUUCAACAUCAUAUGCGAAUAAUUUCCCAUCACUUGGGCAGCUGAGGAAGAGAAGUGGAGAGCUUGGAGGUUCAGCCCUGUAAAGAUGCAAAGUCCAGAAUGGAGCAACCCAGCCGAACCGACUCGAUUCUGGCAGGAGAUUUUGGAAAGGGAUCUUGAUGGUGAGAAGGGGGCCAAGAAUGAGUCUCGGUCUGCAAGACACUUCUCCAAAACAUUUCUCCAUAAAUGAACCCCAUUCUCAUCUUCGUACACAUCACAGAGGUUAAUCGUAUUCGAGCGCUGCGAUAGAUUCUCAACAAUCUUCCUCAUCACCAGGAUUUCAUUUGUGAGCAGCACACUUGAUAUGGACACUUGUUUUCGGGUUUGGAAAACGGCAACAGCAAAGUUAUUCUGGUCUCCUCUUUCUUGAUCUCUCGGCAGCAUCCCUGUUUCUCAACUGCCUUCUCGUUUUCUUGGAGAUAGGAUUGUCGUCAAGAAUUUCACUAAGAUGGCGUGGCUUGAUCCCAAGUAGUAUGCGAAUGAAGCUUGGGGUGUUGGGAGGAGGUACAUCCAUGGCUGGGUGUCGAUAGUGGUAGUGCUCGCAGCUCUUAGAUCUGAUGAAUAGCAACCGAAGUUGGCUUGUGCGUCGAGGCCGAAGGCAAUGAAUGCGAGGUUGGUGAGGAAGGACACGGGUCCAGCGGUUGCUGGAAUUGGGUUGCGCCGGCGCUGAAGAGCACGGAGGAAGCAGAGCGGCAAAACGAUGGUGGUGAAGGGCAGCUUUCGCGGAGGAUCUAGAACCAGGCGUCGUCUAACCGCCCGCGUGAUCGUACAUGUAAGACAUGAAGCUUAGAAUCACAGUGAAAGCGUCCUCCAUCUCUCGCCUUCUCAGCCAGGUUGACGAUCUUCGAAACCGUCGAUUCGCUCGGUUUCACAUCCUCCGAAGCCAUUUCAGCAGAAAGAGUGAGACUUGGGCCUCUUCAUGGGCCUAUUGGGUAUGGGAUCCGAUGGAGGUCAGGAGGGUAUGGCUUGGGCCUGGAUUUGGGCUGCUCAUUUCUGUGGACUUCAACUUGUGUUUCUUUGAUUUGGCACGGGUCUUAAGUGUAAGAAGACCCACUUUAACAUGUAUACAUUUUUUUUAAAUUUUUUUUACUACAAAGAAUAUUGUUUUUUUUUAUUUGUAAUAAAAUUGACUCUCAAUAGUCAAACAUUUAAUAAAACCUUAUUUUUUAUUUUGACGUGACUGUACUCGAAGUUGAUCGUUCGAGUUGCUUACGUACCCUUCCAAAGAAGAGAUCAAGUCAUAAUGUAGUUCAAAUACAUAUUUUUUUCGAUUUGUUUUAGUCCCGUACGUAGUUUAUGCUCUUGCGGGCUAGGAGCAUGGUCCGUUUGUUUUAGGGGUAGUAGCGCUUCAAGAAUCUGCCAUUGAUGGGGCCGAUAUUCAAGCUGUCUUCUGCCAUGAUUAAGUAGGCGCCAUUGGUGUAGACUUUUUCUAUUACGCCAGGUCCAUCCCACUUUGAUGUGAACUUGCUUUUUGUUUUGUGAGUUAUGAUGAUAAGUCUACGCAAUGUAAGAACGAGAUCUCCCACUUGAAAAGAACGAGGGCGAACUUUCUUGUUGAAAGCCUUGGAGAGUCGUGCUUUAUAACACUCCAAGUGCUGCUGAGCUUCAAGCCUUUUCUCAUCCAGUGCUUCCAGCUGUUGAAGAUGCAACUUUGUGUUUUCUUCAUCAGUCAAGCCUUCUUGUAUAGCCAUCCUUAGUGAGGGGAUUUGGCUUUCGAGUGGCAGAACAGCUUACACGCCGUACACGAGAGAAUAAUGCGUAGCUUGGGUAAGAGUCUUAUGUGUCGUCCUAUAUGCCCAAAGUGCUUCGCUUAUUCUUUCUUGCCAGUUUCUCUUUAUUCGGCCGAUCACCUUCUUUAGGAAGCUGCACAAUGUUUUGUUGAAUGCUUCUGCAAGACCGUUGGCCGGAGUAUGAUACAUGGAAGACUUGUGUAGUUUGAACUUGUAUUUCUCACAGAGCUCGUCCAUGAGUCGGUUGGAGAAUCGUUUUCCAUUGUCAGUGAUGAUGUAGCGAGGCACACCAUAUCGGUGGAUGAUAUGUUCCUUGAUGAAACAGACAACAGCUUCCUUCUUGACUUCCCUUAGGGGUAUGGCUUCAGCCCACUUGGAGAAGUAAUCUGUUGCAGCUAUGAUGUAAGCUUCUUCUGUAGAUGACUUUGGUGCAAUCGGCCCUACGACAUCCAAUCCCUAUGCAUUGAAUGGCCAUGAAACAACUGUAGGGUGUAAUGGUUCAGGUGGUUGAUGUAUGAAGUUGGCAUGGAAUUGGCAGGCUUAGCACCUUUUGGCGUGUUCCAGACAAUCUUUCACCAUGCUUGGCCAGUAGUAACCCAUUAUUUUGAGCUGAAAAUGUAGCUUUGGUCUAGACUGAUGCACCCCGCAUACGCCUGAGUGUGCUUCUUCCAUGGCUUGAUUGGCUUCUUCCUCACCUAGGCAUCUCAGAAGUACUCAUUCAAAAGAGCAUCGGUGGAGUGUUCCUUUGUAGUAAAGAAAGCAAGGUGUUUGUCGAUGUAUUUCGGAGUGAUGUCUAGGAUCAUUUGGAAGCUUUCCAUGCUCCAGGUAGUAGAUUAGCGGUUGUCUCGACUCUUCAGCAUCGACUGGAAGUAUUGAGAUGACAUUUGUAUCAUCCAGUAGCAUUUCAGUGACGAACGGGAUCACCCAUCUUUGGCAAACUGGCACGUCUGCAGCUUCAUCUUCCCCCUAGUGUCAUAUUUGAGGCUAGGUUGGCGAGAGCGUCUGCCAUUUGUUUUUCUUUUCUUGGCAUAUGUUCCAGUGUCACAGUCUUGAACUUUUGUAGCAGUUGAGUUGCCAGCCGGAAGUAUGGGACGAGAUCGUCUUUCCUCACCUCAUAUUCAGUUAAGAGUUGAUUGAUUAUAAGCUUGGAGUCACCAAAUACCUCAAGGGCUGUGAUUCCCAUGUUGAUCGCCAUUUGGAGUCUGAUGAUCAGUGCUUGGUACUCAGCGACGUUGUUGGAGCAUAGUUCGCUUAGUUGGAAGGAAUAAAGUAGUAUUUGCCUUUGUGGCGACAUGAAUACUACUCAUGCCCCUGCUCCGUUUGCUCAUGCAGAUCCGUCGAAGAACAUCGUCCAUGUCGGGAAGAUGUCAAUGUAGAACACCUCCUCAUCAAGCAAGUCAUCUGAGAUUUUCCAAUCAGCUAGGAUUGGAUGAUCGGCAAGGAAGUCUGCUAGUGCUUGUCCCUUGACGGCUUUAGUUGGUACGUAGAUGAUCUCUUAUUGAUUAAGAAGCAACGCCCAUUUAGCUAGUCGCCCUGUUAAGACUGGUUUGGACAUGACGUAUUUGACCGGAUCAGCUUUAGUAACUAGGUGGAUGGUGUAAGCAUGCAUGUAAUGCCUGAGCUUCUGAAUAGCAAACAUCAAGGCGAGGCACAUCUUUUCUAUUGGGGAGUAGUUCAACUCAGCGCCGGUGAAAGUUCGGCUAAGGUAGUAGAGUGCUCAUUCUUUCUGGGAUUCAUUCUCUUGUGCCAAGAGUGCUCUAACUGAACUUUCCUGAGCGGCGAUGUACAAUAUGAGCAGUUUCCCGGGCACAUACGCCCCCAUGACAGGUGGACUUGAUAAAUAUUUUUUUAUUCUUUCAAAAGCAUUGUGGCAUGCUUCGUCCCAUACGAACGGAACAUCCUUCUUCAUGAGUCGACUGAACGGUUGAUAACGCCCUGCAAGGUUGGAGAUGAAAUGUUUGAUGAAGGCUAGUCGUCCUUGUAGAUUUUUCAGCUCGUGCAGGUUUCUUGGUUCAGGCAUGCUUUGAAUGGCCUUGAUUUUUUAUUGGUCCACUUCAAUGCCACAGUGCUUGACAAUGAAGCCGAGGAACUUUUUAGAGGUGAUGCCAAAUGCGCACUUUAACAGGUUCAUCUUAAGGGUGUAUUUUCGCAACCUUUCAAACACUAUUCAUAAAUCCUUCAGGUGAUCUGAUCUUUUCUUUGUCUUGACAACCGCAUCAUCUACGUAACAUUCUACAUUUUUGUGUAGCAUGUCAUUGAAGAUUUUCUGCAUUGCGCGUUGAUAUGUGGCUCCAGCGUUUUUCAGACCAAAGGGCAUCACCUUGUAGCAGUAGAUACCUUUUGGAGUGCGGAAGGCUGUUAGUUCCUCAUCUUCGAGAGCCAUGUGAAUUUGAUUGUAUCCAGAAGAGCCGUCCAUGAAUGACAGUGCUUCAUAGCCAGUGGUUGCAUCUACCAUGAUUUUGAUGAUUGGCAAGGGGAAGUCGUCAUUCGGGCAAGCAUCGUUGAGGUCCCGGAAGUCUAUGCAAACACGUAUUUGUCCAGAUUUCUUAAGGACGAUGAUGAUGUUGGAGAUCCACCUGGGGUAUUGCACCUCUCGAAUGAAGCCUGCUUCAAUUAGCUUGUCAAUCUCAGCCUCAAUUUGUAGGAUGAGCUCCGAUCGAUAUCGCCUUUGAGUUUGCUUUAUCGGUCAUGUUCCAGGCUUGACUGCAAGAUGAUGCACAACGAUGACAGGGUCAAGGCCGGGCAUUUCCUUGUAGGUCCAAGCAAAGACGUCUUUGUACUCUAGUAGCAAUUGGUAAUACUCUUCUGUCUCAUCCGCACUUAGCAGCGCACUUACAAAGAUAGGCUUCAACUCUUUUUUUGUGCCUAAGUUAAGCUCUUUGAGAUCAUCAAUCGUGGCUUGCCCCCCAUCCUCAAGUUGUGGUGGUGCGGCAGUGAAGUCUUCCUCGGGGAUUUCUUCUUCUUUGCCUUCUUGGAUCGUGAUGUGGAAGACGUCUUGGACUUCCUCUUCAGUUCCGUCCUUUCGGGCUUGUUGACGUGAAGAUUGGCCGGUGUGAAUGAUGGUGCGCCUUCUCACUUUCAGUGAUCCAAUUGUGUCAACCUACAAGAUUGCUUGGCGUUUCAUCCUUGAAGGAAUAGAGCUUCGAACAUCAUCUUUUCUUGCCAAACUGUCGAGCUUUUCUUCCUUUGGCGUCAUUUCCCUCUUUCUAGAAGGCUUCUUGUUGUCUUCAAGUCUUUCCAAAGCUAACCAUCGCGGAGGAGAGCUAGCCAUGUUGCUGCGUUGCUUGGGUUUUAAUAACCUUUCAAAAACAGAGCUUUGGGAUGUUGGUGUGUUAAGCCUCUUGAAAACGGAGGUUUGGUCUUGACCACCAAUGCAAUCAAGUGCCGAAAUUCUAGGCCUUGAACGAUUCAUCCUAUCGAAGACUGACAUCAGAGGAGCGGACUUAGGCUCCUCUUGAUUUUGUUCAACGCUCAUGCUGAUGUGUUAAGUGCUAGCAUUUUUCGCUUUGCUUGAAAUCUUCACGGGUGCAUUUAGUGUGAAGUCAAGCCCAGCUUUGUUGUUGUCAACUUCGUAACCAUGCUCCUUCAACUUCUUUUGAGUCUUGGUGAGGUUAUAUUCUUUGUCGUUGAAGGUGUUUGAAACCCUCUUUCCAGGAUUCGAAAAGGAAGCGAAGUCGUACUGAGUUUUCGACAUGAGCUUGUAGGCGUUUGGAUCAAAACCUUCUUCGGUCCUCUUGGUUGGAAGAAAGCUUGGUUCCACCCCAUUUGGCAGAGCUUUUAUGAAGCCUUGUGGUAGUCUUGCAACCUUAGCAUCGCGUAGCUGUGUCAGAGGCAAAACUGCAUCCGUCUUGAGCAACUUUAAAUUAUCCUUGUGUCGUUGUGCAUCGAAUUUGCUUGCUCCAGUUUCGAACGGGGAUUGACCAUUCUUUCUUCUCGACAUCGAGAUGUAUCGGAAAACAUAACUUCUCCUUCUUACUUCUUGGGCAUGGCUUGCCACUCCUGCUUUUUAGGUGUUGCUUUGCCAGUGGAUUUUAUCUCUUUUGAAAGAGCUUCAGGCACCAUGUCUUCAUCCAUGUAUAACUUGGCAUCUCCAAAAUAUGAUUCGGCUUCGGUGAAUGGCUUGGUGUCGUCUUGGAUCACCUUCACUCCUUCUCGGUAAAAUUUUAAGCAUUGGUGAAGGGUGGACAAUACUACUCCCUUCACGUGGAUCCAAGGCCUUUCUAAGAGCAAGCUAUAAGAAGUUCUUGCAUCAAUAACGUGGAAUAUCGUGCUUGACUUAAGUUCGCCAAUGGUCAUCUCCACUCGGAUCGUGCCCAUUGCUCUUUGACCUCCUUGAUUAAAACCUUGGAUUAGUAGACGGCUUAGGGAUAGUUCGUCCACCUUGAUGCCGAUUGUGGUCAUUGUUGACUUUGGCAUGAUGUUUAUGGUUGAUCCACCAUCCACAAGCAUGCGGUUGACUUUGUGCUCUCUUAUGUACCCCGAGACGAAGAAAUGACGGUUGUGAGGCUUUGAUCCCAGCAGUAAGUCUUCAUCUGUGAAGUUGAUUGCGUCUUAGGUGGCACAACAUGUGGCACAUUCAUGCGGCCGAAGCUUCAAGCCUUCGUUUAUCUUUUUUUCCUCGAUAGCGAUGGCUUUGCCUUUUAAAGGUUAUUCCAUUUCUACUUCGACCAUGUGACAUGCAGCGGCAGUGCACUGUUGGAAGAAGUCCUCCGGGAAGUACUUGUGCAAAGAGACGGGAAUACAUGGCUCUUGCUCCAUAGGUUCCCCAGCAUACGUUGGCUUAGCAGCUUUUCCGUUUCUUUUGGGCUUCCUACUAUUGCAACAACGGUGCUUUCUCCCUUGUUCCACCUUUGGCCUUGUGGCUUGUGGUUUUGGUUUCCUUGUCUUUUUGUAGGUCACCAAUGUCCAUUCUUUUUCGUCAUCAGUAUGUGCAUCUUGGUCGCUUUCCCCCAGUGAUGGUUGUGCAGAAGAUGUCAUGCAGCUUGAGCAUUUACGGGAAUGGUCAGGUGUCACUUGGAGAGGCACGGGAUCAAAGGAUCCAAACGUAAUUGUAGUAGUAUGUGUUGCGGCCGUGUCUUUAAGAUCGAGCUCGAUUUGCCCUUGUUGUGCUAACUUCAUGAUGAGUUCUUUGAGGAUGAAGCAUUUACCAAAAAAAUGGCUCACGAUACGAUAGUACUUGCAGUACUUAGGAUCGUUUACGGAAUUCAUCUCUUCAGGGCGCUUGCAUUCCGGUAACUUGAUCACCUUCUUUUCCAGUAAGUCAUCUAACAUUGCAUCCAUGUUUGAGUCAGGAAAAGGGUACGUCUUUUGCUCUAACUCCCUCAAGGUGUUUUUGUACUUGUAUUAGGUGCGAAGAGGCUCACCUCUCUUUAUCUCUUUUGCUUUGGUCUUGGAGGAGAUCUUGAUGGGCGCAGGGGAGGUCUUGAUAGGUGCGGUGUUGACAGUAAAAGCUUCCUUGGAGGGUUAUUUUCCAGUCCUAUCUACAUUUGGGAAUAACACUUUAUCCUUCUCGAAGUCGGUGAUCAGCUCAUUCUUCCCAUGAUUGGCGAUACUUAGCUCCAUGUCGUGAGAUCGAGUUGCCAGUUCCUCAAAUGUUCUCGGUUUUAUACCUUGGAGGAUGUAAUGUAACCCCCAGUGCAUGCCUUGAACACACAUCUCAAUGGCAGAUGUUUCAGAAAGCUGAUCUUUGCAAUCCAGACUUAAUGAACACCAUCUAUUGAUGUAGUCGAUGACAUGUUCAUCCUUCCACUGUUUCGUACUGGUCAACUCCAGCAUGCUUACGGUGCGACGAGUGCUGUAUAAGCAGUUAAGGAAUUCCCUUUCUAGCUAAUCCCAACUGUUGAUAGACUCAGGCUCGAGGUCGGUGUACCAGUCAAAGGCGUUGCCUUUCAGCGAGCGCACGAACUGCUUGACGAGGUAGUCUCCCUCCGUUCCAGCAUUGUUGCAAGUUUCAAUGAAAUGGGCAACAUGUUGCUUUGGGUUUCCCUUUCCAUCGAACUGCAUGAACUUUAAUGGCUGAUAACCCAUCGGCAUCUUCAAAGCGUCAAUUUUCUUGAAGUAGGGCUUUGAGUAUAGUACAGAGUCAUGUGAGCUUCCUUUGUACUGCGCAUUGAUGAUGCUGGUAAUCAUCUCUUGCAACUGCUGGAUAGAAAGAGAUCUCAUGAAUGCCGCUGCUUGGUCUGGCUCCGGCUUCACAUCGACUUUCUCCACCAGAGGCUCAUCUUCUUCGCCGGCUCCUCCCUUCUUUGGGGCAGGUUUCUCGUCAUCCUAUGCCUCCAGGCGAUUGACAAGUGCAGUGAUUUGCAAGUCUUUUUCUUCCACGGUCCGUGUUAGUCUUGCGAUCGCUUCAUUCAUUUGAGCCAACUGUUCAUCGAUUGAAGUAGCUCCAGUGGUCAUGACUUGGAUGGCUAAACUGCCGCUUGAGUCAGCAUUGGAAAACAUGGAAUCAGAGUACUUCCUUGGGCUUUCAUCCCUUAGCGCCCUUAGUGAGGCCAGGGUGAUCACAGGUUCGUGCCUCGGGUGCUCUUGUUCCUUUGGCAGAGUUGAUGCAGAGGUGGAAGAAGCGGUAGAAAAAGCUCUUGCCUUGCUUCGAGUUAUGAUGCCCGAAAUGACACCACUUGCGGCGAUGACGCUCUUGUUUUUCGUGUUGGUUGCGGGAACCAUUUGAAACUUCCUUGAUGCCAUUUGAUUUUCGAAUGUGUGCUUUGAUUUCCUUGAACGGAGAAAGAGAUGAGAGGUAGAGAUUGUCCCAAUGGGCGUGCCAAAUUUGUAAACACGGAAAUUCCUGAAACAAAUGAGACCAUGGAAGAACAGUUGGAUGUGUGGAUUUGUUGAUGUUGUUGAUCCAAAAUGCCGUUAGGACUUGAUCUUAUGCAAACACGAAAAUUCCUGAAACAAAUGAGACAAGAACAUGUGUACAAAAUAAUAUUUUUUAUUAAUGAUUUUGGGGUUACAAUCUCUCUCAAAUUUGAUCCUCUGAUUCGAUCUCCGUGAGGUGUUGAUUUGUGGAUGUGCAAUUAAUCCAAGGUUCGUCGAGGCUUGAUCUUGGAUGAACGGUUGGAAAUUUCUUCAAAGGGCUUUGGGCUUGAUCUUAAAGGUUGAUGGAUGAACAGAUCUUCAAGGCUUUUGGGCUUGAUCUUGAAGAACUGUUGAUGAACGGAUCUUCAAGGGUUUUUUGGCUUGAUCUUGAAUGAACGGUUGAUGAAUGGAUCUUCAAGGGCUUUUGGGCUUGAUCUUGAAGAACGGUUGGAUGUGUGGAUUUGUUGAUGUUGUUGAUCCAAAGUGAUCUUAGGAUGAACGGAUGAUGAACAAUGAACACUUUCCUCAAGGGCCGUCGGGGCUUGAUCUUGAAUUGGUGAAAGUUCUUCAAGGAUCGUCAGGGCUUGAUCUUGAAGGAGGAUUUGACGAAGAACGAAGAGAACUUUCUUGAUCUUUCGGGAUUUACUUGAGAGCUUUAGAGUUUCAAAGCUUCAAAGGUUUUGGUGUGAUGUGAAUUCAUUAUGAAUUAGUGUCCUAAAACGAAUAAAAUGACCUUGUAUUUAUAGAAUUUUUCAAGGCCUAAUUUGAAUAUAAUAUUCAGAUGAAGUAAAUCGUUUCUGCCAAGUGUUGACACAUGUCCUUAUUUGAUGACUUUUCUUAUUUAUUUUGAUUUUCCGUUUAGUCACACGCUACAUGUAAAAUUUAUGUGACCCAUGAACGUUGAAAUUGUAAUUGUUGGUCAACAUUUAUUUUACUGAAAUUUCGAUGUCUACAUAUACCAUAUAAGUAAAUUAGUGAAUCAACAAAUUCUAAAUGGGUACAUUAAUGAUAUAUAAAUGUACAACAUUUUGAAACUCAUUGAAGGUGCAAAACAAGGAGUAAAUCAUCGAUAUUGACAUGAUUGGAGAAUCCUUGCAAUUUUGUAAAAUGAUUGCAGUAAUGGGUCAACUAUUUCUCUCACUUGCAACUCAUUAAAUUUAUGGUUUUAUUUAGAGGUUAAGAAGUGUGCGGGUAUACUGAACUCCCGAAAAAUAAAAUUAACAAACUGGUGAGUUUAUGUUUAUGAAAUAAGAGUUACAAGUCUAUAAACAACCUUUAAACCAGAAGUUCCCCCGCCAUGGUUGUCGUACUGAACCGCGUGCAUGGUCUCAUUGGCCAUAGUCUCUCAGUUUUAAGUCCAACCAACGUUCCGAAGAGCCGCAGAAACUUGAAGCUGAGGAUUCUAUCAAAUACAGAGCUUAUGAUAGUACAGCACUAGACUCAUUAGCCCAUGUCUAUAGUGGAACAAAUAAUACGCGUGAUUCAUAAUGAUGUGGACUGAUUGACCCUUGUCUGUCUAUUGUGGAACAAACUGAUACGCGUGAUUCAUAAUGAUGUAGACACUACACUGAGUAUAUGGUCCCCAUGUUAAAUGUAGAGUACGUAAUGUGGUCCAUAUGUUAAAUAGACGAUACAAUAAGUCCCCAUGUUAAAUGUACAGUACGUAUGUGGUCUAUAUGUUAAUUAUACAAUAAGUGUAUGCAGUGGUGAAGCUAGAAUUUGCCGAGAAGAGAGGUGAAAUUCAAAAGAGUGCAAGAUUCAAUCGAAGUGGUUGUUUUUAUAUUUGAGAGUGCAAAGUUUUGAGUCAAUAUUCAUAGCAGAAAAUAGUCUCCACCAAAACGAUUGUAAGCGGUAAUAUCAAAGCCAAUAUAAUAAACUUAUAUUAGCUAGGUUUAUAUUCUUAAAAAAGACGCUAGUCAAGUAGUAGACUGGAACCUAGUAGCUAGGCGUCUAAGAGAGAUCUAGGCAGGAGCCUAGUGGGAUUUAAAUGAAUUUCUUUUAUCGUAAAAUAAGCAUUAAACAAUAUUUACAUUACUUUUUAAAAAGUAAUACAACAUUUAUAUAUAAUGUGAGAGUUUAAGAUAAAUCCAGUAGGGGUCUUAAAAGAAAUGAAAAAAUAAAAUAAACAAUACUUGAGUACCCACAAUUUAGUACCAACUAGCAAGACUGCCCGCGCGAUGCUGCGGUGCUACGCCUUGCUCCUGUACAACCUUAUCUACAAAAGGAACAAUGAGCAGCAUUGAAUUUAAUUCCAUCAUCAAUGCCUUGAACUUGUAGGAUCAAAAUUAAUAUAUAUAUUAACAUAGACCCUAAAAUUUCUAUCAUGGAGAAAAAUAUUAACAUUGGGAAAAGGCAAAGAGAGGAAUUCUCAAAAGAAAACUGAGAGUAUGGAUCAUAUUGAAUGGAAAUCACAAACAGCAACCAAAUCAAAAAUGAAGAAUAACAAUUGAAAAGGAAAAUAAUAAUCGAACCAUAACUGAAAAAGCUAUCUGGUUUUGAAUAUUACAAUUAUGAAGCAACUCUUAUAGGAUGAGUGAGUAGAAUUUACAACGUAGUUAGGAGUUGCAAUGCAGUUAGGAGUGUUCCAUCUCGCUAUCAAUUUGCUAAACCAAGAUCAUCUAUACCAAAUGACAACUUUUUACAAUGCAAUGAUGAGAACCACGAAGACCAAUGUUUGGAAUUCACUGAAAAUAUUCCGUUGAAAAGAUUGUAACUUGUGAAGUGCAUAACGAAAAGGAAAAGACAGAGGCUGGUCUCAACAUGUAGAGAGUUGAAAGGAAUUGUGAACUUAAUGAAUUACAAAAUGUAAAAAAAUUGCAUUGCUGAAAAAGAAAUUAAUCCGCAGGAGAAAUUGAGUUAAAAUUUUGGUUGCAUAUUGAAGAGUCAGUUUUGGAACAGAUGAGAAGGAGUGGGAUGUAAUCAAUGGAAACCUCAGUCACUAAGUGUAAGAAAAAUGAAGACAAAGAAUUGCAAAGGAAAAGAACUUCGAAUCCACAUGGAAACGGAAAUUAAUAAGUGGAAAAGCAAUUAAAAGUCGAGGUUAAUCAAUUCCGUACCUUGACAGCAGCGAUCACACGUACUUCUUUCGUAUCAAUCUCAACUUCACUGUAGGAAACCAAAACAGAUUCGGUCUGUAAACAUUUUGGAGGAAAGAUUGGAUAUAGAGAGAUGAAAAUACUGUUCACAAUGAAUAAAAAUUAGUGUAAAUUUGUUUGCAUAUAGUAACUCAAUGAAAGCGAUGGAGGACAUAUUGGGGAUUUGAUAAUGACAUGUUGAGAAAGUUAAUAGCAUUGAUGAAUACAAAAUUUAAACCGUUACUGGUUGAGGCUGAAACAUAAAGGACUAAAGCAAAUUUUGAUCCUAAAUUUGAAUUUUAAAGUUGAAAAAAAAUGAUGGAGAUAUGUUGGAUAUGAUUAUAGACCAGAACGAAGCUACUUUUAUGGUUAUUUACUGUCCAAUAUGAUACUUAUGGUAUAGUUAAAGGUUCUAUAUGUUUCAGUAGUAAUUAACUCUGAUCCUUAUGCAUUCACUUGAGAAAAAUUAGCAUUUAAUGUCUCCAAAGGGAUCCCAAGUACUUAAGACAAAGUUGUUAAAAAAAGUUAAUGAGAAUGCAGAUUGGAAGCCAAAAGUAAAAAUCAAAUGAUUACAGAAUGGAAAUAAAAAUGUUGGAGUUAACAGUAAACAAUUUAAAGAUUAAACCGGUUGAGUAUACAUUGGGUAAUCAAACAUAUGGAAUAAAAGAUUAGAAAGUGAGGAUUAUGGGUUGGAUAAAAGUCAAAUAGAAAUGGAUGAAAAGCCAAAAAAUAGGAAGAAGAAGGCAGGGAGUAAGAAAACUAACAGAAUAUGGAUAUUGCACAAUGGUUAAUAUAUUAAAAACUAAAUGUUUCAAUAGAUUAUAUACCUUGAACAAAAGACGAAAUUGAAGCAUUGGCAGUUCCUAAAAGCGAAGAAGAAUGAGAUGAGACAGUGACAUCUAGCAUCUGAUUGUGGAGACAAAAUCUGCAGUCAUAAAAAGAAAAUUUAAACAUAAACUUUACCUAUAUAUCAAACACUCAAAUAAGAAAAAGAAUAAAUAAAGAAAUGGGCCAUAUGGAGAAAAAAGGUUUACCAGAACUUGGUUGUAUGCCAAUUGAAAAACAUUGUAGGUCUCAACUCAAAGUAUACUGACCACCAUGUCCAGAAGAUGUAAAAAUAACAUCACAAAAUGUAAACACCAUUGAAAACACACAGGUUGCAAUAGGCUUACAAAUGAAAUCUUUAAUUUGUACGAUAUAGAUAAAAAAAGGUUACCAGUUGGUUGUUUACAUACACAAAAAAUAUUCCAGGCAUAUGCUGGAUCUUAGUACCUGGAACUGCUUUUCAACCACAGCCAGCAUUGGGAUACAAAACACUGGCAAAUGCUGGUUUAUGUACAGGCAAAAAAUGUUUUGAAGUUCAGAUCAGAAACAUAUUUACAUGACAGGGAAAUAGCAUAAAUAUUGUUUUAUACAUGUUAACAAAAAACCAUCAUGAUUUUUUAUCAAUGGAGGUCAACUUAUGUUGCUGCAUUGUUCCCUUUCAAGAAACCAACCUAGGGAAAAAAAAAAGAAAUUAAGAGAGUUAGACGGCUGUUAAAUCCAAGUUGUAAAAAAAAUUUAGCAAAAAAAAAAAAAGCAAAGGUAAAAUAUAACAACCUAGCUUUUUUUUGGAGGGGUAGCAUCUAAUUUUCCAGCAGUUGAGGAUGGGUUCUUUUUUAGCAAUUUGAUCAGGACUUCAUCCAACUCUCUUGGAUCCGUGUCUGAAAUUUCCUCUACUCCACUGUUUUAAAUGAGGUAUCAAUGUUAAACAACAUGACUACACACAAAUUUGAAAUUUAUAGUUACAAAGGUAUGGGACAAACCUUUGUUCACCGCCAGUGAAAAGAGCUUGCCUGAUUGAUUCCCUUUUUCGUUUAAACGACUGCUCAUUGGGUUAAACUGUUGAGGUCGAAGAUGAAGCAAUGGUGGAAGACACUAUGAUUUCUCUUGACAAAGGUUGUGGAGUUGCUGGCUGCAUAACUGUGUCUUCAGUCACGUUAUGAAUGAGGAUAUCAUUUGAAUAAAAAGUAUUCCUCCUGUUGCCAAAUCGCAAGUGAAAAAUUUUCUUCUAUCCAAUAAGCCUGAGAAAUUCGUUUGGCAACUGUUGUUGCUCUACCAGUCUUUGAUUUAAUACCAGGUCUUUGCAAGGCAUGCCAAAAAGCUUUUCACCACAUUUACCGAUUAUCAAAGCAUUCAUUUCAUUUGUUUCAUCUUCAAGAAUGAGAUUGACUUUGUACCUACAUUUAGAAACUCAAACCAAUGAGAUUUUUGAGAAUCAGAGGUUUUCACAAACAUAAGAGGUAAAAAAGCUGAAACAAAAUAGAUUGCAAAUGUGGAGUAAUAUUAUAUAAUCAUAUGGUGAUCAUGUGUGACCAAAUAUGAGAAAACAUAAAAAAGAAAAGGAAACAAAGAUAAAUUAUUUGUCAGAAUAGAAAAAAAAUAAUAACAUUUAGGUUUAUACAACUGAAGUUGAACAAAAACAUAAAGUAAAGAGUGAACAAUGGUAACAAAUUUUUUUUUAAGGAACACCAUGUUUGGCAACCAUUGUGUAUAUCUAUUAUAAAAAUGCUUUCAUAAUCUGGAAUUUAAAAAAAAAAUAAGUGUGAUGACAUAAAUAAUUAUACCAAAAUUGUAAAUUUUGCACACAAUGUGAAUAACCCUAUCUAUAUUUAUUUUUCUCAAUUGGUUAAUGAGAACAAACAACAGGGUAUCAAGAAAGAGUAAACUUUUUGUUAGCCUUGCUUCAAAUAUUUGAUUUAACAUUACCACAGCGUUGGUAUUUGGUUUGGAUGUUUUUGACAAAUGAGCUGCCCAAUGGUUGGAUCCUUGUGCACCUGUUUCAAGCAGUUCGGGCAAGCACUGUACCACUAGUUGAACCGCAUGUCAAAACGCUUGACAGAUGCUCUACACACAAAUGUAUCAUCCUGUGAUAUAUUUUGUCACAUAGCCGUAACAGCAAGAACAACAGAACUCAGUUUCAUUAAAAAGGUUAAAAUGCAAUGGUAAGAUUUUAAGAAUACACAAAAAAUAAACGUUAUGUUUUAUACCUUAUGCAAAUCUGGAUCCAAAAAAGCCAAUUCAUCAAUUGUAGCUUUUUUAGCAGUCUGCAAAAUUUGAGCUUCGUUUCGUUGGAUUGCAGAGGGAGAAAGUAUGUCCAGAGCUUCUUUACAAUCACAAAACCUGCAGGAUUCAAAACACUUUAUCAGUUUAACAAUUAUAAAAAAAAAAAUGAUAACAAUUGUUUUCCAAUUAAAAAAAGUGUUAUUUUGUUUUAAAAACGAAAAAUUUACUCACACUGACUUAUACGUAUUCACUUCGGGGAUGUCUAGGUCAAUAAAAAACACAGACGAACCAGUACUACUCAAAUAAAUUUUUUUUGUGCGUUGCAACCACACCACAGAGAAAAAGAUUAAUGAACAAUAUUAAUGACAUUAACAAAGUUAAAAAAACAAAAGGGAAUACAAAAGAGACGAAACAAACAGAAAUAAAGUAAGAAAACGACUAAUAACAGUGACCAACCAGUGAUAGAUUGAGACAUUUGUAAAUUAACUGGCCAAGAAGGAAAGAAACAUAUAAUCAGAAAUUGGACGAAAGAAAGAUAACAAAAGUUUAGGACAACAAAACAUCCAAAUAAUGUAAAGAAACAACAUGUGUACACAUCACAAUAAACAGACUAAAAGUAAGUAUUUAACAAAAUGGAAUACCGAGGUAGAUCUUGACUUUCAGACUUGUGAAAACAACAAUGACUGACAAAGAAAAUUCCUCUGCUGACAAAGAAGAAAAAGCUUCAGCAACGUCUGCCCACAACAUAACCAUUAGUUCCUCUUUUCUGUCGAUAAAGAAACGACAAAUAAAUUUUUGACCUUUUUAUACCACCAAAGCAACAAAUAUUGAAAACAGUAUGUAAGAAUAGGGAUAAGAAGUGAAAAAUAACCUAAUAUUUUGGAUAACCACAUCACACUUGUACAUAACCCUUUGAUUAAUUUGUUUAGGUUCCAGCCGCUGCACAACGCUUAUAUGACCAAUGACAUCUUACCAUUUGAAAAAACAAACAGAUGCACAUUAUUAAAAUCCAUUUUAGGAAGUAAACACACACUUUAAGACACGCACAUGCACAUAGACAUUAAUAGUACCUGUGAGGAUGUCAACUCUGUUUAAGCGAGGGUAGAGUGUGUUAUAGUCUUGUAGGAAAAAUCGAUGGCGAGGGAUGGGCGGAAACACACUUGCUAAUUUUCGGAAAGCUGUUUUCGAGGUGAACAAAACCUGAGUUUCAUGCAGCACCACCUUGUAUUGUGCCCUAAUUCUAAUAGUUUGAAAUUCGGUGAUUUCAUAGCAUGCACCAUCUUCAAUUUUUUAAGCCAUGACAUCAUAAUCAACAUCCAAUGUAGAGGCCUCAACCGCAUGUUGCUUCACAUCGUAUUAAAAAAGAGGAAAAAAAGCCAAAAAAUCAAUUAACAAAUAAAUGAAAACACAAAUCAUACACUCGACAACACAAACAACAUGACAUGAAUCAAAUUGUUACCAUGAGCAAAUAGAACGAAUGAACGCAGUUAAAUUAUUUCAAACAAAAUGUAAAAAAAAAAAAUCCAUCAACACAUAAAAGUUUACAACAGAACAUACCGCAUGGCAAAUAUAAGGAAAGAAAGCCAAAAAUUGAGGGAACAAACAGAGGGAAAACACAGGUGAUGCACACAUUUCGCUGAUGACAACAUAUCGAACUCUAACCUUCUAACAUGUAAAAAAGCAUGGCAACAUAAACAUUAUCCAGUGAGUUAAUAUAAACAUUAUCCAGUGAGUUAAUACUCAUUGACUCCAACUUUGGGUAAAAUAAUUAGACAAUUAUUUCUCACCGCUUCAUCAACCAAUAUGCAGUGCAGGUUUGUAGACUUUUGAACGGUUCCUGGAAUCGUCAAUUUCCAAAUCCUGCAUAUGCGAAUUUUGAUUUUGUCCGCCUUUAUGUAUGGUAUUAACUGAUUAACAGGAGUUGGGCGCACAGUUUCCAUUUAUCCUAUCAAAAGGGAAUUUCAAUGACACAUCAGAAACUCCCACAAAACUACAAAAAGAAAAAAAGACAAAAACUAUAAACGAUCCACAAUUCAUUCACCCAUGGUCUGAAAGGAAGACAUGGAGAGUUUAACAACCAUUUGUACUUUCGCUAUCUUUUCCACCCUGUCUUGCAUGCCUAUACAACAAUUGCACAAAUUUUAUAUUGUCCAAUAAAACUAAGGACGCAAAACAGAGACCCAGACUGCAAAUCCCGUGAAUGACACCUCCAAAGAACAAAUAAUAUUGACGAAAAGAACGGGAUACCCAAGUUUUAACACCAAGAAACAAACACCUCAGCCACCACCACUAAUAGCAACAACUACAACAAAGAAAUCACAAAGUUAAUGACCACACGAAAAAGAAAUGACAACAACAAAAUAGCCGACACUAAGACCGCACAAAAACUCAAGUACAGAAACACCAAGCCUAACACAUUCAUGAACCACCACGAAUCCAGUCACAUAACACAAAACAAACCUCCAUCUAAAAAAAGAUACAAAUUUAUGUCAUCCUCUGCAAAUCAAGGCUGAACCCAAAGGCUUCAAAGAAACAAAUCCCACGAUGAAAGAUUUAGUGUCACACUAAAACAACCACAUCCCCAAACCAACUACCUCAUAAUAUAAUUUUUUGCUUUCGUUCUCCACCAACGAAAUGAAAAAUCAUUCUAUCCUCUUUCAUUUCACCAUGAAUCACAUGUACAAAUCCAACCUCUUUCAUUUGACCACAAAUCUAUAUAAUGGCAAUCCUCAGCUUUCGUGUUUUGGAUUGAAGAAAAAAUGGUAAACAUGGAAAAAGUUACAGCACUAAUGUUGCACACAUCUCCUGAACAUCUAAGAAAUGGCAAUCGGCUAUUUUCGCUAAUCGUAGAAUAAGUAUACCAUUUUUUAUACACCUUACUGAAGGAUAAACUGAAUUCUGACUGAGUCAAUGAGUAAGAUUAUACGAAUAAAGAGUUACAUUCUAUAAUGUACUAAAUAUUCCUACUAUACCUUCAUCCUGCGAGAUUAAGAAUACUUGAGAACGAUGAGUUGAAAUCAAUACGCCAAUUAUUGCUUUACACCAAGACUAAAGUGUGAAUGCAAUUUUGUACUUCGCAAAAUGAACUCUAUCCACUGCAAAUCCAUAACUAAGACUAAAUUGUCAGUGCAAUUAAUAGUGUGACUAAUCAUCAAUCAAUGGCAUCACCCUCAUACGAAGAAAGGGAGACUCUAAAAAACAACACACCCAUAACAAUUUGCUUAAAUAACUAACGGAUCAAAACAAUGAGAUGGCCAAAAGGAAAACCCACCAAACAGCAAAACGCAAACUCUCUACCUCCACCACUCAUGCCUAACCACACUUCUUAUACCCCCUCUCUCUUUUCCCAACCUCUGCUUCAGCAAAUCACAUAACCAGACAUCUUUCUACACAGGCGUCGACUGCUGCAGCAUUCUAAAACCCUAAAAUCUAUUUGAACGCAUGAUUCAAAAGGACAACAUCACCAAAAUUAAACGAUAAACCCAAAAAACGAACGAAGCCCAUACAUAUUUAAACGCAACAGAAGAAAACUCAUUUUCCAAACUAACAUAAAAAUAUGAAAACGAACAUAAAAAUCUAAAAAAAAAUCACGCACCGCAGGGUUCUCCGACGUAGCAAAGAGGCACAGAGCAGAGGAGAGGACGAUCGAGAAGAAGCAAACACAAACGCGCGCGAAACCAAAGCAAACAGGCAAGAAGAAAGCAAAAGAGAAGGCGGGAGCGAAAGACAGCGACGCAACAAAAAAAAUAAGAAACGGGAAACAAAAACGAAACAAAAUAGAGCAAAAAGAGCAUAACAGGAUGAUCAACACGUGGCAGAUCCAAUCCCCACCUUCUCCCUGCAUCAAUCCCUCGAAAACAAUGAGAACCCAUUAUAAACCCAAAGGGCAAUUCGGGCAGUCAAAAAACACCCACCAACCAUGGACGAUGAUCAACACGUAGCAGAUGCAAUUCCCACUUUCUCCCUGCACCAACCCUCGAAGAGAACCCAUUAAAACCCCGAAGGGCAAUUCGGCCAGUCGAAAAACACCCACCAAUCAUGGGCAAAGCCGACAUUUCAAUGGAGAAAAGAGGGAGAACAACGUCAAAACACAAACCAAGCAAGGGGCAUUUCCGUCCCGGCACUAUUAAUGAACAGUGCCAUCCGAAACCCAGUUUUAGUAUAUAUACUUUUACUCACUAGAGUUUGUGGCCCAAUAAAAUUACGACAGCUGUCAUUCUCAACUCUCUAACCAAAUAACAACAAAUCUAUUAUUCUAGCAGCCAAACACUUUAGGGGUGAGUUUACAAAUCCAUAAUCAGAUUGAAGGAAAUUGAAUUGAGGAGAAAUCAAAUUAAGGAGGAAUUGGAUUGAGAAUGAAACAAAAUUAGAUUCUGGUCAAAGUUGUUUACUAAACUAAUUGUAAUCGGAAUACAAAUGAUAUUAGUUCCAUAUAUAUUGUUUACUAGUUCACUAAAAUCGGAAUUAAAACUAACUUGAUUACUAAAUUGUCCUUGUUUAAAUAAAUUAUGUUUAUGCUAUAAUUAUUGAAAAUUAAGUUUAUCUAAUUAAAUAUAGGCUUAUUAUGUUAACACCCCACAUUUUGUUGAAUAAACUUCACAUACUUAAUGCUCCUCACAUUUGUUUUUUUAAUUAAAACUUAUCUUAAUAAACCCCACAUACUUCCCAUAACACCCUCACACCCCACAUUCUCAACAUACACCUUACAUUUUCUACAUACACCUCCACAUUCUUCAAAUCUUAUAAUUAUCAUUCUUGCUUCUAUGGUUUUCAUUAUUCUCCAUGGAAAUCUUGAUCUUUCGUUUCCUUCUUUUGGUGUUUGUCCAACAGACAGUUCUGCUACUUCGACUUUCUCUUUGCUUCCAUUUAACAUGUUGAACUACCUCCUUUCGAUGACUCUUGUUAACGUAGGGGACUGUGCUGGCAUCUUGGUUGGGAGUGAUGGUAUUCACUCGCAAAGUGGAAAAAAAUGAAAUAAAACAGGCUUCGGGGGUUUGGACGCCUCAACGAAGGUUAAUGGCUUUACCUGUUCAAAUACUGGCUAAUCAGCAUUGAGAGUAUUACAGUAUGAGGACAGAAAAAAAACAUGGAUUGAGAUAAUUAGGAAAUAUAUAACAACAUGUGAUUCAAAAUAAAAAUAUGUCCCAGCGUUGUAAAUGGAUCGAGAAGCAUGAUUAGUUGGGACAAGGUCCUAUUAUCAUUUAGGUUUAUAUUAGACUUGCCAUGGGGAAAAUGAAUCAAUGUUACCCUUCAUUUCCAAAACUGUGAUGCUUUUGACAGCAUAUGCAAGCAUACCAAAACAUGUUUAUCAAUCACUGGUUACCUUUUAUUUUAAACUAAUACUAGAAGAAUCCUUGAUAGAUUAGAGACUAAUGUAUAUACUUGUAUUGAGAACAAAAUAAUAGUAAAUUGAAAAAUAAAAUUAAAAGAAUACAUAAAUUACAAGUAUUCAACAAGUUUAGAGUUUAAAAACACAUUAAUAUAAACAUAUAUUAUUUUGGGCCCAAAAAACAUGGCAUAUUAUAAUCAUAAAAGGCCUAGCCCCACCAAAAUAUUUACUUUUGCAUUCAUUUCACCUCUUACCUUCGUCAGUCGUUUAUGCAAAAUCCGAAGAACCAUAAAUGGUCAAAUGCAUCAAGAACCCAAAGAAAGCCAAAAGAAAGGCCAAGGUUGGCUCCAAAUUCCACUACCUUCUUCGUUGUUUGUUUAAUUAUUUUAAUAAAGUUAGGGUUGUGUCUUAAAUUUUUGUUUAAGGCUCAAAGAAAAUAGGUGGAUCUCCUUCCUCUUCGAGACCAUCGAUGCUGAUGAAGGUAUGGCAACCGCCUAGUGGGCCGCCUAGCACCGCCUAGACCGCCUAGCGGCUGCCUAGGCGCCCGCCUAAGCCAUCACCGAAUUUCUCUAACAUUUCGCUCCAAAUCGCCUCGAAAGCCCAACGCCUAGUGCGUAGGCAGCCGCUUAGGCCGCGUUUUUGAACACUGGUUAGAAUGCAACUUAAUUAAAAUAGAUCAAAGUAUGGCUUUGGUAGGUGAGAAGCCACCAACAUCCAUAUUUAAUAUAGGGACCAUACUUAUUGUAGGGCCUACAUCAUAUAACCACCACAGGGUGGCUCAGUGGUUGGGUACGAAUUCCAGGCUCGUAUUCUGCACGGUACGUCUUGAGUUCGAUUUCUAGCGCUGGUGAAUCAUACGAUGGUGGUAAAAGGGAGACUAAAAUUCCUCUAUGAGUUUUCCUGGCUCCCAAAAAGGUGGACUACCAUGACGAAGCCAACUAGUCCCUUUGUCGAUCUUGUAUUUCCACAAACUAAUUCAUGUUAUUUGUAUUUUUUUUAUCUUGUAUUUCCACAAACUAAUACACUACUACGAAACCAUUUACUAGUGUCGCUAUGAUAACCGACAAGAAACGUAUAUUACUGUCAUAUAUUAAGCAAAAUCCGACAAAAAAUGGAUGCAGUGGCGGUUAUAAUAAGUGACAAAAUUGCUAGGGUUAGGAAAUGAAUUUUCUAACAGAAAAUACUCUAAAACAGACAGAAAUUGUGUCGAAUAUAACCGACAGAGAAUACAUUAAUACUGAAUAAAUAAGAGCAUUCUCUGUCGGAUAAAACCGAUAGAAAAUAUAUUAAUAAAAAGAAAUAUAAACCACUUUCUGAAUCAUUUCUUUCCCUUUCAAGUUGGCCUUCCCUGCAUUCACUGCAUUUUCCAGCUUUGAGAUGUGCAACGUUCCUCUAAGGUACACCAUAUUCUUCAAUUCUUCAAGUUUGUUUCCUAUUUCGCAGCUAACCUAAAUAUAUAUAUAGACAGAAGUUUGACCCCCAACAACAAGAAAAGGAUUAGAAAGACAGAUAAAUAUAUUUGAAAAAGAAAAGAAAAGACAAACCGAAAAUUUGGGCAAGUUAUGCAACCGCCUACACUACUCCCGGGGGUUACAGUUCAGGCGGUUCUCAUGUUCUCCGACACUCUCCUUUCUUCACCACCUUUAUCAUCAUCAACCUUGUCUCGUUGAUCAGCUCAUUGUCUUUUCUCGUCACAUUUCUCUCGAUCUUGACAUCUCAGUUUGAGUACAAAAACUUCCAUCAAUCUCUUCCGCUCAGGCUACAUUUAGGAUUUGCCUUUCUUUUCUUCUCGCUAGGGACGACCAUGCUCUCGUUCACUGCUACAGUUGUGCUCUUGAUUCAUCUCGAUGAGGAAUUGACAACGUCUCUCCUUUAUGUUGUUGCAUUUUUUCCUAUGUAUGUAUUUGGGUUCAUACAGCAACUUCCUUUGUAUGCUAGAUUUUCUCAUGCUUUGAUAUUUCUAUUUAAGAAAGUUAAGAAGUUUAUAAUUUCUAUUUAAAACACAAACUAAACAUAAUACAAAUAAUUUAAAACGUACUGGUUUCAAAAUGUUGCUUCUCGAAUUGUUCAUCCAUGGUGAUUGAAGCGAGAAGGAGAAGGGGAGAAGAGAAGGAGAAUGAAAUUAGGAGAGGAGAAAAGGGAGAAGGAAGGGGGAAGGGAGAAGGCACCGGUGCAAGGAAGAGAUGGAGGGGUUUUAUUUUGGAAAAUUUUCAUUACUGUCAGUUAUAACCGAUAGAAAAAAAUGGCGGCAAAAAUCCCCCCUAAAUUCCCUCCCAAAAUUUUAAAUUCCCCCCCAAAAUUUUGUUACGAUUUAAAAAAAUAAAAUAAAUUGAACGGAGAUAUGCAUUUUAUGAAACUAGUUUCCAUAAUCUAACCGUCAAACUUGUUUGUAGAUACUACUACAAGAUCGUAUACGUAAAAAAUCGCAAAAAAAAAAAAAAAAAAUCAGAGAUUAGGUAACAUAACAAAAGUUUUUUUACGGUUAUAAACGAAAAAUCUCAAUUUAACGGUUAUUUUAGCUUCGGUUUUGAUGAUUUUUUUACAGCUACACUCCUCGAUCCUAUAAGAAUGCAAUGAACGAAUUUGAUCUUCAAUUUAAAAUAUUUACACUAAUGGAUAUCACAAAAUCUUAUUUUAUACUUAAUGGAAGUAUAAUAUUAACUCUAAGUGUUUGUUUAAUCUACCGUUUUGACGCGAUAUGCAUUCUACGAAACUUUUUUCAACGAUCCAAUCGUCAAACUUAUUUGUACACACUUCGAGAUAGCAUACGUAAAAAAUCAUAAAAAAUAAACAUUCAAAGAUUAUGUAACGGAACAAAAGUUUUCGACGGUUCUAAACAAAAAAUCACAAUUUAACGGUUAUUUUAGUUCUGAUUUUAAUGAUUUUUUACAGCUACACUCCUCGACCCUAUAAGAAUGUAAUGAAUAAAUUUAAUCUUCAUUUUAAAAUAUUUAUACUAGUGGAUACCACAAAAUCUUAUUUUAUACUUAAUGGAAGUAUAACAUUAACUAUUUAAGUGUUUAUUUAAUCUACCAUUUUGACGUGAUACACAUUCUACAAAACUUUUUUCAAUGAUCUAACCAUCAAACUUGUUUGUACACACUCCGAGAUCGCAUACGUAAAAAAUCACUAAUAACAAACAUUCAGAUAUUAGAUAACAGAACAAAAGUUUUCGACAGUUAUAAACGAAAAAUCACAAUUUAACUGUUAUUUUAGCUCCAAUUUUGAUGAUUUUGACAGAUACACUCCUUGACCCUAUAAGAAUGUAUUGAACGAAUUCGAUCUUCAAUUUAAAAUAUUUACACUAGUGGAUACCACAAAUCUUAUUUUAAACUUGAUGGGGAAGUAUAACAUUAAUUCUAAGUGUUUGUUUAAUCUACCAUUUUGAUGCGAUACGCAUUCUACGAAACGUUUUUCAAUGAUCCAACCAUCAAAAUUGUUUGUACACAUUCCGAGAUCGCAUACGUAAAAAAUCGCAAAAAACAAAGAUUCAGAGAUUAGGUAAUGGAACAAAAGUUUUCGAUGGUUAUAAACGAAAAAUCACAAUUUAACGGUUAUUUUAGCUCCGAUUUUGAUGAUUUUUUACUGCUACACUCCUCGACCCCUAUAAGAAUGCAAUGAAUGAAUUUGAUCUUCAAUUUAAAAUAUUUACUCUAGUGGAUAAAUCUUAUUUUAUACCUAAUGGAAGUAUAACUUUAACUCUUAAGUGUUUGUUAAAUCUAUCAAUUUGAUAGGAUAUGCAUUCUACGAAACUAGUUUCAACAAUCCAACCGUCAAAUACGUUUGUAUAUACUUUUAGAUAGCAUGUGUAAAAAAUCGCAAAAAAAUAAAAUAUAAAAACAUUCAAAGAUUAGGUAAUGGGACCCUGAGUGAAAAAAAAAAAAAAAAACAUUCAGAGAUUAUUCUGGCAGCUGCCCAAAAUUUUGCUUUGUUCGUGUCGGUUAUAUCCGACAGGGCCAUGAGUGAAAAAAAAAUAUUUAAACCAUGUGUUUAUUUAUUUAUUUAUUAUUUUUAAUCAAUAUAAAAUUUUAAAAUAAUAAAAUAGUCAAUUUCUGUAGGUUAUAACAGUCAGAAUACUAAAAUAAUAACCGCUAGAAACUAAAAUAAUAAAAUAGUCAAUUUCUGUCGGUUAUAACCACCACCAUUAACUUAAAAACCGUCGGAAUAUGUUAAAAAUAUUUUAAAAAAAGAAUUCAAAAAUACUGGCAGUUAUAAUAAUUUUAUGGCUAUUGCAUCCGACACUAAAUAUCUGUCAGGAAUUUAUGUUGAAUAUAACCGACAGGAUUUCAUUGUUACCCGACACUAACUGAAUGAUGUGUCGAAUAUCUUUUAUCCGACAUAAUGACUUAUUAAACCACCACCAUCAUCCGACACCUAAAGCUAAUAUUGUAGUAGUGAUACACACGUUAUAUGUUGUCGGUAUUUUGUUGAUCUUGUAUUCUUGUUGAAAUUUCAUCUUCUAGAAAAUUAUGUUGGCCAGUCAUAUUUUUGUGACACUUAACCUAACUUUGUGAUAAAGUUGCAUAUUUCGAGAAACGAAAACUAUAAUGAACAACUAGCAUUUGCCUACACAUUUUGUGUAUAUGAACACGUUUUUUUUUAGAAAAUGAGAAUGAGAGAGAGAGAGAUAGAACGUGGAGGGAGUUGGAGGUUUUUUUUUGUUUUUUUUUAUUUUAAAUAUUGGAGGUAUUUUAACAUUACCUGUAGGUGAGGCUUCAAUAAAAAAAAAAAAAAUUUGAACCUGUGAAAUUACAUUAUUGCUCAUCAUUUUUUUUGUGUGAUAGAAGACUAAGUAGUCUUUUCAUCCUCUUUUGGUUGACAAAAAGGGUUUCAUUAAUUAAUAGAGAUAGGAAUGAAAAAAAUAACAGAAAAAAUAAAAAAUUUAAGGAAAAAUUAAUAUAUGAUUCCUAGUUUUUAAUGUUCAUAUAUUAACUGAGACUUUAUUAGUUUUUAGAUUUUGAUCAAAGUCUCUAGCAUUAAUGUAUUAAUAAAUUACAUGUCAGUUACAUAAUUUUUUUAAAUAAAAAUUAGUAAUUGAUUUAGGGUUUUAAAUAAAAAUUAAUUUUCAAUUCAAAAACUUUCCAAAACAUAAAAAAUAAAAUUAGAAUAAGUUUGUACCCAUUAAUGUUUUAUAAAAAAAAAAAUUCAAAUUUUCAAUCUUAUAUGUAACCAUUUAUAUAAUUCUUCUAUUUCUCUAAUCUUAAAUGUACUUAUUCUUAGAUAUACCAAUUUGUUAUCUAUAAAAUGUACCUUUUUAUAUAUAUAAAAUUCAUUCAAUCUUUUUUCUAAUUCAUUUUUUAAAUUUAUAUGGGUACAUUUUAUUUCGUUGAUUUGAUAAUGAAUUCAUGUCAAAUUUAAUAGAAGAAAUUUAAUAUGUACCCAUGUUUUGGUGCAAUAAUUUUUUUGUUAGUUUUGAUGAACAUACCCAUGUAUGUGUGUACACACACAGACACACACAGACACACACACACACACACACACACACACAAUAUAUAUUCUUUAAUAUUUUUUAUCCCAUAAAUUAUAGGUUUUAUUUAAAAUCUCAUUAAUAUAAAUAACUACAAAUUUCAUUUUUAAUUUAAAAAUAAAAUAACCUAUAUAGAAAUACAUUAUUACAUUAAUGUCAGGGAUUUCGAUAAAAAACUGAAAAUCACAAAAGUUUCAGUAAAAAAAUAUUGAUAAUUAGGGACCGCAUCCAAAGUAUUCCAAAAUUUAAUGACUGAGGCAAUAUCAGAUUCAAAAUUUAAACUUUGGCUUUUUAAUUUAAAAACCUAAAUUUUUAAAAUAGAAAUUUUAGCGUGCGAGCAAAUUUCAGUUGAUUCAUGGAGAUAUUUCAUCGAACACUUAGUGAGUUUGUUGUCGUCAGAUGAACUAUAUUACGAAUAUGUUAACAGAUAUUGACAUUUGCUAAAGCUAUAUAAUGAGUGCUAUUGAUAGCAUUCGUGGGUAGAUUUUGCUUCGUGAUCAUGGCAAAGCUUCAACAAGUUCUGAACUCAAUUGCUUUAUUAUAUUCUAUGCGUUUUCUUCAACAAAGUUAGGCUGAAAGAAUCGUUCACAUAAGAUAUUUGUCUCCUGAACAAGUCUUUCUUCCUUAAUUUUUCAAUAAUGACAAAAAAAAAGAAAAAAAAGCUACGAGAUAAUCAUACUAACUGAACAAGUUGCUCCCAUACAACAGUUAUCAGUGUUGACUCGUCAUGCGCACAAAGCUUUCGAACAACUAUAACAAAAAAGGCCCACAUUUCUCAAACUGUCUCGGAAGUUUGACUACCAUGGCGGAGAGCUUCUGCAUGCGGUUCAAGUACAACCUGCUAUGGAAGUGUUUAAAGAUUGAGAUGAAGUGGUGAUUCGUUAAGUAAAUUUUAUUUUUGUUGCAAACAUUGUUUUAAAAACUCCCAUCUAAGUGCUAUUCGGCUGACCACCACCCCGAUUAAUCCCUAAACAUUUGAAAAUAAAAAAUGGUACCUAAACCUGCCUAAGCGCCUACCUAGAUCGCCUAAGCGCCCUAGCCCACCCAAACCUACCUAGGUCGUGGCUCACUUCGAAAAUAGAUAACUUUCGUUUUGCUUUUUAUUUUUUUCAAUAAAUUGUAAAAGACUAGUCAAAUACUUAGAUUAACACAUAUUAUAUGCUUGUUCUCCAUGUUUUUAUUAUGAUUCAAUACUUUAUAAUAUGUAUGUCAUUAUAUUUUGUAGUUUAUCGUGAAAGUAUAUAUUUUUUAAGUAUAAACGUAGACACUUAUUUAUAUAAUAUAUAAUAAAUUUACUUAAAUCUGUUUUUUAUUAUGAUUCAAUACUUUAUAUAUGUCAUUAUAUUUUGUAGUUUAUCGUGAAAAUAUAUAUUUUUUAAGUAUAAACGUAGAUACUUAUUUAUAUAAUAUAUAAUAAAUUUACUUAAAUCUGUUUAAUCCUCCUAGGCCCUUGCCAAGCCGUCUAGCAUCUGACCCCAGGCCACCGCCUGGCCUAGCGUGUUUUAGAACUUUAGUUGCAAUACAUUGAGGUUCCGAUCCCCGCCCUGAAGAAGAAUGAGGUUUUGCUGAAAUUGGAAGCAGAUAGUCUCAACCAGUUGAUUGGAAAAUCAGAAAGGCGAGCUGCGGCCUCUUUUCCCCGGCAAAUUCCCUCAAAUACCUGGGAAUUCUGUUUCUCAUGUGAUUUGUGAUGUUUUUAUAAUUUUUUAUCUUCAACAUUCGUAAAUAAAACUUAUGCCAGAACACUAAAUAUAAUCUCUCAUUUGUGCUCGAUUCGUACGUGGAACACGUCCAGCGUUGUGGGUUGAUGGAUUAGUAGGAUUCUGUAACAAAAUUAUGUUGAAGGAUGAGUUGUUUUGGGAAUUUAAGCAUUCAAUGUCUUUGAGCUCUAGGCUGCUAUCUGUAGUGCAAAAUCUUUAGUGUAGACGGUUUUUAAUUCUCCUCUCUCUCUCACAUGACAUGACCAGCAACUGAUGUGGCCGGAGAGGUUGUAGAAGUUGGACAAGGUGCCAAAAAGUUCAAAUUCGGUGACAAAGUUGUUGUACUGCUCCGCCAUUUCGUAAGUGCUCGAUCGACUUAUUCCCCUUUUCUCUAUGAGCUACUUGUUUAUGCUUAGGAUUUUCACAUGUAAAAUUCAUGUGUUUGAUAGAGUGGAGGAGGACUGGCUGAGUUUGCUGCAACUAAUGAGAGAUUAAUGGUUGCUAGGCCACCUGAAGUUUCAGCUGCCGAUGGCGCAUGCCUACCGGUUGCCGGUCUCACAGCUCCCCAGGCUCUCGCCCAAUGUGGGGUCAAGCUUGACGGAACUGGUCAAAAUAAAUAACAUAUUGAUCACUGCUGCCUCUGGUGGCGUGGGGCACUAUGCAGUCCAACUAGCAAAGCUUGGGAUACUAACGUUACAGCCACAUGCGGGGCGUGUAACAUCGAAUUGGUCAAGAGCUUAGGGGCAGAUGAGGUUCUUGAAUACAGGACUGCGGAUGGGGCAGCUCUAAAGAGCCCAUCUGGACGAAAAUAUGAUUUUGUAAUCGACUGUGGAAAAGGCAUUCCUUGGUCAACUUUUGAGUCUAAUUUGAAUGCAAAAGGGAAGGUUGUAGACAUUUCUCCGAUGUGAGUUCUUUAGCUACUUUUGUAAUGAAGAAACAGCAGGUGCCACUGCUCAUGAUUCCCAAGGAUGUGAACCUAGAGUAUCUUGUUAAGUUGGUGAAGGAAGGGAAGCUGAAGCCAGUGAUUGACUCGAUGCAUCCUCUGAGCCAGGUUGAAGAUGCUUGGCUUAAGAGUAUCGAUGGCCAUGCUACUGGGAAUAUCAUUUUAAGCUUAGCUGAAGCAUUUAGUUGAACAUUUCCAAACAAAGAUCAUGCCUUUCAAUACCAACAAUUAUACAACUAAUCGCGGUUUGUCUGUCAUAUCAACGCAAACAGAGCAGACAGAAAGUAACUGGAACCCAAAUGAAAAGGACAAGGAUUGUCUGCCCUCCUCGUUCCCGUGCCCUCCUGUUUUGUGUGAUCACGGUAAAACCACGUCAACAUUUUAUAUUGUUUUUUUUAUAGAGAUAAUAAGACAAAAAUGAAUAGUAAUAUAAAAUGUUGACGUGAGUUAACCGUGACCACACAAACAGGAGGGCAUGUGAGGGCAUGGAAACAAAGAGGGCAGACAAUUCUUGUCCAAAUGAAAAACCUCGAAACAUUUUGGUCUCCCAAGUUAAAAUUUUGUUAGGCCACAAUAUAAAGUCUCGUUGCACUUGCAAGAAGCAAGAUCAAAGCCUUUUCCUUUGAUUAUUUCAAUCUUACAAACAACUCUGCAAGUCAAAUUUUUUAAUUUCCUGCCCCCAUAAUCUUGUUCAAAUCUUCGAACGUAAGAAACCAACUUAAAAGCCUAAUUCCCUACAUCAAUUCCAAUCCUAAACAUGAAAAUACAAACUUAAAAACUAUCGAUAUACCCUAAAAAGAACCAAAUUUUAGAAUGUAAUCGUAUCAGUUUAUAGUAUUUUAUUAAAGCACAACAAUCAACUCCACUCAUCUAUCUAACCCUGGUUCCACUGUAACGAGUGCAUUUUCGAUCACCACCCUUGAGAACUCCCGUUGAUUUCUUUUCUUAUGUCUGUACUUUCCUGCUGUUUAUGAUUCAUUGUUAUUACUCUGCGCAAAAUUGUUAAUUUUUUCAAAGUACUCAAAGUAUUAGCAUUAACUUACCAAAAUUUGAAAGUAACUGUUGUGGCCUAUUUAACUGAAGGGGAAUAGGGGGUGAAUAGGGGGUGAGGCAAGAGAGAGUAUGGAGAGAGUGUAAUGAUUUAUUAUGUGAAUGUUACUCCCUCUGCAGUGUCUUUAUUUAUAGUCGAGAAUAAGGAGAGGAUUAACUUGUCCUUCAAGUAAAUACAAUCCUAUAGGAAAAGUAUAACUAGCAACCAAAUGUAUCUAGGAUUUUUCAAUCCAAGAAUAUCUAUGACUUGCGAUUUUAUUUGUAAAACACUGCAAUUCAAAACAAAGCAUGGCCAAAACUAAGGCUCCACAAUUAUCUUUCCGGUAGCAUGGCCAUCGCUGAUCCUAUCCCAAGCGUCCUCCGCCUUGGCCAGGGGAUACUUUGAGUCAAUUAUAGUCUUCAGCUUCGCUUCUUUCACCAACUUAAUAAGAUACUCAAGGUUAUCAGCCUUGGGAAAUAAGAACAGUGGCACCAGUUGCUUCUUAGAAAAGGUAAGUUUCUUCAGUGCAACGCUAAACAGAGAGCUGGGGGUGGGAGUAACAUCUAUUACCUUACCGUUCGCACUCAAAUUAGGCUCAAAAGUUGACCAAGGAAUGCAUGUUGCACAGUGGAUCACAACAUCAUAUUUUCGACCAGAUGGACUCCUAAGAGCUGCACCUUCUGGGGUCUUGUAGUCAAUAACCUCAUCAGCCCCUAGGCUUUUGACCAGUUCAAUGUUGCGGGCACCACAAGUGGCUGUAAUAUGAGUAUUUCCGAGCUUUGCCAACUGAACCGCGUAGAGACCUACACCACCUGAAGCAGCUGUGAUCAGGAUGUUUGCUUGCUGACCACUUCCAUCAAGCUUGAUCCCAGCAGUUUGUGUAAGAGCCUGGUGAGCUGUGAGACCAGCAACGGGUAAUCCUACAGCGGUGGCUGCAGAAACUUCCGGUGGCCUUGCAACAGUUAAACUCUCCAUUGUCACGGCAAAUUCAGCUAGUCCACCUCCAGUCUUUGAUUCAUUGUCGAAGAACAGAAUGAGACAAAAAGGGUCAUGGUAUGUAUCAAUGAAUGAUGCAUCAGAUAUCUAGGUGACACAUUCUGUCACUGGGUUUGCAUAUUAAGCACACCAAAAGUGGUUUUUACAUGCAAUAGUUCAGUCUCAUGCCGACUGGAAUGACACUAGGGAAAGAGGCACACAAAGUCGAUGAAGGGUUAACGAGGGUUUACAAAUACAACAAUUCAGAUUGGAACAAAUGGAUUCAACUUUUCAAAUUAGUAGAUACUUAUUCAGGUAUCAUUGAUGAAAAUAAUAGUUCUAAAUUAAGUUAAAUCCAUCAAUAUGCAUGUUUCCUAGAUGUAUGUGGAGCCUAAAAGAUGCUAUUUCCAAAACAUGAUAUGGAAGCUUAAUUCCCUUUUUCUGAAUUAUGUUAUCCUUUCAGUUAAAUUUUACUUCCGCCGAAAACGAAGACUAAAUUUGAAGAAUUUCAAGUGAAACAGAGAAAAUGAGCUAGUAUAUAAGGGAACUUACAAGAGUGUUAACCUUCCCAACAACUUUGUCACCAGGUUUGAAUUUUUUUACUCCAGGUCCUACCUUUACAACCUCUCCUGCCACAUCAAUACCUGUUCCGAGUUCCACCAAUGAAUAUCUUCAGUUAACAAAACGACUUCUGACAAAAUGCGGUUCUGUGAAAACUUCUACAUAAAACAUGUUAAGAAAUGCAUCCCACCCUUUCCCUUUGAAGAACUCGAAAAACUAUGCUAUAAUAUCAAUGUUUACGUAAGAAUCUCUCCCCAGAAAACACACAAAUUUCACUCCAGAAGUUUAUAGAUGAAAUGAACAAGAAACAGGUGUUUAAGCAUUUAUCGAACAUUCGUACUACUUUUCAAGAAAAAGAUCAAAUAAUACAUGGAAUGAGGCAUAAUUACGUAAAGAGUUAUAAACACAAAAUGGAUCCCCUAAGUAGCAGCGUCUCAAGGCAGCCAAACCAAAUUACCAGGUAUGUACGGAAACCUGCGAGGCAACAAAGGCCAGAGCAUGCCUUUCUGAGCUUUCCAAUCAAUUGCGUUUAGACUAGUUGCCUCCAAUUUCAGCAACACCUCAUCUUUUUUCGGAUUUGGAAUCGGAACUUCAACAUGCUGCAAUAAGGCCAAUGUCAUGACAAGAAUGUGUUCUGCAAAGUUCUUCAAAGCAACAAAGUAUCCACAUAAUAGACCAACAACUUUGUUUAACAUUUCAUAAGCAUAUACAAAUGGUAAUUUUCUCGAUAACAAAACCUAGUAACUGAGUAAAUCCCUGUUACUAUUUCUUUCAUCAUGUGAUUUUGGAUAAAAACAAUAAAAGUAAAAGAUAAAACCUCUUCCUUUAUCAUUUCCUUCCCAUCAUCGCAAUGACUCAAUCAAGUACUCGUAUUCCAAGUGGGAUUUCAGUUAUUAAACUGAAAAUAUGACUUCACCCCUGGAACAUAGAUUUUUCAUCUAAAACCCGACAUAAUUGUUUUACUUGAUUAAAGCCUGGUGAUUAGGAUCCCCAUAAGCAUAUUCCUUAAUUAAGCUUGAAUUCAAAUAUUUUACAUGUUUCCAAUGGCUAUAUUAUCCCUAAUAACAAUUGGAUUUAGACAUUUCUUUUCCUAGUCUAUUUCAAUUUUUUUUUUAACAAACUAUAUAUUUUCUACACUAAAUGAGGGGGGUGAAUUUAACCUCAUAAUGAGCUAGCAAUAAUGAGGUCCAAAUUUGCCUUUGGCGAAAAUUGAAGCCAAGACCUCCCUCUUUCACAAUUGUUCUUGCUUCUUAUUUUUUUGUUUGAAAUUGAUUUAUUAUAUGCAACUAGGUAAAUUUGUGCUUGUAAAUAUAGAUAAAUUAGUGUAAAUAUAGGUAAAUUAGUGUAUUUCUUAUGUGAUGUCAUAAAAUAAUGUAUCUAUUAUUUUCUCACCCUUUAGUUGUAAUACUUCGUUGUAUGAAAAGAAUGUGCUUAUAUUGUGUCGGUAGGUAAUUAUUGCACAUGAAAAUGCAGGUAAAUAACUUAUAUAUACCAUAUAAGUAAAUUAGUGAAUCAACAAAUUCUAAAUGGGUACAUUAAUGAUAUAUAAAUAGACAAAACAUUAUGAAACUCAUUGAAGGCGCAAAACAAGGAGUAAAUCAUCCAUAUUGACAUGAUUGGAGAAUACUUGCAAUUUUGUAAAAUAAUUGCAGUAAUGGGUCAACAACUCAUAUUAAAUUUUGGAUUUUAUUUAGAGGUUAAGAAGUACACGGCUAUAAUGAACUCUCGAAAAAAAAAAAAAAAAACAAGUGAGUUUACGUUUAUGAAAUAAGAGUUACAAGUCUAUAAACAACCUUUAAACCAGAAGUUCCGCCGCCAUAGUUGUCGUACUGAACCGCGUGCAUGGUCUCAUUGGCCAUAGUCUCUCAGUUGUAAGUCCAACCAACGUUACGAAGAGCCGCAGAAACUUGAAGCUCCUCCCUCCCGGAUUCUAUGAAGUACAGAGCUUAUGCUAGUACAGCAAUGGACUCAUUAGUCCAUGUCUAAUGUGGAAUAAACUAAUAAACGUGAUUCAUAAGAAUGUUGACUCAUUGGCCCAUGUCUAUUGUCGAACAAACUAAUACACGUGAUGUUGACUCAUUGGCACAACUAAUUCACGUGAUCAUAAUGAUUUGGGCAGUACAAUAGGUACAUCAUGGUCUGGUCCCCAUGUUAAAUAGACAAUAUGUGUGGUCCAUAUGUUAAAUAGACAAUACGACAAGUAGAUGGUCCCUAUCUUGUCCCUACGUGAAAUAGACAAUACGUAUGUGGUCCAUAUGUAAAUAUACAAUAAGUGUAUGCAGUGCUGAUGCCAAGAUUUGUCGAGGUGAGGGGUGAAAUUCAAGAGAGUGCAAGAUUCAAUCAAAGCGGUUGCUUUUAUAUUGAAGAGUGCAAAGUUUUGAGUCAAUAUUCAAAGCAAAAAAUAGUAUCUCCACAAAAGCGGUUGUAAGCGAUAAUAUCAAAGUCAAUGUAAUAAGCUUAAAUUAGCUAGGAUUAUAUUCUAAAAAAAGCGCUAGUCAGGUAGCAGAUUGGAACCUAGUAGCUAGGCACCUAGGCGAGAUCUAGGCAGGAGCCCAAUAGGAUUUAAAUGAAUUUCUUUUAUCGUAAAAUAAGCAUUAACCAAUAUUUACAUUACUUUUUAAAAAGUAAUACAAUAUUUAUAGAUAAUGUGAGAGUUUAAGAUAAAUACAGUAGGGGUCUUAAAAGAAAAAAAAAAACAAUACUUGAGUGCUCACAAUUUAGUACCAAUUUUACUCACUAGACUUUAUGGCCCAAUAAAAUUACAACAAUUGUCAUUCUUAACUCUCUAACCAAACAACAACAUAUCUACUAUUCUAGCAACCAAACACUUUAAGGGCGCGUUUACUAAUCCGUAAUCAAAUUUAAGGGAAUUGAAUUGAGGAGAAAUCGGAUUGAGGAGGAAUUUAAUUGAGAAUGAAACAAAAUUAGAUUCCGGUUAAAGUUGUUUACAAAAUUAGAUUCUGGAAAUUAAGUUUAUCAAAUUAAAUAUAAGCUUAUUAUAUUAACACCCCACAUAUUGUUGAAUAAACUCCACAUAUUUAAUGCACCUCACAUUUGUUUUUUUAAUUAAAACUUAUUUUAAUAAACCCCACAUACUUCCCAUAACACCCUUAGACCCCACAUUCUCAACAUACACCAUACAUUUUCUAUAUACGCCUCCACAUUCUUCAAAUCUUAUAAUUCUCAUUCUUGCUUUUGUGGUUUUCAUUAGGACUGGGUUCAAAAAACCAAAAAUCGAAAAAAAACUGAGAACCGAACCGAAACAAAAAAAACUGAACAAAAAAAAUCGAACCGAAACGAACCGAAUUUGGCCAGUUCGGUUCAGUUUUUAAGGUCCGAAAACCGGACCGAACCGAAUUAAUUAAAUUAAUAUAUUUUUUUAAUUUUUUAUUAUUUAAAUAUCUGUUUUGAAUAUAUAUAUAUAUAUAUAUAUAUAUAUAUAUAUGUGUGUGUGUGUGUGUUGGAAUGUGUAAUGGGCUAAUUAUUAUAUUAUUAAACUAAUUAAAGUGUUGCUGACAAAGGUUGUAUCAAGCACAUGGGUGCUUGCUUUAUAGAACUUUGUCUCUCUCUCUCUCACUAUUUCUCACUCUCUCGUAGUAUCUCACUAUUUCUCUCUCUCUCCGCUUUUUAUUUCUUAAAUCUUGAUUCUAUUAUUUUAAGUCUGAUUCUUCGAACUUUUGAUCCUAUUAUUUUCAAGUCCGAUUCUUCAAGCUUUUAAUUCUACAAUCUCCAUCUUCGAGUUCUUUUUCAUUCUCAAACCCACCGUCGAAUUCGAGUUUGUGAUUCUAUGAUACAACUGCAGUUUUCAUUCUCAAAAUCGAAACAAACCGAAUUGAAAAAAAUAGACCGAACCGAACCGAAAUUUCGGUUCGGUUUCGGUUUGGACAAAAAACUGAACCGUUUCGAACUGAACCCAGCCCUAGUUUUCAUUAUUCUCCAUGGAAAUCCUGAUCUUCCGUUUCCUUCUUUUGGUGUUUGUCUGAGAGAUAGUUCUGCUACUUCGACUUUCUCUUUGCUUCCAUUUAACAUAUUGAACUACCUCCUUUCGGUGACUCCUAUCAACGUAGGGGAUUGUGCUGGCAUCUUGGUUGAGAAUGAUGGUAUUCACUCGCAAAGUGGAAAAAAAAUAAAAAUAAAAUAGGCUUCGGGGGCUUGGACGCUUCAACGAAGGUUAAUGGCUUUACCUGUUCAAAUAUUGAAUAAUCAACAUUGAGAGUAUGACAGUAAGAGGACAGAAAAUAACAUGGAUGGGGAUAAUUAGGAAAUAUAUAACAACAUGUGAUUCAAAAUAAAAAUAAGCCCCAGCGUUGUAAAUGGAUCGAGAAGCAUGAUUAGUUGGGACAAGGUCCUAUUAUCAUUGAGGUUUAUAUCAGACUUGCCAUGGGGAAAAUGAAUCAAUGUUACCUUUCAUUUCCAGAACUGUGAUGCUUUUGACAACAUAUGCAAGCAUACCAAAACAUGUCUAUCAAUCAGUGGUUACCUUUUAUUUUAAACUGAUACUGGAAGAAUCCUUGAUAGAUUAGAGACUAAUAUAUAUACUUGUAUUGAGAACAAAAUAAUAGUAAAUUGAAAAAUAAAAGUAGAAGAAUACAUAGAUUACAAGUAUUCAACAAAUUUAGAGUUUAAAAACAUAUUAAUAUAAUCAUAAAAGGCCUAGCCCCACCAAAACCCUAUUUACUUUUGCAUUCAUUUUUCCUCUGGAGCCCAAAAUGCUCCCUAGCCCCACCAAAACCCUAUUUACUUUUGCAUCCUCGUACCUUUGUUAGCUGUUUCUGCAAAAUCCGAAGAACCAUAAAUGGUCAGAUGAAUCAAGAAUCCAAAGAAAGCCAAAAGAAGGGCCAGGGUUAGCGCCAAAUUCCACUAUCUUCUCCGUUGAUUGUUUAAUUAUUUUAAUAAAAUUAGGGUUUUGUCUUAAAUUUUUGUUUAGGGCUCAAAGAAAAAAGGUGGAUUGCCUUCCUCUUCAGGACCAUCGAUGCUGGCGAAGGUAUAGCAACCGCCUAGCGGGCCGCCUAGACCGCCUAGCGGGCCGCCUAGACCGCCUAGCGGGCCGCCUAGACCGCCUAGCGGCUGCCCAGGUACCCGCCUAAGCCAUCAUCGAGUUUCUCUAAUGUUUUGCUCCAAAUCACCUCGGAAGCCUAACGCCCAGCGCCUAGGCAGCCGCUUAGACCACGUUUUCGAACACUGGUUAGAAUGAAACUUAAUUAAAAUAGAUCAAAGCAUGACUUUGGUAGGUGAGAAGCCACCAACAUCCAUAUUUAAUAUAGAGACCAUAAUUAUUGUAGUGCGUACAUUAUAUAACCCAAUUAUCAAUUUCCUUUCUCUUUCUCUUUCGAAAAUCAAUGAAUAAUGGGUGAAACUUUAUAAUUUUAACCAGAUCCACAGAAUGUGAAACUUUAAUUUUAAUUUGCUACUAUUUCAUUGCCUUGGAUUUUUGUCACUGGUAGUGGCGACCGAAAAAAGCAAUGAACAGAUGGACAUGGGAAGUACAGAAAUUUCUGGAUGGAUGUUACGAGUGUACGAUCACCUUCAUACGCUCAACCCAAUCUGAUAGGAUUGAAGUUUCUUUUCAAUUUUUUUCUAUCAUUUUUUUUCUAAAUUUGGUUUUGAAUUUGCAGGUACUGGCCUCCAGCAGCCCUCUGCUUGCACAUCCGCACUCUGCAACCUCUAAUUUGGGUAAAUUUUGGUUUUGAUUUUUCUAGAUCAAUAUGUAUUUGUGCCUGGCUGUUUAAUUCUACGAUUGAGGAUUUUUAACUAGAUUUAUUAUUAUAUAUGGAGGAUUUUUAAUCAAUUUUUCUAUUUGCUUUUUACUUUUCCGCAUUUUUCUUUUUACUGUGAAUUGUAUGAUGAAAUUAUUUUUUUGGAAUGCUUCUAUUUUUCUUGCAAGAUGAAAUUAUUUUCUAGAAUGCUUCUGUUUUUCAUGUAGGAUUAAAACAUACAUAAUUGUUUAAGUUACCACUUUAUACUCUACAAUCAACUAUGUCUACUAGUAUAUAUACGGCAAGAUACUUAACAAAAAGUGACUCAAAGCGUCUCGAUAACAGUAGAUAGCCAAAAACAACUAGCCAAAAUGGCCGAUCAGAGUCGGUAGCCAAAAAACAGCUAGCCAAAGUGGUACUCAAGCUUUAUAUCUUGGUCUGCAAAAAAAUGUUGUUAGCUUCAUCACCGUCUAUUACCGAGAGAAAUUUUUUAUUGUGAUUGGAAUACGAGCGUUACAUCACAUGUUUUAUAUAAGUAAUAGAAAAUUUUAAUAAUAUAUAUAUCUCAUCAUUUGUAUAGUUACAUAUGGUGUAUCAUUUCAUAUUCUGAUUACACUAAAAAAUUUCUCUAUUACAGACGAGUUUCCUUGUAAAAGGAUAUUAUAUUUGGAGGGACCACAUAAAGAUAAUUGGGCUGAAUUGGUGGUUGCUUUUCUUUCAUUUAUAAUGUAUAUGUGUUCUUACUUUGUCCACUCCUUUUUGUCUCGUAAAUGUUUUUUGUGUGUCACAAAUGAGUCUGACUUGUCCUACUAGGUUGAGUCUGACUUGUCCUAACUUAAUUCAACCAGCCAUUCGAUACCUAACCUCAUAUCUAAAUGACUAAUUUCUAUUGGAUUAGGUGUUGAGUUUUUACUUAUGUGUUCAAAACUUUCCCUUUCUCUCAAGUAAUAUAAUAGUUUCGAACUCUUCCCUUACUCCUUAAUAAUAGUAACUUUUUCUUUUUUAAAAAGGACAUGAUAGAAUGCAUGUGAGGUAAGUUUUUUUGAGGUCGUGAUUUAGAAAGGAAAAAAUGUUGUGUGGUGCUAUCUGACAUUGGAAAGUUAAAUCUUGUAUUAUGAGAAAAGUUUGGUCUAUUUUCAAUUGGUUUUGAAGUGCAACUUCAACUUUCUUCAUGUAAGAGAAAGAAAAAAGAAACAAAGAGGCAAUAAUGAGUUAUGGAUUGCCCUGACAUUCUUAGUCAACCAACUGCGUCUCAAGUUCAAACCCUUCUCUCUUCACUAGUGUAGAUUAGUAGAGUUUUGUAAUAUAUUUGAAUAUUUUUCUUUCUUGUGUUUUUUGGGAAUCUACAUUUAGAUCAUUUCGAAUGUUUGGUUAACUUAUUUUUUUAUAUGAAUUUUCAAUUACAGGUUGGUACUUGGUUGCUUGACUUCUAACCCUUUUGUUAGCUCAUAUGAGUAGUUGUGUGCGUGUUGUAUUCUCUUUUGUUGUGAUGGAUUUUUGUUUGAGAUUUUAGUUAGGAUUCUUGUUUCUCACUAAGUCUACUUGCUUUGCUUUAUAUAUAAAUUAGUUGUCAUUUGGGAUUUGAAUAUUUAGGUCUCACUGUUUUUCAAGAAUGGUCUCUUUGUGUAGGUCCACUAAUAUGGAAAACAAAGGUCCAACUAGGUUGGCCAACAAAUAAUCCAUUUUUGUCUUUUGCAGGUCAAUCAUGGUAUUGGUUAUAUCACCACCCAUAUUCCCAGGUGCUAUUACAAAUAUAUACCGGUAAAGUCGUUUAAUAACUUAAAUAGGUGUUAAUAUGUAUACCUUUUGGUCAAGUGUACUGUAGAAGGGAUAUAUCUUGUGUAUCAACACUUUUUUUCUUGCUAUAAUGUUUUUAGUAAGUUAUGCGUUUGAACAACAUUUGGGUUACCUAACCGUUUUGUUUGAGUGAAACAGUUCUUGAUAUGUCUACUGGAAUGGAUUACAAAAUUAAAAGUGGUGAUGCAGCUGGAGCUUUAAAGAUUGAACCUAUUCAAAGGGCCAGUUUCCUCUAUGUUGCCUAUUAUUGAUGCUACCGAUUUCGUAGCAGACAACUCCCAUUCAAUAUUUUUAGUUAUGAUAUUAUCUUUUUCAAGCUACAAUUGGGAUAUAUUGUAGGUUACUGUGGACAUGUUAAUGUAAAAACUACCCAUAUUUGAAUUAUAAGAAUUUUUUUUCAUUGAGUUUCAUAGUAUGUACUUGCCAUUUACAUAACUACAUUAAGCUGAAAUGCUAGUUUAAUUCCUAAAAUGAUAAAAUGUAAAUGAAUAAAUGGAUUAAAAUAUAAUAUAAACAAUUUAAAGGAGCAUGUGACGAUAUACCUAUUCAUCACAUAAUUUUAGGAUUUGUGACGCUUAUAACGUCAUAAAUUGAGUCAAGAUUGGCAUUUGGGCUUGAAAAUAUGUGAGGAAUCGGGCGCCACGUAUACUAAGAACAAGUGACGAAUCACAAAUUCGUCACAUAUACUAUCGAUGACUCCACAUAGGUGACGAGCCUUGUGACAACCGAAAUUCGUCGCAUAUACUAUUAUAUGACGAAUUUGUAGUAUUCAGUGACGCUUUGCCAUCGUCACUGAAGCCCUGUUUUCUUAUAGUGAAUACAUAUACUUGUAUUGAGAACAAAAUAAUAGUAAAUUGAAAAAUAAAAGUAGAAGAAUAUAUAAAUUACAAGUAUUCAACAAGUUUAGAGGUUAAAAACACAUUAAUAUAAUCAUAUAUUAUUUUGGGCCCAAAAUAAAGGCAUAUUAUAAUCAUAAAAUGCCUAGCCCCAUCAAAACCCUAUUUACUUUUGCAUUCAUUUCUCCUCUGGAGCCCAAAAUGCUCCCUAGCCCCACCAAAACCCUAUUUACUUUUGCAUUCAUUUCACCUCUUACCUUUGUCAGCCGUUUCUACAAAAUCUGAAGAACCAUAAAUGGUCAGAUACAUCAAGAACCUAAAGAAAGCCGGCCCAGGUUAGCUCCAAAUUCCACUACCUUCUCCGUUGAUUGUUUAAUUAUUUUAAUAAAGUCAGGGUUUUGUCUUAAAUUUUUGUUUAGGGCUCAAAGAAAGGACGUGGAUCUCCUUCCUCUUUGGGACCAUCGAUGCUGGCGAAGGUAUGGCAACUGCCUAGUGGGCCGCCUAACACCGCCUAGACCGCCUAGCGGCUGCCUAGGCGCCUGCCUAAGCCAUCACCGAUUUUCUCUAACGUUUCGCUCCAAAUCACCUCGGAAGCCCAACUCCCAGCGCUUAGGCUGCCUCUUAGGCCGCAUUUUCGAACAUUGGUUAGAAUGUAACUUAAUUAAAAUAGAUCAAACCAUGGCUUUUGUUGAACACUGAAAUAGAAAGGAACGAAGUUACCCGAAAAAAUGUAAAAGCCUUGAGUGGUGAAUGAUUCUUGGGAUGAGUCGCGGACUAAGUCACUUUCUUUAAGACGUUUCGCGGCUCUGCCCAAAGUGUGCAAGCAGUUCACAAACACCACGUCGUCCCUAGGAUAAAACAGCCAAGAACCUUCUUCUGAUAAGAUUCUUCCUUGCACAUCGGAAGAACCUUCGAACUUACACCUUACCAAUAUAUUGCUUUUUAUAAAUCAAUAUAUAUAAAACUUUUUCUUACUUCGUCUAUGUUCUGCUCUUUUUCUAACCUAUAUAAUCUAUAUAUAUAUAUAUAAAGAAAUAGACAUUGGAGGGUUUGAAACCGUAAGAAAUCAUGGAUGUUUAUAGGAUGCACGUUGGAGGGUGUGAAACCGUACAAAAUCAAGGAUAUUUAUGGGGAUUUAUGGGAUGCAAAACUGUCUACAAUCAAAGGAUGAUAACAAAUUAUGUUUUAUAUUUAAUGUUUGUAAUAAACUAAAAUAUAAAUAUUUAAAAUAUUUAAAUAAAAACAUAAAUGCUCCAACAGCUUUGGUAGGUGAAAGCCACCAACAUCCAUAUUUAAUAUAGGGACCAUACUUAUUGUAGUGCCUACAUCAUAUAACCACCAUAGGGUGGCUCAGUGGUUGGGUUCGAAUUCUAGGUUUGUAUUCUACACGGUACGUCUUGAGUUCAAUUCUUAGCGCUUGUCAAUAUGGGUGGGUUCAAAAAACCGAAAACCGAAAAAAACCAAAAAUCGAACCGAACCGAACCAAAUUCUUUUGGUUCGGUUUCAGUUUCAGUGGUCUAGAAACCGAACCGAACCAAAUUAAUUAAAUUAAUAUUUAAAAAAAUAAUAAUUAUCUGUUUUGGGUAUUAUUUUGUAAACCCAAUUUAUAAGCCCAAAUAUGCUAAAAGCCCAAUGUGUUGCCAAAUUUUAAACCAAAAAUAUUAAAAAUAAAGCCUUUAGAAACUCUAAACCCAAACUUUAAGCCCAAAAUAUUGUUUCUUCACCCAUAUCCAGAUUUAAAAUUAAAAAUAAAUAAAAAAACAUGAAAACAAGAGUAAACUGUACCAUAUGCAUGCCACAUUUCAAAUAUUAUUUUGCAUUGGAUAUGUAUUUUUUUAUGUAUAGCAAACCUGCAGCAAAUAACAAUCAUUAGGAUGAUAAUAGGCAUAUAUUCCUUUCCCAUCUCAUUGAUCUCCUAUGCAAUAUAUAACCCACCCACCCACGGAUAGUGCAAGGAAAACCAUAAGCUUCUCAGAGAGAAUUUAUAAAUCACAGGUUGAUGAGUGUUCUCCGCUUGGAUCGACGUCAUGCCAUGAUGAUGGUUUUUCUUGCAUACACGGAAUAAGAGCCUAUUGUUCUAGGUAGUCAUGAAAAUAGCUUGAUUUGAUAUUCAUUUGUUCUAGUAGCUAGGUUUCAAUAAUAUAGUUUAUCACCCUAUUUAUCAAGUUUAAUGUCUAAACGUUAUUAUGUUUUUGGGAAUGAUUUUAGGGCAGCUAAAUAACAUGCCAAUAUCUAGAUUAAAAAAAUAAUUGGAAAAAACCGAACCAAACCGAAAUCGAAACUGAAAAAAACCAAACUGAACCGAUUUGAACUGAACCUAGCCCUACUUGUGAAUCAUACGAUGGUGGUAAAAGGGAGACUAAAAUUCCUCUUUGAGUUUUCCUGGCUACCAAAAAGGUGGAUUACUGUGACGAAGCCAACUAGUCCCUUUUUUGAAAAAAAAAAAUACACAUGAUUCAUGUUAAUAUAAUAAAAUCAAUAUUUUGUUGAUCUUGUAUUUCCACACACUAAUACACAUGUUAUAUGUUAUCAGUAUUUUGUUGAUCUUGUAUUCUUGUUGAAAUUUCAUCUUCUAGAAAAUUAUGUUGGCAUGUCAUAUUUUGUGACACUUAACCUAACUUUUUGAUAAAGUUGCACAUUUCGAGAAACAAAAACUAUAAUGAACAACUAGCAUUUGCCUAUUUUUUUAGAAAAUGAGAAGGAGAGAGAGAGAGAGAGAGAGAGAGAGAGAGAGAGAGAGAGAGAGAGAGAGAGAGAGAGAGAGAGAGAGAGAGAGAGAGAGAGAGAGAGAGAGAGAGAGAGAGAGAGAGAGAGAGAGAGAGAGAACGUGGGGGAAGUGAGAGUUUUUUUUAUUUUUUAUUUUUUAUUUUUAAUAUUGAAGGUAUUUUAACAUUACCUGUAGGUGAGACUUCAAUAAAAAUAGUAAAAUUUAGAGUUGUGAAAUUACAUUAUUGCCGAUUAUUUUUUUGUGUGAUAGAAGACUAAGUAGUCUUUUCACUUUCUUUUGGUUGACAAAGAGGGUUUCAUUAAUUAAUAGAGAUAAGAAUGAAAAAAUUUAAGGAAAAAUUAGUAUUCAGUUCUUAGUUUUUAAUGUUCUUAUAUUAAUUAAGACCUUAAUAGUUUUUAUAUUUUGAUCAAAGUCCCUAACAUUAAUGUAUUAAUAAAUUACAUGUCAGUUACAUAAAUUUUAAAAUAAAAAUUAGUAAUUGAUUUAGGGUUUUAAUACUCACAUCCUUAUUAAACUCCUAAUUCAUUUUCAAUUCAAAAAAUUUCCAAAAUAUAAAAACUAAAAUAAGAAUAAGUUUGUACCCAUUAAUGUUUUAUAAAAAAAAAUUCAAAAUUUUAAUUUUAUAUGUACCCAUUUAUAUAAUUCUUCUAUUUUUCUAAUCUUAAAUGUACUUAUUCUUAGAUAUACCAAUUUGUUAUCUAUAAAAUGUACUUUUUUUUAAUAUAAAUGUAGACAUCGAAAUUUCGGUAAAUAAAUGUUGACCGAUAAAUCAAAGUGUCAACGCUCAUGUAUUACAUAAAUUUUACACGUAGCGUAUGACUCAACGAAAAUUGAAAUGAGUUGGAAAAGUCAUCAAACAGGACACGUGUCAACACAUGGCAGAAAAGACUUAUUUCAUCUGGAAUAUUAUAUUCAAAAUUAGGCCUUGGAAAAUUCUAUAAAUAGAAGGCUAAUUCAUUCAUUUGGAACCAAUUGAUACUACACCUUGAAGCUCUGAAGCUCUGAAACUCCGAAGCUCUCAAGCAUCUAGGUUCCCGAAGAAUCAAGAAAGCCUUCUUCGUUCUUCGUUCAUCAUCCGUUCUUCCAAGAUCAAGCCCCGACGGCCCUUGGAUCAACAAUCAUCCACCUUCAAAGAUCAAGCCCACGACCCCUUGAAGAAACUUCCAACAGUUCAUCCAAGAUCAAGCCCCAACGGCCCUUUGGAUCAACAACGUUCAACAAAUCCACACAUCCAACCGUUCUUCAAGAUCAAGCCCAAAAGCCCUUGAAGAUCCGUUCAUCACCGUUAUUCAAGAUCAAGCCUUAACGGCCAUUGAAGAAACACUUAUCCUCAAGAUCAAGUUCCAACGGCUCCUUGAAGAUCCGCUCAAAUCCACCUUCAAAGAUCAAGCCCACGGCCCCCUUGAAGAAACUUCCAACAGUUCAUCCAAGAUCAAGCCUCAACGACCCUUGGAUCAACGAAACAUCCACAAAUCAAUACCUUACGGAGAUCGAAUCAGAGGAUCAAAUUUGAGAGAGAUUGUAACCCAAAAUCAAAAAAUACAAAUAUUUGUUUGUGCACGUCGUUCUUGUCUCUUUCGUUUCAGGAAUUUUCCGUGUUCACAAAUUGGCACGCCCAGUGGGACAAUCUCUGCCUCUCAUCUCUUUCUCCGUUCAAGAAAUUCAAGCGCCCUUCCAAAAUUAAUGACAUCAAGAAAGGCUCAAAUUGUUCCCGCAACCGGCGCAAAGAACAAAAGCGUCCUCGUCGCAACUGGUGUCACUUUGGGCAUCACGACUCGAAGCAUGGCAAGAGCUACUUCUGCCGCCUCUUUCACCUCUGCAUCAACUCUGCCAAGGGAACAAAAGCACCCAAGGCACGAGCCUUUGAUCACCUUACCUCACUAAGGGCACCAAGGGGGGAAAGCCCAAGGAAAUACUCCGAAUCCAUGCUCUCCGAUGCCGAUUCAAGCGACAGUUCAGCCAUGUAAGUCAUGACCAUUGGAGCAACUUCAAUCGAUGAGCAGCUGGCUCAAAUGAAUGAAGCAAUCGCAAGGCUAACCCGAACUGUGGAAGAAAAAGACUUGCAAAUUGCAGCACUAGUCAACCGAUUGGAGGCGCAAGACGACGAUAAACCCGACCCAGAGGAUGAUCCACUAAAGGGAGGAGCUGGCGGAGACGAAGAACCCCCGGUGAAGAAAAUCGAUGGGAAGCCGGAGCCAGACCAAGCAGCGGCACUCAUGGGAUCUCUUUCUAUCCAGCAGCUGCAGGAGAUGAUCACCAACACCAUCAAGGCACAGUACGAAGGGAGCUCACAUACCUCAUUGUUCUACUCGAAGCCCUAUUCCAAGAAGAUUGAUGCCCUAAAGAUGCCAAGGGGUUAUCAACCACCAAAGUUCAUGCAGUUUGAUGGAAAAGGAAACCCAAAGCAGCACGUUGCACAUUUCGUCGAAACUUGCAACAACGCGGGGACGGAGGGAGGCUACCUCGCCAAGCAAUUUGUGCGCUCGCUGAAAGGAAAUGCCUUUGAGUGGUACACAGACCUAGAGCCUGAGUCCAUCAACAGCUGGGAGCAAUUAGAACGAGAAUUCCUCAACCGCUUCUACAGCACCCGCCGCACUGUGAGCAUGCUAGAGCUAACGAGCACAAAGCAGUGGAAGGACGAGCCAGUCAUUGACUACAUCAACAGAUGGCGCACUCUAAGCCUCGACUGUAAAGACAGGCUUUCGGAAACCUCUUCAAUCGAGAUGUGCAUCCAAGGCAUGCAAUGGGGUUUGCAAUACAUCAUUCAAGGCAUUAAACCACGGACUUUCGAGGAAUUGGCCACUCGCGCCCAUGACAUGGAGUUGAGCAUCGCCCAUCAUGGGAAGAAGGAAUCGAUCGCCGACUACAAAAACGACAAAGUUCUUGGGCCAAAGGUGGAGAAGGCUACGUGGAAACCCACCAAGGAAGCAAUGACGGUCAACACAGCUCCCGUCAAAAUCCCCACACGAGGCAAGGCGAUUCAAGCCGAAGGCUUUCGUGAUCAAGAGAUGCGUAGACACACUUUGAAGGAGCUUGAGGAGAAAACUUAUCCAUUCCCCGACUCUGAUGUGGUUGCCAUGUUAGAAGACUUGCUGGAAAAGAAGGUGAUCGGCUUGCCUGAGUGCAGACGGCCAGAAGAGAUGAAUCGCACUGACAGUUCAAGGUACUGUAAAUUCCACCGCUUCAUCAGUCAUCCGACAGAAAAAUGUUUCGUGCUGAAAGAUCUCAUCAUGAAGCUGGCUCAGAAAGGAAUCAUCGAGCUAGAUCUUGACGAUGUGGUGAACACAAACUAUACCACCAUCACUUCUGGCUUUUCCGACUCGAAGUUUUCACCUCAACCGCUGGGGGCAUCCUCCAAGACAAGCAAAAUUGAAGGAUGGACUCAAGUCACUCCUAAGAAAUUGCACAAGAAGCAUACGUCUCCUCCACAAGUCCGCCAAUCGGAAAGGGGGCAAAACAGCUCUUGUCAACCUUCAAAGCAACAUGAACGUGUUGAAGAUGAUGAAAUUGCGACACAAAGAUCGUCCGUUGCCAUCACGAUGCGCGACUUCUUACCUAGAAGACGAAGGCAAAUGCUGCUGGAACAAACCCACAAACCUCUGAUGAUCAAGUAAAAUCUGACCAUCAGAUUCUUGCAUCUGGUCAAUCUUCCUCUUCAUGUUUGUCGCAUAGCUAUGUGCGAGCUUAUGCAACUGUUUAUUCUCCUGCUUGAGCCUUCUAAUCUCCUGUUUGAGACUCAUCACUUCCGCCACCAAUGAUUCAACUUGACGGGUUCGAGCAAAUAGGCGUUGGGCCAUAUUAGACACAGAACCUGCACACUGCACACUGAGAGCCAGAGAAUCCUUAACAGCUAACUCAUCAGACCGUUUGGAAAGUAGUCUGUUAUCUCUAGGAGUGACAAGGUUUCGGGCCACCACUGCAGCGGUCAUAUCAUUCUUCACCAUCGAAUCCCCAACGGUAAGAGGACCAGUAGGGGAUAUGAAGGAUGGGCGCCAUAUGUUGUCUGGAGAAGGCGGGACUACCUUUUCACCAAGGUUCAAAUCAAAACGAUGGUCGGAAGGCCCAGACAUUUUCAAAGGUGUUGAAGAAAGAAGAGGUCGGACAAAUUAAGAUCUUAGAAGUGCAAGAGGGGAGUUUCUACAAGCAAAAAUUCAAGUGUGCUUUGAAACGAACUGCGUGCCUCUAUAAAAAAACCAGCACUCGACAGGAUUUCAGAGAUCGAAGAGGUGAGCUCAGAGUUCGAAAAUGUCGAUUCAAAAAUCGAAGAGGCAAGCUCAGAAAUCGGAGAAGCAUCUUGCUUUUCCAGACGCGUUAGCACCCGUCACGCGCAAACUCAGCUUUGCGAAAAUCACGGGCAAUUUGUCGAAGCGCCGAUCCCAGAUAUCGAAGAGGUGCCAGUCUUUUUCAGCCUCGUCAACACCUAUCACACGCACACUCAGCUUGAUGAAAAUUACGGACAAUUUGUCGAAAAUUUCUGAUAAAGAAGAAAGCACGUGAAGCCAUACUGAUCAAUCACGCAUUGGUUACCGACACGAGUAAAAGAAUAGUACCUCUACAGGUACUAACGAAUUUCCUAUAACUGUCCACCUUCACCCUCCAUAGCGAGGCAGACAUACAUAACCUUUCUUCAUCUCCGAGAAUGCCUUCCCAACGAAGCCUCUCGGGUCACUCAGUGUUCCUUAUUCCUUGGGGUACCUCUGCAAGCCAAUGACUCCAAAGCAAAAGUAUCUCAUAUCACCAGGGUAGAAAGCAAGAGUAUCUCAUAUCAUGCGUUCUCCCUGUCAUUUCCUUUGUCCUUGUUCUUACCUACAAAGAUAAGGAUAAAGAAAACAAUAUGCCGGAACUUCCACUCAAACUCGGGUAAGGAACCGACUGCUUGGAACCCUUCCCUGAUUGCCUACCUAGCACUGCUCUCGAGUACUCGUCUCCCACUGCUGCUGUACUUCCAAAGAAGCUGCCACAUCUGCCUGAAGAACAUAUAAAGGCAAGUGAAAAUAAUACCUUGCAGCAUGUAGAGACAACGUGCAGAAGAAACAAGCAGAGAAGAAUGCGGUCUGCACAGUCAACUCAGCAGAAGGAGUCCGAACUGAGGAACUCAAGAAGCUGCCACAUCUGCCUGAAGAAACAAGCAGAGAAGAAUGCAGCAUGCACAGUCAACUCAGCAGAAGGAGUCUGAGAUGAAGAACUCGAGAAGAUGCCGCAUCUGCCUGAGGAACAGUUAAAGGAAAUGAAAAUGAUACCUUGAAGCAUAUGGAGACAAGUGCAACAAAGCACGUGCUGAGUCAUCCGCUACUUCUUCAAAAUCAAAAGUAUCUCAUAUCAUCAGGGUUGCAAUCAUUCUGGAUGGUGAACUCGUUUUGACCCUCAAAUUCUUGGGUCGACUUACUAGGUGUUGUGAGAUGUACGUGUCGAUUCACCACCCUUGAAUCAAAUCCUUAAAGAUCAAGUCACCAACUGGAAGAAGAGCCCAUCAAUCUUGAAGAUCAUACCGUUGACCAAACUGCUCAGGUGUGAAUUAGAAAGAUUGAACAAAGCAACAAGUCGUCACCUUCACCUCGUGCCUGCUUGUCAUGUGUUCGAGUCAACCUUCAAGAAUCAAGCCUCAAAGGCCCUUGAAGAAGUUUCCAGCCAAAUUCAAGAUCAAGCCUCGACGGCCCUUGAGGAAAUCACAAGUCCGAUUCAAGAUUAAGUGUCUACCACCUUUGAAUCAAAACCCAGUUCAAGACCAAAGCUGUGGAAAGUCAACAAGCACAACAUAAUAUGUGCCACUUCAUCCACUACCAAAGCCAAAGAUCAUCUACCACAUGAAGCUCAUUGUGGUCCAAUUUCAACCUUCAAGAUCAAGCCUUGACGGCCCGUGAAGAAAUUUCAAAUAAAAGUUCAAGAACAAGCCUCAACGGCCCUUGAAGAAAUUUCAAACGAAAGUUCAAGAACAAGCCUCAACGGCCCUUGAAGAAAUUUCAAGCCCAAGUCAAGAUCAAGCCUCAACGGCCCUUGAAGAAAUCUCCAGCCCAAUUCAAGAUCAAGCCUCGACGGCACUUGGAUCGACAUCUACAGUAAGGGACUUCAAAACGCAUCUCCUACACGUGACAAGCACAUGUAUACGACGUGCCUUGAAGUGGGGGCAUUUGUAGACAUCGAAAUUUCGGUAAAUAAAUGUUGACCGAUAAAUCAAAGUGUCAACGCUCAUGUAUUACAUAAAUUUUACACGUAGCGUAUGACUCAACGAAAAUUGAAAUGAGUUGGAAAAGUCAUCAAACAGGACACGUGUCAACACAUGGCAGAAACGACUUAUUUCAUCUGGAAUAUUAUAUUCAAAAUUAGGCCUUGAAAAAUUCUAUAAAUAGAAGGCUAAUUCAUUCAUUUGGAACCAAUUGAUACUACACCUUGAAGCUCUGAAGCUCUGAAACUCCGAAGCUCUCAAGCAUCUAGGUUCCCGAAGAAUCAAGAAAGCCUUCUUCGUUCUUCGUUCAUCAUCCGUUCUUCCAAGAUCAAGCCCCGACGGCCCUUGGAUCAACAAUCAUCCACCUUCAAAGAUCAAGCCCACGACCCCUUGAAGAAACUUCCAACAGUUCAUCCAAGAUCAAGCCCCAACGGCCCUUUGGAUCAACAACGUUCAACAAAUCCACACAUCCAACCGUUCUUCAAGAUCAAGCCCAAAAGCCCUUGAAGAUCCGUUCAUCACCGUUAUUCAAGAUCAAGCCUUAACGGCCCUUGAAGAAACACUUAUCCUCAAGAUCAAGCUCCAACGGCUCUUUGAAGAUCCGCUCAAAUCCACCUUCAAAGAUCAAACCCAUGGCCCCCUUGAAGAAACUUCCAACAGUUCAUCCAAGAUCAAGCCUCAACGGCCCUUGGAUCAACGAAACAUCCACAAAUCAAUACCUUACGGAGAUCGAAUCAGAGGAUCAAAUUUGAGAGAGAUUGUAACCCAAAAUAAAAAAAUACAAAUAUUUGUUUGUGCACGUCGUUCUUGUCUCUUUCGUUUCAGGAAUUUUCCGUGUUCACAAUAAAAUCUACCUAUUUUUUUUUAUAUAUAAUUCAUUCAAUCUUUUUUCUAAUUCAUUUUUUAAAUUUAUGUGGGUACAUUCUAUUUCUUUGAUUUGAGAAUGAAUUCAUGUCAAGUUUAAUAGAAGAAAUUUAAUAUGUACCCAUGUUUUGGAGCAAUAAUUUUUUUGUUAGUUUUAAUGAACGUACCCAUGUAUGUAUGUGUAUGUAUGUAUGUACACACACAAAAUAUAUUGGAGAGUAUAAUUUAUCUUUAAUAUUUUUUUAUCCCAUAAAUUAUAGGUUUUAUUUAAAAUCUCAUUAAUAUAAAUAACUACAAAUUUCAUUUUUAAUUUAAAAAUAAAAUAACCUACAUAGAAAUACAUUAUUACAUUAAUGUCAAGGACUUCGAUCAAAAACGGAAAAUCACAAAAGUUUCAGUAAAAAAACAUUGAUAAUUAGGGACCGCAUCCAAAGUCUCCCAAAAUUUAAUGACCGAGGCAAUAGCGGAUUCAAAAUUUAAACUUUGGCUCUUUUAAUUUAAAAACCUAAAUUUUGAAAAUAAAAAUUUUAGCGCGCGAACAAAUUUCAGUUGAUUCACGGAGACAUUUCAUCGAACACUUAGUGAGCUUGUUAUCGUCAGAUGAACUAUAUUAUGAAUAUGUUAACAGAUAUUGACAUUUGCUGAAGCUAUAUGACAAGUGCUAUGGAUAGCAUUUGUAGAAUAUUAUUGACGCAACCUACCGAGUACUAUCAAGAUAUGCUUAGAGGGGAUUACAUCAAAUACUGAUCCCAAUGUGCAUCUGCCCUUGAACUAACAUGGUCAUUUUAUUUUGGAUGGAAAAUUAAAUAGAAAUUGGAUGUCAAAGAUCUUCGGCCAACUUUGUAUAACUUGUAUCAAAAGCACUGUCAAAUAUACUUUACAAGAAAAUGAACAUAAAUCAAAUAAUCCAUAUCAUUAACAAUACAAGACCCACACAUUAAACUAUUAGAAAUAUCAUAUAGCACACAACUAAAGCAACUGUAUCAGACAACUCUUGCAUUUAUAAUUUGUUUUAGGUUACAAGACUAUAUUUCGUCUACUUAAGCCUCAACGAUGACCUUCCCGGUUGCAUGUCCAUCCAUACUCUUAGCCCAUGCAUCUUCAGCCUUGCUCAGAGGAUGCGUCGAGUCGAUUACCGUCUUGAGCUUUCCUUCCUUCACCAACUUAACAAGAUACUCAAGGUUCUCAGCC
rnacentral:lncRNA from 1 species